rnacentral:lncRNA from 1 species
GUUCUUGUUAUUGAAUUUCAUUAUUGGAUUUCAAGCAUGAAAUUUGUCCGUCUCUGGAAUCGAACUCAACUGUCAAACGCAAUGACGAGUUAAGGCAGUCAUCCAAUUAUGCAUUAAUUACGUACUGGAUGAAUGACAAGUGGGAUGAAGACCUCACUUCCGAAAUCCUAAAACUUGCUAGGCUCCGCGGUGAUCGUGUAUUGUUUAUAGGUUGUGGCUAUGGCGAGCGCAGGCAAGAUCUUGGGUAUGGACAAGUUGAGGGUGCAGAACCUGGUUGUUGCUGGUGGCCUCACCUCCUUCGUGGGAGCCGUCUACUUCUACACCAUGAAAGCUGUUGGCGGCGGAGACGAACUUCAGGAAGCCGUCCAGGUUUUGGAGCAGCAGAAAGGGGAGAAAGCUGGAGUAUCUGCUCCUUCCGCGGCCUCCUAGCUUUAUGGAUCUUCUUUGCCUCCUGAUUGUAUUCUUUAAGCAUUUUUUUGUAGCGGGCGACGUUCAGGUGCUGGAAGUAAAAUAAAGUCGAGAAUCCUCGGCUGUAUUUUGCAGAAUUAGGGUUAUUGAACUGGUUAUCUUGUACUUGGGGCGCGAUGAGAUGCUUGUGUUCAUGCCGCAGUAACCCUCUGUGACAUAACUUGGGCGAAUUUUCGCUAGGAAUUUAUAGGAGAUGGACGGCUGCUGGUAUCUUCAAAUGAUUAUGAUAUAGUGUGGGUUAGACGGAUAUGCUUUAGGGUUAUCGAUGAAUCUGUCAGGAAGAGCAUUUCCCAUAACUAUUUAUAUACACUUGCGAAGUUUUUGUUAGCUCUUAUUGCAGAAUUACACUUGGAAUAAACUAAUCGCACGAAUUCUUGGAGUGUCACGUUUCCUGUUGCAUCGAGAGGAGCUGUUGAAUACGUGCUCAGUGCGGCGGUUACAUGGCUGUUAUAUACAUCGAGUAUGGGUUGUCCUGAUGUUUGUGGGCCAGUAUUUGUGCUCUCGGUGUGUCAUUCGUCAUUGUCUUGGAUGUCCCCACUAUGUUGUACUGUUUCGAAUUUGUGUGCUGUGCGUAUUUCUGUUUCGUGUGGACAAAAGUAAAGAAGACUCCAUUGCAGGAGCCUUGUAUGAGUUCAUUGUACGCUUUUGCUACAGGUCACAGCCUGCUAUCUCUCAUAGCUCCGACUGAUCUAUGUUCUUGGAGUCAAGCAUUUUUGUCCGCUUGGCUGAAAACACUCCAAGAACUGUACUCUUGGACCACAAAUGUAACAUGACAUGAAAGGACCAGCUAUGAGGACACGUACCCAUUUCCACGAAAGCAAAUCCAGUAGCGUUGGACCCUCCCUCGUAACUUUUAAAGUAGGAUGUUGUUCGAAACACGUCCUUUAUCACAACCCACGGUUUCAUUUGAGUCUGCAAUCUGUCAGUCAGGUCUUCAAGCAGGUGCACCGGUGAGAGAUUGCGAGCUCGUAUCAGCUCUGUAAAUUUAAACACCUUCGGUUUCACAACGCCAAUUACAUACUUCGCAGUUUCCUAGGAUACAAGUGUCAGUGAAUUUGCCACCUGGUCUGUCUACCAUCUGGAAGCAGAUUGUGUAGAGGUCAGUUCCCCAGCCACCGAACGUCACGGUGCGUCGCUCGCAGAAACCGUUCUCCUUGCCCGAUGCCUACAAGUCAAAACACACAAAUCUCUUCCCUUCCAGUCUGAAAGGCUGGUAUUCCCCGAGAACCAGACCACUACCCCAAAUGAGUGUUGUGGCGUGCGACUCACCAACAGACCCAAUGGCAGAGCUGCAAAAUAGGUAGGUGGGCGACUACACUCUGCGUCACGACCACUGCAGGAUCACAUCAUGAGAGAACCCGACAGAGGGCUCAGCGCGAAUAUGCUGAAACGUCGCCAAUCCAGGAGAUGCUGCUGCAGACCAUCUGGCUGAGGAUGGAUCCUGAGAGAAUCUGGUUUAUUGGUUGCUGCAGAGUCUUCAGCGGAGUUGUGACGUUGCAACUGAAAAUGCUCUUCCAACAACAGCCGUCCGUUGUAUCCGACAGUCUGCAAUGGGAUCCUUCACACAUGAGGCCUCAGUGCCUCUCCUACCAAUUUUGCAGCUUCAUACUUAAUUGUCUCUGCUUUAGUAUUCGUCAUUAGGCUCGAAAUUCAUGAGCUCACAGACUUCCGUUGAAUGUUCUUCGGCACCUCUGGGUUGUGUGACUCCAUUGUCUAAAUCUGGCAAUGGGCUAAUGACUGAGGAGGAUCGGCAUUAAUCACUGUGUCAUGCGUUUCAGGCUAAGACAUCGUACCUCACUGGGUCACGCCGCAUCACAUCCUGACACACCAGAUUCUUCACCCUCCCAAAAGCUCCGAAUCGCCAUUCAGGUUUAUGUCUUUUGCACUUGGCUGGCAACCUAAAUGGCCCUGUAAAUAACUUAAAAUGGAUUCGUUUUCAAUUACUGGCAUGGGAAGUGCCUCCUUGCCUGGAUUGUUACCUUCUUUCUUUCAUGGCCCCUCAGAUCGGUUCAAACGCUUGUUCAUGAGGUUGAAGUGAGUUUCUGUUUGAGCAAAGAUUGAGUCCGCAGUAAUAACUUUGAGCUCAGUUCGAUGAAUGAAUAAAUUAAAAAAAUAAAAAAAUGAAAGCAAUCAGAGAAUGUAACGUUACCAGAAAUACAAGUCUGUUUCUUAAAGUUAUGUUGUGAAGGGUUCAUGUCAUGUUAUUUACUCAGAAUCGUGAAGGUUUUACAACGCUUGUAGAUCAAAAUGGCUGUUUGUGGGUCGAUUUUAUAUUUGAAAGUGAAAGAAUGUUAGAGAAUCUAUGUACCCAACACAAUCUGUGAGGAGAUGAGUAUAAUAUCUCGAGUGCUUUUUUAAGAUAGGUUCAAGACAAUUCUUGAUAAGUUCUGCAGAGCUUUUUUGACGAGAUUCUGAGACAUUCUUGAUAGGAUUGUCAUGUUGGGUUUAAUACAAGGUGACACAGUUGAAUGUUUCUGAAUGAUUUCAGUUUUUUAAAAACAUUCAUAAAUUAUUGUUAUAUUUAGUAUGCAAAAGCUGUGAAUGAGACUCUUGUGAUGCUCACGAACAAUAUUCGUGAGCAACGCUCCUCUUGUGACAAUAUUUGGAAUAUUGUACUGUUCCGAUGUAUUUUUUCUUGGCCUUCACUCUUGAUUCUCUUUGAAUCUCAAGUAUUGUUGUGAAUUUUUUGAACCAUGAAGCUGUACUUUUCUCAAUUUAACAUCAUCACAAACAAAUUUUUUUGGAUUAGUUACCUCUUUUCUUGGAAAGUAAAAGAAAUUUCGUUUUAUGAUAAUUGUUUAGUAUUUUUUCUAAGGUUAAAAAGCAAACAUUUUUUAUAUUUCAUAUCCAUGUUAUGAUCAGAUUUAUCGUAUCAUGACACAGAUCAUCACUCUAAAUUCUAACAUUGAACAUGCAGUAUGUGCAAAUCAGCGACCUCUGAGCUAACAAAAUGUAAUUAUUGAUACCAUGUUAAAUAACAUUCUUUAUUUAACCAGUAGAUGUGCAGAAAUUCAAAAAAAAAAAGAUUAAAAAGAAAGAGGAUCGUUUUUACAAAAGAAAAUAAGGAUAUUGAUAAAGUUUUGAAAAAUGAUACGAUGGAAAAUCAAUUGAGAAAAAUGCUAAAAUUGAUUGGUACUAAACAAAAUUUAGCCACUAGGUAAAUUAUAAUUAGAUAUAAUUAGAUAUAAUCAUCUUCACUUUACAUUUUAAGGUAUUUAUGGCAAUUAUAUUGAUUUUUUAAUAUAAAUUUCAGAGGAUCAAAUCUAUAUAUAUACUUCAAAUUCUAAAUUACAUCAAUAGUUUUUUUUUUUAUUCAUAAUUUUAAUGGAUGUACCAUGUAAUAACUUAACAUCAUUUUUUUUACUCUUGUUAAAUUUUAUAUCCUUUACAAUAUUUACUAUUAUUAUUCACUUUAAAAAUUAAAAUAGUUCAAAUAUGUAAAUUAAGAAUAAAAUCAUUUUGAUUUUUACUUAUAAAAUACUCAUAAUGCUUAAAAUCUGAUUGGAACCACAUAUUAUUUUAAUUUGUAUUUGUUAAGAAUAACAAUGUAAAGUGUUAAAGGAUGUAAGAAAUAAGGUUAUCAAGUAAUUAGAAUCAAUUUUAAUCAUGCUGCCAGUUGGAUUAAGAAACUGUCUUUUUUUGUUUUUCUAACAUAGUAUUUUAUAUAACUUACAAAAAUUACUCAUUGUGUUUGUUUGUAAUAGUACUUUUAUUAGGUCUAAAUUAUCUAUAUAUAUAAUUAUUUUACCAUAAAAAAAUUUAAGUAAAAUUUUUCAUCAAUAUGUUUUUGAAUAUACAUAUCAUGUAUUCUAGAAAAAGACUUAGAAUAUCUUACUACCAAUUGUUAUAAAACUUUUCUUUUUCAAAAGUAAAAUUAAGAUUAUAUUGAAAUUGAAUGUAAGAAUUUAUAUUGUUAGUUCCUUUUGAAAACAUUUUAAAAUUAUUCCUCAAAUUUAUCUUUUACAUUACAAUUUAGAACCAGUAAAAGAGAAAAAUCAUAAUGAAGAUUGUUAUUAAUAAUUUAGGAGGCUUUAUCCUUUUAAUUAUAAGAAAUCAUUCUUUUGAUAAUAAUAAAAAGAUCUUUUUGUAAUUCUCUUCUUUGUUUGGAAAUUUAAUAGGAUGUGAUUAUUAAUAUAUAUAUUUUUAGAAAUUUAAUAUUCAAUAUAUUAUAUAUACAUAUUAUACAUAAGAUUUUCUAUUUAAAUUUAUCACUUUUAUAUAAAUAAUCAAUUAAAAUUUAUAUUUCUUACAUAAAAUUGAACAUAACAUGUUAAUUUAUAGAUAUAAAUAAAAUAAUUAAGACUAAUUAAAUUAUAUAUUAAAUAUUCAAAGAUUGAUUUUUUUUAAUGAAAUCAAUGAUAAAAAAAAAACUUUUAUUGUAGUAACAAAAUCUACUAAUUUUUUUUUAAAAUAUAUAUCAUUACUUUUUUUACCUAAAUAUCAAACUUAAAAACAUUCAUUUUAUAGAUCCAUAUUAAUAUUUUAAGUAUAGAGUAUUAUUUAUUAUAAAAAAUAAUAAUAAUAAAUAUUUUUAUUUCUAAUAUAUUGUGCCUAUUAUAUUCAAAUAUUUUAUUUAUUUUUUUGAUUAUAUCUAUUAUAUACCUUAAAUUUUAAUCAUGAUUAAUAUAAUACAAAAUUAAUUAAUAAUCUUAAAAACUAGAAGACAACCUCUAUUUUUUUAAAAGAUGUAUAUACUUAAAAAAAUCCACACCAAAAGAUAAUUGUAUUACUUAAUUCAAGACUUUUUCUUUUUUUCUUUUUUUAAGUUAUAAACAUUACAAGGCAAUCAUCUAACUGUUAAUAUAUAUAUAUAUAUAUAUAUAUAUAUAGAAAUUUUUUAGUUCAAUAUUCAAAAAAUACAUUUAAAUAAUAACUAAAUCAUGAAAAGAAAAAAAAUGAUUCAAAAAAUAAAAGAAAAUUUAGUAGUGCACAUUGUCAUAUAUAUAUAUAUAUAUAUAUAUAUAUAUAUAUGAAAAAGUGACCUAAAUUUUUAUUAAAUCAACCCACAUGUUUAAACCAUCAUUGUACUUUUUCAACCCCGUUCCCAUUUUCAACCAUUCUCUUGUUCCCAAUUGUUGCCCCUGUUCCCAACAUUACUUGUGCCCCAUCCCCAUCCUUAAAGAUGGUUGAGAAGAAGGAAUAAUUGAAAAUAUGGAUGGAGGUUGCAAGAGUGCAAUGAUAGUUAUAAAAAUUUGUGUCACUUUAUCAUAUCCAUAUAUAUAUAUAUAUAUAUAUAUAUAUGUAUAUAUAAAAAAUGAUUAACUAAAAAGAUAUUCUAUAUAAUCUUGUAAUAUACUAACACAUUUAAAGAAGACAAACUUGAAAAGUAUACAAUUUAGUCUAUAAGGGAAAAAAUAAUAACUUUUUACUUGUUACAUGGCUAAGUUGUUAAUAUUCACAAUAAGUAAGCAAUCAUGCUAAAAUGCAUUAAAUCAUCUUUCAUUUGACGAGUUAAAUUAGAAGAAAAUAAAAAUCAACUAAAAUUUGAAGCAAAUUUUAUUCUUUGUGACAUACCAACAACUUAGUAGAUGUAUUUUUUUAUUGAGAUAUUUGCUAUUCAAAUACGUUUAUAUCUUUAUAUGGAAAGUGACUUCUUCUGCAAUCAUUUCAAAUAAAGAACAUAAAUAUGUGCAUAGACGAAGAUGUAAUUGUAUGUUUAUCUUUUUUAGCAUGUAUUAUACUUGCAUGCAGGUCUUUAAAAAAUACAUAUAUAUAUAUAUAUAUAUGUUAAAAAAAUAUGUAUUGAUAUUGUGAGGAGAAAUUUACAUAAAAAUGCAGAAGAUUGUCUUUUGUAUUUCAUAUUUACAAUUAAAAGCCAAGCAUUUUUUAGAUAAAAUUCAACACAUUGUCACCGACAUACGCAUGUAAGCCAGUAAUUACAUGUAUAAAUAGGUAGAAGUAAGUAAAAGUAGGUAAAAGUAAGUUAAUUCUAUAGUAUUUGGUAUGGAAGCUUCAUAGAAGCUUCAUAGAUGCUACUUUGACUUUAUAGGUAUCUUUAAUUGACUUUUUGGAAUUAGAAACGUGGUCAAUAAGUUGGCUAUGUGCCACACAUGUUGUUAGCUUGAAGAUCAAGCUAACUAUGUAGCCCACAUGUAAAAAAACUUGCCUUGUAAGUGUAGGCAUGUGUCCUACAAAGUCAACACAUAUUGGAGGUCCUAUAGAAUGUUGCCACAUAGCCCUUAGUAAGAUAAUAUAUAUAAAGACAAGAGGGAAGCCUUCUUCACUCUUGUCAACUGCUUUCUUGCUUCUAGUCUAGCUUUAAGGGUCUCUAAUUUUCUUGGCUUUUUGCAAUAGCCAUUCUAGUUUCUUUUUUAAUAUACAUAUCAAGUUAUUUCUAUUUUGUCAUCUUUCUUUGAGAGAAGUCUCACCUGUUUAUUUAUCUUUAUCAUGUUCUUGUCCUUGACAGAUUGAUAAGAAUGUACUUAUAAUAUCAGAGCUUUGUCUAAUCUUGAUUAAGAGUGGAUUACCUCUUUUUCUUCAUAAGACAUAAGCAUAUUAGAAGUUGCGGAUUACCUUUUUCUAAACUAAUAUUAUUCUUAGUAUUUUCUUUGUUCUCAAGUCCUCUCUUCUAUUUGUUUUGAGCAAUAUUAGACAUCUUUUCUUUUUUAAGUGUUAUCAUGGCAUAACUUGCUGAAAUGAAGAAUGCAAUGGCACAAAUGCGAGAGCAAUUGAGGGAGUUAAUGCUUGCGAUGCAUCAACUCAAUUUACCACUUAAAGAAACAACAACAUUGGUAGGAAGUGAAGAUAUAGAAAUGAUUGGAAUUGCUUCAACAUCUGCACCAAAUCAUAUCCCUUUUCCUAUGGUGGAACACCCUUCCGGUGUUAGAGAACCAAGAAUUACCCUAUCCGAGAAGUUUGGUGGCACCAGAUCAAAGUUUAGAGGAUUUAUCAAUCAAGUACAAAUUGUGAUUGAACUUCAACCCUAAAACUAUCCAACUCUAAGAUCGCAAGUUAGAUUCAUUGGUACGCUUCUUUUAGGUUCAGCAUUAUCAUGGUUUUCAUCUUUUCUUGAAUGACGAGAUCCAAUAUUGGAUAAUUUAGAGGCUUUUUUGGUAGAGUUUUGAUCCAUGUAUGGAGAACAUGAUGCAAUUCGUGUUGCAACCAAUAAGAUCUAUAUUUUACGACAAGAUAAUCGAUUAGUAACAUUGUAUGCUUCACAAUUUUGACAACUUGUAAUUGAUAUCAAGUGGAAUGAUGCUGCACUUAUUAGCCAAUUUCUUUAUGGAUUACAAUAUGAGGUAAAAAGAAUUAAUGCUCAACUUACCUGAUUAUCAAAUAUUUAGUCAAGCUAUUGACUUUGCUAUGAAGUGCGAAAAUCAUCUUUUUGAAUUUCAAUCUGAGAACCAUAUAAGUAAACCUCAACGUUACUAUAAUUCAAUAGCAAUACUAACAUCUCUUCAACACAUACAUUCGAAAGUAGAGGAUAUGUAAAUUAUUGCAAUACAUUUCAAACCUCUUACUGAGCAAGAAAAGACUUGUCAUUGUCAAGAAGGAUUGUGCUUAUAUUGUGGAAAACCUAAGCACACUGCUCAACAUUGUCUAAAGAAGCAACACAAUCAUAAAAUGAGGAGUAUGGCGAUCAAAGGAGAUAGCAUGUUGGAAAACGAAUUUGUCCAGCUACAAUAGGGACUGUGUGGUAGGAUCCUUGUACAAUGGCUAAUGAAGGUCAUAUUCUCUCAUCAAAACCCUCUCCAUAUUUUACGAUAAAUGUUAUUCUAGGAUCCAAACAUCUCAAAGCCUCUAUCUUACUAGAUUCAGGAGCCUCAGCAUGUUUCUUAGAUGAAAAAUUUGCUAAAAGACAUAACAUAUUUUUAAUAAAGAAAACUAAAUCAAUUCAUAUAGAAGUCAUAGAUGGUCGUCUGUUGUCUUCAAGAGAUGUUACUUAUGAAACCCUUUCUAUAGAAAUAACAACUAAUGAUCAUAGUAGCUUUGUAAUAUUUAAUAUCAUUAGAUCUCCUUCUAAUCUAGUCAUUUUAGGUUUAUUAUGGCUAGAAAAAUAUAAUCCUAAAAUAGAUUGGACUUCUCGUAGUCUUGACUUUUUUGAAAGUAUAACUAAGAGUGUAGUUAAUCAAGUAAAAAUUCAUAAAAAGUCUAGUAUAAUUAAACCUAUAUUCUCGUAGUCUUGACUUUUUUGAAAGUAUAACUAAGAGUGUAGUUAAUCAAGUAAAAAUUCAUAAAAAGUCUAGUAUAAUUAAACCUAUAUUUGUAGGUGCAAGUGCUUUCUUGCAUGCUUCAAAAGAGGGAUCACCUUGUGUCAUUUAUACCACACAUGUCUCUACUGAUAGAAAGACUUCAAGUCACAUUUCAAGGCAAUAUCAAGAUUUUCAAGAUGUAUUUGAGAAAAAGAAUGCGGAUACUCUUCCAGAACAUCGUUCCUAUGACUGCUCAAUUGACCUUCAAGAAGGAGCACAACUAUCAUUUGGACCAAUCUAUAAUUUAUCUCUAAAUGAGUUGGCUGAAUUCAAGGAGUAUAUUGAAGAGAAUUUGGCAAAGAACUUCAUAUGCCAUUCCAAAUCUCCAAUAGGAGCUCCAAUUUUAUUUGUGAAGAAAAAAGACGGAUCAUUGCGGAUGUGUGUCGAUUAUCGAGGACUCAAUAAAAUCACUAUGAAAAAUAGGUACCCACUACCUUUGAUAUCUGGACUCCUUGAUCAAUUGAAUCAAGCUAAAAUCUAUAUAAAAAUAGAUACAAAGAGCAUACAAUCUGAAAUGCAUUAAAGAAGGAGAUGAAUAGAAGACUGCGUUUCAAACAAGGUAUGGACAUUUUGAAUACAAUGUCAUGCCUUUUGGACUUACAAAUGUACCAACAGCAUUCCAACAUCUAAUGAAUGAUAUCUUUCGGGAGUUUUUAGAUGAUUUUGUUGUUUGUUACCUAGACGACAUCUUAAUCUAUUCUAAGAACUCAAAAGAAUAUGAACUUCAUGUUCGCCAAGUAUUACAAAAAUUAAGAGAUACGGGACUCUAUGCGAAUAUAGAAAAGUGUGUAUUUUACACUAUUCAAGUCCACUUCUUAGGAUACAUCAUUUCAAAUGAUGGACUUAUGAUGGAUCCAAAGAGAGUUCAAACUAUUAUGGAUUAGAAGAUCCCAAAAAUCAUAAGAGAUGUCCAAUGCUUUUUAGGAUUUGCCAACUACUAUCGGAUCUUCAUCAAAGAUUUGUCUUAAGUUACAGCUCCGCUUACACGCUUGACUUGCAAAGACAAACUUCAAUGGAACCAAGAAGCAGAAGUAGCAUUUGAAGCUUUGAAGACAGUCUUUGUUUCUGACCAAUCUUCUAUCGCAUCGAUUUUUCAAAGCCAUUUUUUAUGGAAACAAAUGCAUCAAACUUUGCUUUGAGUGCUGUAUUGUCACAAAUGGGAACAGAUGAUAAACUUCACCCAAUAGCUUUUCAUUUCAGAUAAUUUUCAGUAGCCAAGAUCAACUACGAGAUCCAUGACAAAGAACUUCUUACAAUCGUGGAUUUGUUUCAAGAAUGGUGCCAUUAUCUAGAAGGUACUUUUAGCUUAGUUACAAUAUAUACGGAUUACAAGAACCUUGAAUAUUUUAUGUCUGCACGUAUUUUGAAUCGUUGCCAAGCCCGUUGGAAUAUGUCUUUGUCAAGAUUCGAAUUCAAGUUCACUUAUUGACCAGAAAAACAACAAGGUUUGUGAGAUGCACUCUCUAGACGAUCUUAUCUUGCAGCAUAGGAAGGAGAUGCUGCUUUUGAUCAACAACAAACAAUUCUCUUGAAGCUAGAGCAUCUUCAUCUUCGAGCAAUGAAAUCAAUACUAAUUGUUGAUUCAACUUUCAUUAAGCAAGUUCAGUCAAGUAUGUCUUCUGAUCCUCUUAUUCAUGAUAUUAAGGAGAAUCCUUCAAAGUCUUAUGAUACUUCCAAGUUUGAAUUCAAGAAGAAUCUACUAUAUUUUGAAGGACACCUAUAUGUUCCAGAAGGUAAAACUCGAUUACGUGUUCUUCAAGCUCGUCAUGACUUUCCAGUAGCAAGACAUUUUGGGUACAAUAAAACUUUGGAACUAAUAUCCAAGGACUUUUGGUGGCGACAAAUGUAGAAAGCACUCAAAGAUUUUGUACAAUCUUGUGAUGUUUGUUCAAGAUCAAAAACUCCUCGUCCUCGACCUUACGGACUUUUUCAGCCAUUAUCUAUUCCAGAACAACCGUGGUCUUCUAUUUCUAUGGAUUUCAUCACAAAUCUUCCAAUCUCAGGUUCUUAUGACUUUAUAUUUGUGAUAGUAGAUCAUUUUACCAAGAAGGCACAUUUUGUACUAUGUACAAAAUCUAUCACACGUGAAGAAAUAGCUAAGCUCUUUCUUGACAAUAUCUAUUACUAUCAUGGAUUACCCAAGGAUAUUAUUUCAGAUAGGGGAACUCAAUUUGUAUCAAGAUUUUGGCAGAGUCUUUUCAAGAUUCUAAAAGUGGAUAUAAAACUAUCUUCAGCAUUCUAUCUUCAAACUGAUGGACAAAUAAAGUGUGUUAAUUAAGUUUUGGAGUAAUAUUUAAGAUGUACCAUCAACUACCAACAAGAUGAUUGGACAACUCUUUUGCCAUUGGGAGAGUUUGCUUACAAUAACAUGAUACAUUUUUCUACAAAACAAACACCUUUCUUUACCAAUUAUGGUUAUCAUCCAUGACUUGAUACUUUUGACUUUUCAAAAGUUGAUAUUUCUACUGCGAAAGAUUUGGCAAUUCAUUUGUUAGAGCUACAUGCAACGAUGAAGGCGUAGUUAAAAGAAGCUCAAGAACAAUAAAAAGUCAAUCCGAAUGUCUAUCGAAAGGAAUAACCACCAUUCCACAUGGGUGAUAAGAUAUGAUUACUUCGUCACAAUAUCAUGACCACUUAUCCUUGUGACAAGUUGGACUAUCGAAGGCUUGGACCAUUUUCUAUUUCUGUACAAAUCAAUCCAGUUGCAUAUCGUUUACACCUAUUGGAGUCAAUGAAAAUCCAUCUAGUAUUCCACGUAUCUCUUCUUGAACCAUACAAGGCAAUGAACAUACCAAGAAGAAGACAAGCUCCACCUUCUCAUAUAAAAGUGGACAAUAAUGAAGAGUUUGAAGUGGAAAAAGUUUUAGAUUCAAGGCGACGUCGAAAUAAAUUGAAAUAACUUGUCCAUUGGCACAGAUAUGAUAUUAAUGAACGUACAUGGGAGCCAAUAAAGAAUCUUACAAAUGCAACAAAGGCGGUGGAGGCUUUUCAUCGACGACAUCCAUCAAAAUCAAGAUGAAAAUCUUCCUUAUAAAAGAAACAAGAUCUAAGCAAGAUAACAUUCUAUUUUUAAUCCUUGUUUGUAGCUUCUUUGUAGUUGUGACGCUAAAGAGAUGGAGAAUUAACAACCAACAGAUUUGACUCAAGAGCCUUCAUUUGCUGACUUACCGGACGAGACAUUACGAUUGUCAAAACCUUCUGGACGAUAUAAUCGAGUUGAAGAUCUUCAAGAAUUACAUGUUCUUCCUUGAAUAGAUGGCAAGCUACAAUACAUUUGGUAUUACAACCUUGAAAGGGACUUUCGAUGUUUGGAGAUUUUAAUAGAGGUAGGAACAACUCCCGAUGGUAUUUCAAAUAUUUUAUUCAAAAGAAGUUAUGAAGGCAUCAACAAUGAUCAAAUAACUUGAUGGUCUUCCCACCCUGGUAUAGGACACUACCGAUGGUUGAGAGGCCUUAUCAAUCAUCUUUGAAGAGAACAAAGAUCAAAGUAUGUGGCGAAUAUAAUUUGUCGCAUUAUAGAUUUCAUCAACAUAUGAUUACCACUCCUCAUGGAACUUGUUCUUAGAAAGGAGGAGGAGGUAAUAUCAUAAACAUACGCAUAUAAGCUAGUAAUUACAUGUAUAAAUAGGUAGAAGUAAGUAAAAAUAUGUAAAAGUAAGUUAAUUCUAUAGUAUUUGGUAUGGAAGCUUUCUAGAAGCUUCAUAGAUGCUGCUUUGACUUUAUAGGUGUCUUUAAUUGAUUUUUUGGGAUUAGAAACGUGGUCAACAAGUUGGCUAUGUGCCAUUUAUGUUAUUAGCUUGAAGAUCAAGCUAACUAUAUGGCCCACAUAUAGAAAAACUUGCCUUAUAAGUGAAGGCAUGUGUCCUACAAAGUCAACACAUAUUGGAGGUCCUAUAGAACGUUGCCACGUAGCCUUUAGUAAGUUAGUAUAUAUAGAGACAAUAGAGAAGCCUUCUUCACUCUUGUCAACUGCUUUCUUGCUUCUAGUCUAGCUUUAAGGGUCUUUUGUUUUCUUGGCUUUUGGCAAUAGCCAUUCUAGUUUCUUUUUUAAUAUACAUAUUAAGUUAUUUCUAUUUUGUCAUUUUUCUAUGAGAGAAGUCUCACUUGUUUAUUUGUCUUUAUCAUGUUCUUGUCCUUGAUAUACAUCAACAUUCAAAUUUGUUCAACAUUGCACAUCCAUCAAAUCACACUAAAGUCAUUGGAUAGAAACUCAUCUUAUAGUAUAUAGAAGUUCCUAUUUCUUACUCACAAAUAUACACAUAAUAUACAUUAUGUAUCAAAAUGUUUGAGCCAUCAUGUAUGAAUACACCCUAAGCUCCCUUAGUGGACAAACAAAACCCUAGCCACUAAGGGAUUGGUUCAAGGAAUCCUGGAUGAUACUGGAUGAUCUUGGCUAGAGGUGGUGGUUCUAAAAAUGGUACUAUAGGUGGGACUCUCAAUGAACCCCCCCCCCUCCCUUUUCCCAAGUAAUGAUGAUAUUGCUUGUGUGGUGGUGUGGGUGUGUGCUUUGUCCAUUCCAUUCCAUACAUCCUAAACAGUGGAUGAAUGAGGAUAUUGGAUGAGUUUUGGAAGGAUCCAUUCUCGCAUUCAGGGGAAGAGGUGGAGUGUAGGAAAGUAUCAGGGGGGGGAGGGCAUUUUUUCAGUACAUGCCAAACCUUUGUGCUGCUAAAAAGCAUCCAUCCCUACACACACACACAGAGCAAGAGAAGCAAGAGAGUAGCAUGGGGGAUUGUGCUGGUAGAGGAUUUUGUUUUUUGUGUUUAGCACAAUCUGAGUGAGUGACAGGGGUCCAUUUUUGGAAUGGGACCCACCCUCCCCCCUGCUGUAGCUGAUUCCAUGCAGAAUCAUCCCUGGCAUUGGUGGGAGAAUAGAAUGGCUGCUGAGGGGGGAGGGGAGGAGGAUGAACUAACCCAACCCCCGAGAAAACACAUGCACUAUGUGUGUGUGUGUGUGUGUGUUGGGUGGAAGGAUCUGGGUGUGGAUUCUGGAGAGCCUGGUCUUCCAAGGGCCUGCCUGGGCUCUUUUUAUUCUUUUGUUUCUUUUGCAGAUCAACGGCCUUCUCCCAGGACUAUGAUUCAAUUCUCUUUAAAUGAAAAACCAUGUUUUUAUUUUCUUUCGUGUACUUUGUUGAAAUCGAGGAGUUGGGAAAUUGAGGAUAUGGAUGAUUUUCAUCCACCAGUGAUGUGCUCUUGCGGACGAAUGUAGUUCGCAAGAUGACAUGAAGGUGCUAUUUCUGUGCCGCGGAAUGGUUCCCACCAAUGGGAGCACGGCCAACAUGUGACGAAGAUGGAGGCGGGUGCCUAAUUUCGUUGGUCCAGCCGGUGUUGUAUUAUUAUCCUCCGCGAUAGACCACCCCACGCCCGCGCAGUGACGACGCAGCGACGCGUUGUAGGCCUCGACGACGAAUGGCGGCCUCCGUUUACAGCGACGCAUUCGCCCUGUAAGCCGGACGUAGCUAUCGCGAGGUAGGAUUGAGCGAGACGAUUCGCCACUUCCGAUUCCGUCGUGCAUUUGGGCCCACGAUCUCGUUCUCAUUCCCCUUAUUGAAGCCUCGAUUAGUAGAGUCAACGUGCUUGGUGGACUUAAUACCUCCUCCACCAGCAACUUUUCUCAACUCUGCCUUUCACUUUAUGUAGUUUGGCUUUUUACUAUUUUUGCAAUAACUAAUAUCAGUCUCACAUAUAUCGUUGUUGUUGUUAUUUUUUUUUCAUCAUGGAUCACUGCAACCCACAUAACACAGUGACUACAUUGGCUUGUCCACAGUAGCUAUUCUCAUGCCCACCUAGAGCUUAAGUCAGGACAAAGUAAAGGAGGAGGCUCAUUACCUUCUAUUGUGGGCUUAGACAACAUGGAUCAGUCUGACCUUCAUAGGCCAGCUUCCACACACAAAAAUACCUUUGACUGGCUGUGUGUUGCCUUCACUUCUUUCUUGCUUUGUGUUGACUUAGAACUUGUUUGAAGAAUGAGGGGGGUGGGGGGGGGAUGAUAAGUUCAAAGCUGGGUACCAGUAUGUGGAAUAAUUCUGGCCUCCCUGUCUUUACAAAACAUGGGCUACAGUUACUGCUUUUGAAGGGAAACUAACUCAUGCUGGAUUACUAUAGAUUUUGUUUUUUUAGUGCUGUUUUCACCUAUUGAUCUAUAGAUUGACACCCAAUUGUCAACCAUUCCAAAAUGCAUUAAUCAUACUAAUCUAAGCAUUUUCUGUCUCUACGUUUGUCUUGUCAUUGUUGUUUUUAUUGUAGUUGUUGUCCACCUUAGGGGUUAUUAAAAGGGUGGGAGAGGAAGAUGGGGCCAAUGGGAAGAAGGGGGCUCCCAAGGAGGAAAGGAGAGGAAUUAGGGCAUGGAAGAUGCUGAAGCCUGGGAAAUUGCAUGGGGCCCGCCCACCGCCUCACACAUGGCAACUUACAAAGGACCCUCACAUCACAGGAGACAUUAUGGCGGGCGUGCCAUUGUGGAGGCCCUGUUCUGAGUGGAAUGCGUCGUUCUGUCCAACCCGAAAUACAAAUGUAUAGGGGCUUCGCUUUUGGAGCAUUUCGUCAGCCUCACUCGCAAACUCACGUCGUCGCCCGGGCAGUAGUAGAAGAAGUUCGCCCGCCUAGAGGCUACUUUGGGUGCGUUCAGUUCUACGGACCUGCACCCUCUCGAUAUCACAAUUCUACUGCUCUGCGCUUCAGGAAUGGCACAGCCUCACCAUGCGACUGCAGCAGGCGAGUCUCCCGCGUGCUGCGCUCGUGAAUCAGCAGCUCCGGUGGAAUUUUGCGGGAGCUUUGGGUGCAGUCUGGCCCGUUGGUUGGUCCAGUGUGCAGGAGCACGUCGGGGAGUUGAUUUCGUUAAGUGAAGGAGGUUGGAGUGAAGGCAGGGGGAGUGGAGAGGGUUUGGAAUGGUGGAAUGCAGACGUGAGUAGUUGUGUGGCGAGUAAGUGUGGUGAAGAAGUUUGCAAGGGAGAGGGGAGCGAUGGUUGUUGUUGGUGGUGUGGUGGUGUCGGAUAUGUUGGAGGUGUUGCUCGUUGCCAGAAAUGGUUUAGUGUUGCUGUUCGAGUAAUGCGGAAGCUGAAGGUCAUUCCAGUGCCUACGCGGAUGAGGAAUCGGGAGGAAGCGGAUCGCUGGUGUGCGUUUGAUAUUGCUUCGAUCGAGAAUGGCUCGUGCUGGGCUGUAAAGGGGCGUGUUCCAACAGGACUCUUCUUUGGUGAUUCCAUUGAGGUACUGAGGCUCGCUUUUUAUUGUUGUUACUAAGAAUAAUAACAAUAAUAACAAUAGUAGUACUUUGCUUUAUUUAUUUAUUUACUAUUUGUAAUCCUUACUUCUUGAGCUUUUGAGGGUGUGUGCAUGCGUAACACGGUGCCGUGUUCAGUUAAGAUCGCUAGUGCAUGGAGUUUGAUGUGUUACUGCACUACGUCUAACCUGUCCUUGGGCGGAGGAAUUGCAGUUAGAAUAUUGUGAGGUAAGCAGAUUCCCUACAGUCGAGUGAAGUUUGUAUCGCAUCCUUAGCAGGACGGAUUAGAUUCCUAGUCAAUGAAGCAAUAGGUACGUCUACAGACGUUGCAUGUGUUUGCUGAAUUGCCACUUUAAUUUGAAAGAAUUUGUGGGGGAUGAUUCCUCCAGUUAGCUGCUCUCGAAAAUUCCACUUGAUUGUGAGCCAUCUCGUAUGGUUGUUAGGGUGCACAUAAAGCAUUCCUAGAUCAAGAUAUGAAGAGUGCUUUCAAGAAAAACAGGUUCCGGAUCCGGACCACCAGAACUUUUAUUUCAAGUCUGCAUAAUACGAUGCACACAUAGUCAGCAUUAGAGUGAAUAUUAGAUAUUAAUCACUCAACCAAUUUACGUUUUCUUGGAAUGGAGGGGGUGUGUAGCAGCUAAUCUCUGUUCAUACUAAUUUUUAAAAUCACGCUCAAUCUUUUUUGUGUGAUGAUUCAGCACCUUUUUGGCAGUUGGGAUAUUAAGAAUAUUAUUUGUGAUUGUAUUAACUUAAGGACAUUGCAAAGCUUACGUGCAGCAGUUUUUUGUUCCCUGCCUGCUUAUUGCGAGUGGUGCUUUUUACACAAGCAGUUUUCCAGAGAAUGCUUGAAUGAGAUGUAAUGUAGCUCUUUAAAUUCCUUUGGGUGUCAUGAUCGGGUGUAAAGUACUGUACUCAGCAUAUAUGCCCUUAAGGUUUCACUUCAGGGUUGGUGGACUUCAAUUUGACAUGAUCCCUACUGUCAUUCUUUCGGCACAACCAUUCUCAUUUACGUUUUAACCUUGAGAAUGGAUUGUGCUGCUGUUUGGAGAUGUUACUCUCAGAUGACAUCGAAAUGCCAAUUUAUCUAUCUUAAGAGGUUAUAGUACGAUUGAACUGUAAGGGGUAGGGCUUACAUUUCAGCUUAAAACUGUGACGCAAGAAAAGUUGUUCACUAGAAUGCCCUACAUUUUAGUUACGUUACUAGAAUUGGGACCUUGGACUCAUUAGGCUGAGUCAUUCAACCAUGUGAAUGGUCAAGGAUGUUUUCAAGGAGAUUACCAACGAGUCGCUUUUAAACAUUGAUUCAACGAGUUGUUUAAUGAAUCAAUGUUUGAAGUGGUGUAGUUAACAACGAUACGGAAGUUGCAUCAACCAUGAGUGGCUACGCAAUAUCACAACUCGAGGUUAUGACAUAUGUGCCGCAGGUGGACUUGAAAUUUGUGUUGGGAGAGGGAAAGACACUAGAGUCAACCAACACUGAUAUUCAUGAUUCUGGUAAUAACAUGACGGACAACUAUAGUUUGAGCUGCCAAAGUACAGAUCUUGAGGUCCUGUCCUGCUCAUAUACAGUACACGUGGUUAGCACUUCAAGUCAGUAGCUUCUCUCAGUUUGGUUUUACUUUAUUUAUUUUUACUUCGAUGGCUUGAUGUCUUCUAAUGUCUUGGUUGACAGCUUAUGCGUUAAUUAUAAGAUAAAGCUCUUUUCCAAGCCUUACCACGUUAGAUAUCUGACACGUUGUCUGUUCUUCACCAUUCGCAGUAGGUGUCCCUUUGAUACUCGAUGGUGCGAAGCCGGGAAAUAAUGGCUCACCUGUGCCGGUAUGUUGGUGUGUUUGCCUUCACUUAUUGUUUCCUGACUGAACAAGCUGAUCAAGCAGAAUUUACUAAAUUUAUUUUGUUUCCUUAAUCAUUAUUUACUUUUUAAAGAUCUUACAUACAAACACCCAUAUUAUUAUGCAUAUGAAUACAUGAAUAUGUUUUAUGCUCUAAUGAGUGCCUCAAACAAUCAGUCAUUAUUCCACGAAGAAGUUCUCUAUGUUGUUGGGAGGUGUUGCAAAGUGCAUUCAUGGGUAAUUAUAAUUUUUGGUCCUUAAGUUGCAACAAUUAGCGCUCAUAAUCAUAUAUUGGCAGUCUGAGGACAGGAAGCUGCGGGAUUUACUCGACCGUUUUUAUAUUCAUUUUAGAAGUAUCAGUCAAUAUCCAGAAUUGCAGCCAUUUUCGUUGUAUGGAAUCUAUGAUAAAGUAGCUCGGGAGCUGUACCAUUACUCGCGAUUGUUAACAUUUUUAGGCGGUUAGAUCCUAUGGAUACUAUAAUUUCGUUGAGAUCGAGCAGUUUCUAGAGGCUUUGUUCAGGUAGAAGCUACUGGUGUUUGAGGAAGUUACUGUAACCAUUUUUAGCCGUCACCUUUCCAAUUUUUCAAAAGAGUGAACGAUCUCGCCAGCUUUCGGAGUACUUGUUAGGAUUUUAAAACUUCCCUUUUGGUUUGCUAUUAGAUUCAAGCUUUGAUUUUCAGAGCACGCUUGGGGGCUCAAUUGACUCCGACUGCAUUCUAUGUAUGCUGUCUAAUACGUCUUGUUAUAAGAGUCGAAGUGGUGUAAGGAUACAAUCCAAGUUUCCAAUAUCCAAGUCUUCGAAGAACAUCAGUUCAUCUGCAUUGUCAAGACUAAAUUCGGAGAGAAUGUUAAUAGCAUGUUUAUUGAUUUCUCUUCACUGUGCUUUGAAGGUUCUUGAUGCUUCAUCAUUGAGAUUUAUGGCAGAAGAUAGUAUAACAUCCGACCGGGUGGAAGUGCUCCAUCAUGGGCAGUCCUCAUUUCGAGGAUCUAACGACACGUCAAUGCGGUUCUUUGUGGGUUUUUCACAUAUUGUAUGGAGACCGAUCUGGACCUUGUGGCGCUUCUUUAUACCCCAGUUGAUGAAGUUUGUCGCUCCGCUUAAAAUUGGGUGAGUAUCUCUUUCUAGUAUCUUCUGGUAUGUCCUUGAUGGUGUAUUUGAUAUGUGUGUUUGUUUCGGUUAAAUUGUCUGAGGCUCUUGAAGAUGACUAAUUAGAUUUAAGUUGUAACCACUUCCCCGACUUGAACUCAUAUAUUUUUCAGCUUUAAAGCGCUUUAGACCGACUGAUGUUCACAUCUGUAGAUCAACGCGUAGUUUUUCAUCCGAGACUCACGCUUUGUUUUUACAUGUAUGAAUAUUUAAAACUCAAUCUUGUUAUAGUUCAUUCGGAAAGUCUGCCUCACAAUUGCUCCGAUGCCUGACUGCAGCAUGUAUCUUUGUGUCUAGGGGGCUAAACCAAAGCAGUACGUUGCGUUAGCUUCUCAUUUUAAUUUCUGGUGAACGGGUAAUCAUGCUAGCUCUUUGAAACAUGUGAACAUAUCAUAGCGGUUUAUCACGAGUAUAUUAUCUGAUAGUCAACCUCCUGAUUUUUCAUAUGUUUCUGACUAAACCUUGAUCGACACGCUGUGUGUUUGAGCUACACCUGUGUGAAUGCGUUAGGCAUGAUCUUCAAAAUACGAGUGUUCAAAAUUCUACACCUGGUGGGAACAUAAAAAAAGUGUUUUCCGAUGUGAUUGACUAGACGGAUACGGAGCUCUCAGCAAUUCCCCCAUGAUCCUAGCAUUUUCUCAAUCCAUAAUUUAGUUAAAUAGGUCUAGUAUAUGCUCUCCAAAGUGAGCACAGACGUCUUAGUAUGGGAUGGUGCUCUUUCAGACCAUCCACUCUGCGUUAUGUUAUUAUUUCAAACUGAGUCUUAUUCGAUUCUGUUCUUGAUUGUCAAUAUAGUUCGAGGGUUUUGACUCGUUUGUCUCCUUUACGCAUUGAUUAACAACCAGUUAAUCAAUGUCUGCAUCAUAUCAGGUGAAAAAGGCGUGUACGUCGUGGACUCCCGAAGAACAACCUGCAAGUUGCUGGUGAAUUUCUGGCUUAAGUCUUACGCCUAACUGCCUCCACACUCGUAUCUUAGCAUUAGAAGCUACCAGGUUGGUAGUUUCGAGAACUGGAGGGUUCACCUUAGUAAUGAUGAUUUUUACAUUGUUUCGAUGCAGUGCUCGCCAAGAUAGGCUCCACGACUUGGGAAAUCCUACUCACAUCUUGGGAGGAGCUCAAGCUUGGGCCACAGUAGGAGUAGGUCUAAGUUUGAGAGGUGUGUGUUUGUGAGCUUUUUGUAGUUUUUAAUUGGUCUGUGAAGAAAUAUUGUUAAUAUUAAUAUUCAACUAAUUUUUUCCCCCAAAAAUCCAGGAAGGUCAAAGAUGUAGUGUUGUGAUACCUCACUAGUCUGGCAAAUAUGCUGCAUCUGAAGUGUAAAGAUCACGGAUGCCCUGCACUUUGCACCUUCACUUUUGAGUUUUAUCUACUUUCUGUACCAGAACCACUGAAUUUCUGAGGGCAAUUUAAUAUCACAUUCUCAAAUGAAAUGAAGUGCUCUGUAACACAAUAAACAUAAGUAAUGGUCUUUCCUGACAUUCUGUUCAUGUCUCUUCCGCCUGCUGUGAAGCUUUUGGAGGUAUCAAUACUGUGUUUGAUUUCCAAUUGGCAAACUUCCUAUUAUCACAACUGUGGCGCAUCAACAAAGUACACAGAUGGUAUCCACAAAGCAUGACACCCAGAUAAUGUAUACGUGUCAACUGGACUAAUCGCAUCCAAUCUAACCAGCACAAAAACAUCAAGAGUUUGAGAAUCUUCACUACUUUAGUAGCAAAUCUUGUGCCAAGCAUUGCUUUACACUUGUAGUAAAACUCAAACAAGUUUAUAUUAUGGGAAUGGGAUUCUAUUACAAAGGCCAAGACACCUUAAUCCCAUCCAGAAUGUUUCAAUUUUAAGUAAAAAUGUCUAUGUCCAUGAAGUAACACUCCAAAUUGGGGAUAGGAACAAAACAUUGCUUCGUCUUGUGUAAGAUUCUAGUGGUAUUACACCUUUCUUCUCUUACAUUGCAUUCCACACUAUUGAAAGAUUAACAGUGUUUGAGGUUAUUUAUAAGUGGUUGGAUAAAAACUAGACAAUGAUCACACAAACUUGUUUCUAUCUUAGAGGUUCACAAAUUCAAAAUACUACAUAUACUUUAUAAUUUCCAAUCUAAAACUAUGAGUUUGUUAGUAGUAAAAGCUUUUGCUUCCAAGUCCUAUAUACUUAGUUUCUCACUUUAAACCACAUAUUUUGUGACAAUCACUUUCCAAGUACCUUGACAAUUCUUGUAAUUGAUUUUGGUCUUUAUUACAAAAUGGAUCCAAACUAAGUAAUUAUCCUAUGAUAAAAGCUGCUACACUAUCAUAUACCUCACUACUAAAAGGUCAACAAACAAGAAAUACAAUGACUAUUAAUCCAUCUUUCAAUUAAAAUUCUUUAAGCACCAUUUUUCUUUUGUUGUUUCAACAUGUAUGUGAGGAUAAAUUUCCCCUUCACCUCAAAUUACAAGAUGGCCUCAAUUAAGAGUUGCUUGUAAUUGGUGGUAAGAAGUAGAAAGUAGCAAUAAACAAGUGCAUUCAAACAAUUGUAUACUAUAAAACUAGUCAUAGUCUGUUCACUGGAUUUUUACCUAAUAAAAAGUAAAAUUAAAAAGUAAAAAAUAUAUUUUUAGAUAGAUAAUUUUUUCUAUCUUUCCAAUGACAUAAAAACCAUAUAAUUUCAAGUUACUAUGAAUAAGUUAUGAUAGAUUAAAGAUAGAAUGUAAAUAAUAGAAAAGUUUAGUGAAUAAUUUUUACCUCAAGGAUAACUUGUUUAAGAAACCAGGACUUUGAACCUCACCAAGGCUCACAAGUAGUGUAUAUUGGUCUUUUAAAUAGACCUUGAGGCCUUAGUCUUAUCUUCCUACCUAUACCCAAGGUGUUACAACCCAUAUGAAGAUUGUGCACCUCUCUUCUUACAAGGACUAUACUACUUGUUGGUCUUUCUAUUUUUUAGUAGUAAAACUAGUUUUUUUGCAUUUUUGACUUCACCAUGGUUUUCAAAAAUACUCAAUUAGCCUACAAACCUUGUGUAGGCUUCAAAUCUUGUUUCAUUUCUUCUUAGUUGCUCUCAAGGUGGUAAAACUCAAUUUUACCAAGGUCUUAAAAUUUUCUCUAAAAUUCAUAAAAAAUCCUAAAUAAAUUCUAAAUAAAUUCUAAAAAAUCCUAUAAUAUUUUUGUAAUACUAAUAUCCAUAAAUAAUAUAUUUUUCUAUUUUUUUAAUUUUUUAUAGUAAUAAAAUCAAUUUAAAUCCACUAAAAAUUCUAUUUUCUACAUACAUAACUUAAAAGACAUGAAGUUCUUUUUCAUGCUUCUUUUAACUAUCAACUAAUCAUUGAUAGGAUUUUUAUAAGUAAUACAUGUAGAUAUGAGGCCAAUAUAGAAAUUGGUCUCAAUUACUAAUUGUUGUUCUCGUUGUGUUCAAGCUUCAAUAUACCAAAGCAAUUGAAUUAAUAGAGGUGGAUUCGAACACGGAAAAAGAUUGGUUAUAUGAAUUGGGUCUGUUAGUGUCACAAUUGACUGUACUUUGGCUAUCUAAAAUAAAUUAUCAAACUACAAAAUACCAAGGCUUACUACUUCCAUCUUAAUUCAAUCCAUAAUCCAUUCUACAACUAUCAAUUCAAAAAUACUUUCAUAUUCUUAUCCAUUCAUCUCCCACUUACUCUCUUUGUGGUUUAUAUAUAUUCAAUUACUAAUCUCCAGCUUAUCUAUUGUAUUCAAUUUCUCAAUUCAUCACACAAAAUUCAAUAUCUCGGCUUACGACUCUCACAGUCUGGCACUCGAGAUUAACUUUUCACUAUUCAGAAACUAUCCAUUACUCGUCAACAAAAAAGAAACAAAAAGAGGUAGUACCAAGCUUGCCCCCGCUUACGACUAUCACAGUCUGGCCCUUGGCUUACGACUCUCGCAGUUUGAUCUCUUGGCUUACGACUCUUACAGUCUGACCCCUUGGCUUACGACUAUCACAGUCUAGCUCCGAUAUCUCUUUCUUCAACUUCUUUAUUCUACCUAAAAGAUGAUCCAUCGGCCAACGGAUUCCAAAGAUUAUGACCCUUUGAAUUCUUAACCAUUUAUUCCACUAACAACCUAAUGUUACCAACUAAACUGCCUAACCAUCAGUCUAAUUCUCAAGGUUAUCAAUAACCAAUCAGUAACUUACUACAAAGUUUAUUUACCUAUUCUAUAUAGUCCCACUAUUAAUUGUGCAGUGCCCUCGUAAACAUUUAAUUGUUAUCUAUCUAAAAACUACUUAACAAAACUUUACAAAGGUACUAUUUCCUCUGGCCCAUCCAAUUCAUCAUUUGCUGCAGUAUCAAAUGUGCGUUCUCUUGAAUCUGGUUCCAAUUGCAAAUCUUGUUCAUCCUCCUUCAGUCCGUCCAUCGAUUCCUUCCUCAAUUGAUUUGAGAGAUCUUCAUUAUACUCUCCUAAUUCAUGGACUUGAGCUUUCAGUUUCAAGAUUUGGACAUCCCAAAGUUUCAAUUGUUAUUGCUGCUGAUUCAUCUAUUCUGGAACAUCUUUAAUUGAUACUUGUGACUGGCUCUUCACUGUUAACUCUUAACUAGAACUACUACUCUCGAAAACACAAGAAAUACAAGAAAAUGGCACUCCAACCAAUCCAAAAUAAUACCACACAAUGACUUUAAUUGGUGCCCUACUCCUAUUCUUUUACUACCUGGUGAUAAUGACAACAUGUUAUCCAUACUGUCCGUGAAAGGUAAUGGGAAGUAAUCUUUCUUGAUGGCCGCAUUAAGUUUUCAAAAAUCUUGAUAAAUUUGGAUUUUUCUAUUUUUUUUCGGCACCAUCACGAUUGGAGAAACCCACUCACUAUUUGGUAUCGGGUAAAUAAAACCAACUGUAAGAAGCUUUUCCAAUUCUUCCUUCACUAAUAGGAUAUAUUUAGGAUUAAGGCGAUGUUGCCUGUGUCGUAACGGUUUAGCGUUCUCCUUUAAAAUGAUACGAUGUUCACAAACUUCAGCAGGGAUACCUUUUAGAUCAACCUAAGUCCAAGAAAAAGUUGAUUUAUGAUGUAAGAAAAAUUCUGUCCAAUAGAUUAAUUCUUGUUCCUUAAUACCUUCAUAUAUCGUAAUUGUCUGAGGCUCUGCUGUGAUUGCCAAGUUGAUAGUUUGACAUAAAAAUACAGCGGUGAUGUUUGAUUUCAACCCCCACGCUAGUUUAAAAUCACUCGAUAAGUCCGACAUGUGUGAAGUACUGAAUCCUAUAUUCAGGGCACUCACAUGGUGCAUAUCAUACUUGGUCAUCCAAUCAAUACUAACUUUAGUAAAGAUUUCCGAAUCCAUCAGGUAUAUCAAGUACUCCUCCGGACCACCACAUUGGUACACCACUGCAAGGUGUUGGUUUACUUCCACGGACGCCUUUGUAAUUAGUACUACUGCAUCAUCAUCGAUGCUAAGCUCAUCAUUCGAUGUCAAUUCACAUGCUGGCAAUUGAGAUUCCUCGUUAUAGUGUAUUGGGUACAUUUGUAACACCAUUUUAUCUCCGCCUUUGCCAAUUGUCAAAGUACCCUGAUUCCAAUCGUUCUUGGCCUUCGCUUGAUAAAGCCAAAAUCGUCCCAAUAAAAUUGGAUAAGAUAAAGUCAAACAUUGUAACCGAAAGACGAUGUAGUCAAUUUUAUACGCAAUACCAAUAAUUAUAGUUUGAACACUCCGUAAAAUAUCCAUUGGUUUAACUCAACUAUUAUCUGCCAUCUAUAAUAUCAAUGUUCUGGAUAUUAAGUGUUCCAAAUCUAAAGCAUCUAUUGUAUCAGCAUUCAUUAAAUUGACGCUGGAACCACCAUCCACAUAAACACCUAAGAUCAUAACACCAUCAAUCAAAAUAUCGAUGGUUGGUGCACCUAGAUCAGGGUUCAAACUGACUUCUCAAACUUCCUUAUUGCCUUGCCUAUGCCGUGUUAACAAUGAAUUCAAUGUAGAAUGACACUCUGGUACAACUGCUAGAAGUUGCUUUAUAGAAAUACAAGGUCGAAUAGCAUCCAGAUCCUUCAAAAUAUCAUAGGGUUCCAUAUGUAAGGUAAUAUCUAAUGUCUUCUUCCUUUUCAUUGGUUUGAAUUUAACUCCAUGAGAUAAGAUAUUCUUCCGCCCUGGACUCAGAAUUGGAAUAGUAGACGAAGCUUCCUUGGAAUUCGUACCUCUGAGAGGAUCUUUCGACGGAUAGGAUGUUUCUAAAAACUGCGUAGAGAACGGAACAGCUUGACACAGAAUCAAAGCCUCCGUAAUUGGUACCUCAUUGGGGUGCACAACCGAUUCAGGUCUUAUACUGAGUAAGGGGCCCAUGUCAGGACCUGGAUUGAAUAGCCCCAUAAUUGGGUCCAAUUUGCCUUUUGCUUCAAGAUCACCUAAAUGUUGAAUUAGUCCUUUCUCCUUUUGCUGACUUCUUGUGUGGACAACUUGGACUACUUCUAUCCAAUGAAUUGUUGAUUCCUAUGUCCCGUUAUUUUUUUCUUCUACAAUUUGCACAGGUGAUUGUAUCUUCUAAUCAUGAUUAUUAGGGUUAAAUGGAACAUUGCAUUGAUAAUGAAAAUGACUCGAUUGCUUGCAAUUUCUACAUAUUGGAGCAGAUUCGUCUAUAAACCUUGGAUUAGGGCAUUCACUGGCAUAAUGACCAAUUUAUCGACACCGGUAGUAAUGUAGUGGUUUUUGAUCCAUACAGUGAGAUAUACUUAGAGUCUCCACUGGAAUAUAUCUACUAGGCCGAUUCCAAGUAGCCAUAGUAAAUGAUUCUAGCUGACCAGUUGCUACUGGUCGAGAAUUGGACUGCUGAAUUGAUAUAGUUUGGGGAUUAUCCCCUUGAUUAUUUCCAUCGUUCUACAUCUUUGUUCCAUAAAUCAGAUUAUAAUUAGUAUUUUAAAAAUUUCCAAAGCCAUGAUUAGGUCGAUUUGAGCGAUUACUAUUCUAACUACCCAUAUUUGUAAUUUGUACUUGAUUAACAUCCCAUUGAGUUGGCUGUAUUAACGUUUGGUUAUUGAACUAAUGUUACCUUUGUAAAUGCCAUCAAUUUUGGAUAGGGUGCUUUCUUCCACAAAAUAUACAUUGAACACUUGUUUGUCUAGGUGAUGGACAUUCCGUAUCAAAAUGACCUUGUCCCUUGCAAUUAUUACACCAUAUAUUAGGUCUCAUAUUAGAAGGCUUAUGUCGUUUCUCCUUGUCUUUAGCCAAAUUUACGGCCAAUUCUUCCAUCUUCUUUGUUAGAUUUAAUAACAAGGCUUCAUUUGGAUCUUUAACAAUCGCAUUUGUGAACAACUCUGGUUGUUGAUAAGUUGGCGAUGUAAAAUAAGGUGUCAUUGUUAUUAGAGCUAUUGCUUGGAGUGGUGUAGCAUUAAUUGAUUUUUACAACAUAACAUUCUUCAUGUUGGAGUCAGCUAUUUGUGGAUAAUUAUCCAUUAAUACAUUUCUCGAUUGUAUUUGUUGGCUUCGUGAACUUGGAAUCAUCGUGGCUUCCACUAUUAAUAAUUGGUCAUAAUGACAUUCUUCCCACACCUUUACUCGUGCCAAUGAUGCCUCUACCGUAGCUAGUCGAGCCUCUUUUACAAACAUUUUGAAUUCUGGUAGAUGCAAACCAUUAAUUAAUAUCGACAAUAUAAACGCAUUUGGCAUUUGAUUAUUUGCCCAUUUACAAAGUAUAUCUACAAUCCGGCCAUAAUAGGACUCUACUGAUUCCCCCGCAAUCAUCCUGCUAUUCAUAAAAUUUUCUCUAAGCCGAUCUUCAAAUCCAAUUGGUCUAAAAUGGAUUAAGAAGGCAUUCCUCAAGGCCUCCCAAUUGGGAAAUCUAUCCACUGGUUGUCGAAUAUACCAUUCAAAAGCUAUAUCUUUUAAAGUUGCUGGCAACCAUCUCAAUCAAAUGUCUUCAAUUCUACCAUUAUUAGCCAUGCAAGCUGUCAAAAAUUGAGAUAUAUGGUGAUUGAGAUCAGAGCUUGGGUAACCACUAAAAGUAGGUAAUCGUGCCACACUUAUAGUUCGGUCUCUUAUUGCUCCCAUUUGUACUGUAAUUGGUACUUCUGGCACUCCCAUGGCCAUUGGUGUUAUCAUUGGUCUCUUAACUAUUUGAAUUUGAAUUUUUCUUCCUUUGAUUUUACUUGGACCUACAAUUCCUUUUUGUCAUUUCCGUAGGAGAUUUCUUAUGCGUAAUCACUCUUGUCUUUCUUUCGCUUGUCGAUUAAUUCUUUGAUAAUCCUUCCCUUCAUGAUUAUCAUUCAUAAUCUUUCAUUCUUCUUUACAAAACCAAUACUGCCUUUAAUUAUAACUCACAUAUUUAUAACCUUAAAAAUAGUUCUUUUCACGUUCUCAUUAAAAAUAUAAUUCCAUCUCCCAUACAAUCAAUUUCUAACUUUUCAUAUUGUUAUUAUUUCUCUGGCAGUGGUGCCAAAAUGUUGUUCUCAUUGUGUUCAAGCUUCAAUAUACCAAAGCAAUUGAAUUAAUAGAGGUGGGUUCGAACACAGAGAAAGACUAGUUAUAUGAAUUGGAUCAGUUAGUGUCACAAUUGAUUGUACUUUGGCUAUUUGAAAUCAAUUAUCAAACAACAAAAUACCAAGGUUUACUACUUCUAUCUUAAUUAAAUCCAUAAUCCAUUCUCCGACUAUCAAUUCAAAAAUACUUCCAUAUUCUUAUCUGUUCAUCUUCCACUUACUCUCUUUGUGGUUUAUAUAUAUUCAAUUACUAAUCUCCAGCUUACCUAUUGUAUUUAGUUUCUCAAUUCAUCACAUAGAAUUCAAUAUCUCUGCUUAUAACUUUCACAGUCUAGCACUCCAGACUAACUUCUUAGUAUUCAGAAACUAUCCAUUACUUGUCAACAACAAAGAAAUAAAAAGAGAUAGCACCAAGCUUGCCCCGGCUUACGACUAUCACAGUCUGGCCCUUGGCUUACGACUCUCACAGUUUGAUCCCUUGGCUUACGACUCUUAUAGUUUGGCCUCUUGGCUUACGACUCUCACAGUCUGGCUCCAAUCUCUCUUUCUUCAACCUUUUUAUCUUACCAAAAAGAUGAUCUGUCGGCCAACGGAUUCCAAAGGUUAUGAUCCUUUGAAUUCUUAACCAUUUAUUCCACUAACAACCUAUUGUUACCAACUAAACUGCCUAACCAUCAGUCUAAUUCUCAAGGUUAUCAAUAACCAACCAGUAAUUUAUGACAAAGUUUAUUUACGUAUUCUACAGUAAUCAUUAAUAUUCAAUAAUGAGUGAAAAUACUAAACCAACUAAGAUAAUUACAUCCAAGACUUACUAAGACUUUAUUUUUAUAACUUUUCUUCAAAUAAGACUUUUAUACUUAUAAAUAAUUCUAAAUUCUAAUAAAUAUGUAAAUAGUUAAAAAGUCUCUCUAACCUUAGUAUUUAUCUCAUUAAAUGACUCAAUACUAUAUUUUUAACUAAUCUACCAAUUAAGAUCUAUUGAUGGAACUUAUGUAUGGUGAUUAUGUAGGACUAUUUGUAAAAAUAGAGAGAUUCCAACUCUUGCAUUUGACAUGGUCUAUAAAAAAUAUAGAAAACUAAAAUAAAAUAAAAUAUAAAAAAUUAUUAGAAAAGGCACUAUCAUCUAUUAGAAGAAGUAGAAUAUGAGUAGAAAACUACUAAAAUAUUGACAUAGAGUCAAAAAAGAUCAACUAUUUGGUUUAAACUCAAUAUGUCUCCACAUGUAGCCACUUUUAGCAUAUUAAACCAUCACCUACAUCCUUAGGAUAAGAAGUUUUUUUUUUUUUUUUUUUUUUUUUUUUUUUUUUUAAAUCAAAGAUCUCCUUCUUUUUCAACUAAGUAGUUUCAAUGUAGUAAACUACAAUCUUUGAAUCUCUCUAAGUUUUUUAAAAUGCUUUAAUUGAUCUUCUAAAGUUUGAGAAGCAUCCAAUUUUUUAUCGAUGGUAAUGCACAAGGAUGAGGCUUCAACCUCUAUAAAUCGAAUAUGAAUGUCUUCUUCUUCAUAAGGAUUUUCUUCUAACCAUUUGGAAAAAUCACCCUCAUCUUCAUAUUCAUAUAAUCUAAGGCCAAUACAUUUUAUUGGUACUAUAGUUAAAGUUGAAUUAGAUUGGAUAAAAUUACUUUGUUUGGCUUCUUUAGAUGUUAGUGUUUUUUCUAAUGGAAUAAAGAUUUGGAGUCUAAAGUGGCUAGAUACUAUGAUUUUUGUGCGAUUGUCUAAAGGUCCAAAAGUAAAAUAAGGCUUAGAACCCCUCCAAUUUGUUAUUCUUUUAGAUUGCUUCAUCCAUCCUCUUGCUAAUAAUAUAGGGUAGCUAUCCACUUCUUCACAUGGGUGUAUAACAUAAAAUGAUAUCACAUAAUCUAUACCUCUUGCUUACAUAUGAAGGUCUCAAAUUUGACCUAAAAGUUGAGAAGGUCCUUGAUCAGCUAGACUCACUUUCAUAACUACCUUACGAGUGAUUUUUAAUCUCAAUUUGAUCAUGGUAGAUUCAAGCAUAAUAUUAAUGCUACUUCUAUCAUCUACUAUGACCUUAGAAAUUAUUUUAUCUACUAUUUCUACAUCUAUCUCAACACGUCCAUACUCUCUAGUGUCUUUUUUUUCUUUUGAGGUAAUAUCUUCUUUUAAAUCUCCAACUUCAAUUCUAGCUAUUCAUUCUAUAUUUUUGGUUUUUCUUUGUGUAAUUAUACCUUAUUUGAGGUCUUUUUUGAUGGUUGGUGCUACUUGAAUUAAUUGACGAAAAAAAAAUAUUGGCUCUAGCCCUACAAAGGUCUUGCCAUAAAUCAUACGAUUGUGUAGGAUUGAAGGUUCUAGUAAUUGUUGGAUGUUUUAACAAGGUAUAAGUCCAAGGCCCUUCUUUGUCUACAAAUUGAUAUUCUUCCUCAUUAGGUUCAAUCAAAGAAGAUGAUUGAUUGUAUUUUAGUUAUUUAGCUACCUUCUGAGUAGUUUUUGUCAAUUCAUUAAACUUAGGUGAUUCUUUUGAAGUAUCUAAAGAUAUUUUAUUGAUUUCAAGAGGUACUAAAUCUAUUGAUUUUUUGGCACUCAUACUUCUAGUUACAACCAUAGAAGGUAAAUAUAUAUUGUUCUUGAAGAUCUCCUCGUUGUUUAGUUUGACUAAAUUGAAUUGAGGAGAUGGUAAGGUUGAUGUAGUAAGUACAUCAGGUUGAACCACUGUAUAUUUAACAUCUUGAGAAGAAUGUGGCUGUUGAUUUUGGUUUUGAUUUUGAAUAUAGACUAUAUGUUAUUAUAAUAUUUCAUAAUUGGUUCUAACUAUUGUUGGAAGAUAAUGGUUUUGAUCAUUGCUUGAAGGAUCAUAAUACAUGUUUCAUGGAUUUAUUGUAACAAAAGGAUCUGCAAAUCUCACUCCUUGUAUAUUUCUUAUGGUUUGAUUAUUAUAAUUUUUUGAAGAAGAAGUUGAGGAAUUAACUUAGUUGAAUCUUUUACAACGAUUUGUAGGAUGAAAACCUCCACAAUUUGAGCAUAUAAUUCUAUUCUCAAUCCAACAUUGAUCUAUCUAAUGUGGUUUUCCACAAGUAGGACAAGGUAUAAUAUUAUUCCUUUGGUUGGAAGGAAAGCUAGGACCUACUUGUUUUGAAUAGUGAGAAAAUCUAUAAGGUUGGGAUUCAUUUUUUUCUAUAAGUGGUUGUUGUAAAAACUGUGGACAAAAUUGAGCAGUGUGAUUUAUUUGUCUACAGUUUGUACUCUACAAUUCAAAAGUAUGAAUUUCUAAUUUAUAGUAUCUAGGUUCUAUAGUUGGAGUUUGAUUUUUAAUAAAGCAAGAUAUUUUUUCACUAAUAGCUUUGAUAAUAUUCAUCAUCUCAUUGGUUUGCCUUACAUUACUUUUAAAUUCUUUCAAUCUAAUAUCAUAAAAGGCAUUAGUUUGAACUUGAACAUGUGGAAGUUGUAUAGUUAAAGGUAUUAGAUUAUUAAUUGGUAAGAAAAUAGUAGAAGGUUGUGAGUAGCAUAAAGCUAGAGGUUGAUGGAAUUCUAUAGGUCGAUGUUGCAAGGAUAUAAAAGAGGAUAUUGGUUCUUCUGUCGUUUGUAGUAUACAAUCAUUUUCCUUAUCAAUAACUUUCACUUCCAAAGUGGCUUGAAUGACUCCUUCUAAAUCUUUAAGUCUCUUGUUUAGGAUAUCCCGAAUUGUAGAAGGCAUGGCUAAACCUUGAAUAAAGUAGUACCUUAUAGUAUCCUCAUUUAAAAGAUUACCAACAUAUUGAGUAUAUACUACUCAAAAUCGCCUCACAUAAGAAGUAAUAUCUUGUGAAGGACCUUAUCUAAUAGUUGUCAAGGCUAAAAGAGCUUGUUGUUGGCUAAUUAUGGGCCUAUAUUGAUGAAAAAAUAUUACUAGAAGUUGUUCCCAUUUAAUAAAUGCUUCCUCUACAUGGGAUCUAUAUUAAGUAUACGUAGAAUCUGACAAGGUUGUUAGAAAUCAUAUUAAAUAGUAGCCAUGAUUGAUUACUAAACUAGUGAUAAACACUUCUACAAACCUUUCUACGUGGAUUGCCGAGUUUUCAUUGAUAGAUCCAUUAAAUCUUAGGAGGUUAGGUGGAAUUGGUCCCCCUUGUAAUCCUAAAGAUACUACAAUUGGUAAUUCCUUAGGUAACAUCAUUGGGUUGAUUUGGGUAUUAGCUUAGAAAUUGUGGUUAUCUUCAUUGGCUACAUUAGCCCUUUGAGUUGGAAAUAGUAAAGGUUCUACUUGAGGCUCUAAAAGAUGUCAUCUACUGUGUUCCAUUCCAAUAGAAGCUUGUGACAUCUUGUGACAAAAUUCUUUUAAUACAUGGAUUUUUAAAACUAUAGGUUCAAUAUAUGAUCUAGAUUAUAAAACGAGUCCAGAUUGCAAAACAAGGCCAGUAGGAGGAGGAUAAACUAUCUUCGAUUCAAUUCUAGGUGGCAUAUAAUUAAGUAUAUGACUCUUCAAUGACUCCUUUGAGAUAAAAGACCUAAUAGGUGAUUAAAAAUAAAAUAAGUAGACUUUGAAUUAUUUUUAUUUUAUUUUGUGAAAUAAUGUAAAAUCCUUUUUCUCUUUACCUAUUUGUAAAGCACAUGGUUUAAGUAUAAAUUAAGAUGAAAUUUUGUGCGGAUCUCAAAUUAGUGGUCUCACUCAAUAAUUAAACCUUUAUCACAAGUGAUGCACGAGGUCCAACUAAAUACCAAGUUAAGAUCUUCUAUCGAUCUUAAUAUGGUGGAGUUAUCCAUUAGUUGGACUUGAUUCACAAUUUAGAGAUUGAAAAACGAGGCCAAGAAAAGUACAAGUAAUUUAAAAUUUUAUCACAUGGAAACUACAAAAAUCAGAUGGACAGGAAAAAUACAACUUGUAGGGCAACUUGUUGCUUUCAUCUUUGUCUCAUGGAGGUCAUCACAUUCCACAAGUAUAGGCUCAACAACAAAACAAAGUCAUGCCGGCCAUUAGCUCGACUUCACUUUCUACAAAACAUCUAGAAAUUAAAAGCACCUAUCACAAACACAAGUAGGUUUUCUUAACAAAAGAAGUAGAUUGGAGAAUUUCUUGGUGCAUGUAAUUGAAUAUUUUAGUAUUCAAUUACACUACAAGGUGAUAGAAUGGUUAAGGUAUUACCUUUAGGACAACAAGUCCCACCAUGCUCCUUCCUAAGAGUACCUAAACUUGAAAUAAAAAUGAAGAGCUAGGGUUUGAAACCUAUCUAAUUUUGCCAAGCCAUGCUCCUUCCUUGCAUGUCUAAAAUUUCAAAUAAAAUUAAAGAUCUCAAGUUUGGAACCCACCUAAUUUUGCCAAACCAUGCUCCUUUUCUUCAACCCACAAUCUAAGUUAGUAAAAUAAAAUUCAAACUAAAUAAUUUUUGUUAAAAAAUAUACUCAUCUUAGAUUAUGAUUUGAACUAAUCCAAUAUUACUUAAGAUUAAAAAUAAUAAUAUUGCAUAAAAAAUAGUUUAAUGAAUAACUAACAAUAUAUUAGACUUAAGUCAAUACAUAAACUUACAAUGCAUCUAAUAAAAAGAAAAAUAAUAUCAAUAAAUAAAAAUAAUAGUAAAAAUUGAACAAAAAAAAUAAAGAUAAAAGGUAAUUAAAUAAAUAAAUAAAUUAAAAAAUAAAUAGUAAAUAAUAAAUAAUAAAAUCAAAUCAAAUAAGUUAAAAUAAAAUAAAAGCAAAAAUAAGAGUGAAAAUAAAAUUUAAAAGUAAAAAUAAAUUAUCAAUUGAUUUUAGUUUUUAUUAGUUAAAUAGUUUAUUUAUUUUAAUAAUAUUUUUAUUAUUUAUAAUUAAUAAUUUAUUAUAUUAUAUUAUAUUUUUCAUUCUCUUAUUUAUUUAAUUAUUAAUUUAAUUUAAUUUAAUUUAAUUUAUUUUAUUUUCUAUUUUUCUUUAUUAUUAUUAUUAUGAUUAUAAUUUAAUAUAGUUGAGAGAAUUUUAAAACACAAAAUUUAAAAGCAUAACAAAAAAUCAACAAUGUAAAUGAUUGAAAGAUAUAAAUCACUAACCUCAAUUGUAUUUGUUCAAGGCAGCAACCUCUCUCCACUCUAGAAAUCGCCACACAUUCAAUAUUGAUUCCAAAGCAUUGAAUUUUAUACCACUACAAACUCAACUUUGAGGUGCUCGUACCCAGAAAUUUUCACUAUAAAAUACUUAUCCUGCACUUAGAAAUGCCUUGUCAAAGACAGGGUACACAAAACUGCCAAUGCAGUGAACCCUCUUGUGUUCGAAAAUUCACCACAAAUUCGUUAUAGCUCCAAGUUGAGCGUAUAAUAUCUUUUUAGAAAGCUAAAAACAAGAUACAUAUACUUCCAAAGUUUCAACUUUAACUAUCAAACAUCCAAAAACUGAUUGACAAAAAUCCGAGAGAAAAUCAACAUUCUACUCAACAACUAAACUUUUAAUUAUCUUUUGAUUUUUAAAAAUUUAAAGGCCUUGUCUACACCAAAACCUACAAAUAAUGAAGACUAAGUUGCAAUACUCACACAUUAAGUCCAAGCAAGAUCAUUCACCAAAAGCUAACUUUACAUUCUCACACACCAUUAGAAACACCAUCUCCCGGCAAACGCACCAUUUAUGUGAGGGUAAAUUUUCCCUUCACCCCAAAUUACAAGAUGACCUCAAUUAAGAGUUUCUUGUAAUUGGUGGUGAGAAGUAGAAAUAGCAAUAAACAAGAACAAAAGAAGGACAACACCAAACAAGUGAUAUAAGUGCAAUCAAGCAAUUGUAUACUGCAAAACUAGUCAUAGUCUGUUCACUGGAGUUUCACCUAAUAAAAAGUAAAAUUAAAAAGUAAAAAAUAUAUUUUUAGAUAGAUAAUUUUUUCUAUCUUUCCAAUGACAUAAAAACCAUGUAAUUUCAAGUUACUAUGAGUAAGUUAUGAUAGAUUAAAGAUAGAAUGUAAAUAAUAGAAAAGUUUAGUGAAUAAUUUUUACCUCAAGGAUAACUUGCUUAAGAAACUAGGAGUUUGAACCUCACCAAGGCUCACAAGUAGUGUAUAUUGGUCUUUUAAAUAGACCUUGAGGCCUUAGUCUUAUCUUCCUACCUAUACCCAAGGUGUUACAACCCAUAUGGAGAUUGUGCACCUCUCUUCUUACAAGGACUAUACUACCUGUUGGUCUUUCUAUUUUUUAUUAGUAAAACUAGUUUUUUUGCAUUUUUGACUUCACCAUGGUUUUCAAAAACACUCAAUUAGCCUACAAACCUUGUGUAGGCUUCAAAUCUUGUUUCAUUUCUUCAUAGUUGCUCUCAAGGUGGUAAAACUCAAUUUUACCAAGGUCUUAAAAUUUUCUCUAAAAUUCAUAAAAAAUCCUAAAUAAAUUCUAAAUAAAUUCUAAAAAAUCCUAUAAUAUUUUUGUAAUACUAAUAUCCAUAAAUAAUAUAUUUUUCUAUUUUUUUAAUUUUUUAUAGUAAUAAAAUCAAUUUAAAUCUACUAAAAAUCCUAUUUUCUACAUACAUAACUUAAAAGACAUGAAGUUCUUUUUCAUGCUUCUUUUAACUAUCAACUAAUCAUUGAUAGGAUUUUUAUAAGUAAUACAUGUAGAUAUGAGUCCAAUAUAGAAAUAAGUCUCAAUUACUAAUCAUUAAUAUUCAAUAAUGAGUAAAAAUACUAAAUCAACUAAGAUAAUUGCCUCGAAGACUUAGUAAGACUCUAUUUUUAUAAUUUUUCUUUUAAUAAGACUUUUAUACUUAUAAAUAAUUCUAAAUUCUAAUAAAUAUGUAAAUAGUCAAAAAGACUCUCUAAUCUUAGUAUUUAUCUUAUUAAAUGACUCAAUACUAUAUUUUUAACUAAUCUACCAAUUAAGAUCCAUUGAUGGAACUUACAAUGCAUUUAUAAUUAGCAAAAAAUUUAUCGUUGACUUGUAUUUUAGUAUAUCUUUUAAAGAAAAUUUUCAUUUAUACUUUGUAGAGCUUAACUUGAUACUAAAUAAUAUGCAUUAAAGUUUCUGCAUACUUAAGUUUCAAUAAGAAAAUAUCCUAUCCAAGUAAAUGUCCUCAAUAUUGCAAUCAUACUAUUAAGUCUGUACAUUAUAAAUUUUGAUAGUUAUAUUAUAAGAUUUGGAUCAAAGAUUUAUUUCUUUCAUGAUUCAAUACAAUCAUCAACAAAUGGUCUAAUGCUUAAUACUAUGGAAUUUUACAAAAUUUGUAAUCCAUUGGUUUUAACUACAAACAAUCAAGAUUGGGUAGUAGUAAAGACUUUUAAGGUGGACAUGAAUUUGACAAAUUAGUAAGAUUUUCUUUUUUUUCUACACCUUCAUAAAUAAAUUACUUGCAAUCCAGUGAAUUCAUUGAUAUAUUUUUUUUUAUUUAUAUAAUGUAAGAUAUUUUCUUUCAUCUUUUUUUUUGAUUUUUUUUAUUGUAAUGCAUGUUCAUUCAAUCAUAUAUAAAAGAAAUCAGUACAACCCUAACUUGGUUCUUAUUAAAAAUUGAUGCUCUUUGAAAAAAGUUUAAUUAAAGCCAUCUCACUAGACUUUAAUAGUCUUUGAAAUCUUACAAACUUGUAAAGAUACAAAUGUCUUAACCUUGAUCAUAUUCCUAGAUAAACAUCCUUACAUAUUCACCAAUUGUACUACAUUAUUCUAUGUGAUUGAAAUAAAACAUCAUUUUUAUGUGCAAAAAAUUAGAUGGUAUUUCUAUAAUAAGACAUCUAUGUGACUUGAGUGACUUGGUAAACUUGAAAGCACUAUGAAUUCAAAUUUAUUUAGUGAUAUGAAAGUACAAAUUGAAUUGGUACUCUAUUGCAUUUAGAUAUUACUAUUACAUUACAUGUUCAAACAUUUACAAAAUAAUAUGUUGAGUAGACCUCUCUUAAAAUGGCUUCAUUAUUAUUUAAUCUUAAUUAAUUGUAAACACUCUUAACUUAGUCAUACCAAAUUAUUAUUUGACCAUAGUAUGGAUUUUAGCUGAUUAUCACAAAGCUUGUAUUGUCAUUAUGAUUGUGCUUCUUGUGAGUAGCAAGUUAUUGUAGAAUUACAACUUUAGUAGAAAUAUUCCUUUAGCAUUCUAGACUAAGAUUGUAUAAUUAAUGUAAGUUACUAUAUUUCUUUUGAUUAUAUAACAGCAACUUGUAUAAACAUUGCUAUCUAAUAACACUUGAAUAACAUGCAUACUUUCUAAUUUUAUAUAUAUAUAAAAAAAUUUGCAAUAUUAUGCUAGUUAUGUUGGAUAAUCGUUUUUAAAUGCGACACCUCGAAUACCAACUUAAAGAAAUAUUGUAGCUAUUGAUUAUAAAGCUAUUGUAUGAGUAAUGGCAUAUGCAAUAAUUAUAGGUAUUCUAGAAUAUUAUUUUAUUUUCUUUCAAAAUUAUAAACCUACACAAGAGAAUGGUAUAUUUAUGGCUAAUAAUUUAUAUUCAAAUAUUCUAUGCAAGGAUGUUAAAAUUAAAUUAAUUUUAAAUAUUCAUGGAGUUCAAUAAUUAGCCAUAUUUUAUACCUUAGAAAAAUGAUUGAUUGGACAAUAUACAACAAUUUGUCAUUGAUUCAUCAAAUGCUUGUGCAACAAAACUUUAAGACAAUGAACACAACUUCCUACAAACUGAGACCACUAGAGAAGUUUGUUGUUGUAUUGGACAACUUAAAGAAAGUAUUUAAGAAAUGGAACUUCAGUACCAUAUAUUAUAAUAAGUUGGAAGAUGGUAGAGAAGUUAUAAUAAAGAUCUUGAAUAUAGAAUCUUGUAUUUAUAAAAAAAAAAAAAAAAAAAAAAAAAAAAAUUCUUCAAAGAAAUUGAGAUUUUAUUUAAAGUAUAUUAUAGAUCUGAAAGAAUAUUGCACAAUACUAGUAAAAUAAAUAGUGUUGAUCUCUAAGUAUAUUCACAAGGAUUCUCUUCAAGACCAUUUGAUUGAUACAAUAUUAUCUUUUGUACUUUGAACAUCUUAUUUAGAUUGCUUAAGAUUGGACCAUGAUCAACAACAUUAUUAUAAAUCCUCCCAAAUGUUAUAACCUAAUCCAUAAUCUUCCACAUAUUUAGAUAUUUAUUUACUUUUGAAUAAUAAAAAAUUAUGGCUUCUGAUUAAAAUCAAAGGUUUCUUUGAAUUUGGAUCAAAUGUAAUGGAUUUGAAGAACUACCUUAACAUUACUCUUUAUACAACAUUUGGUAUUGUGCUAAAGUUGAGGUAAAGCAAUUUCUUCUACAUGAUAUUUUGCUCUAAUAUAUAGGGUAUAAUUUGCUCAUAUUUUAUAUCUCUUUAUAAAUUUUGUACAAACUUGGGAUAUCUAUAAAAAGUAUGUAGUCUAAUUUUUUUAUGUAAUGAUGUAAAAAACAUCAAUAUUCUCAUUACUUCCAAACACAAUGAGGUAUUGACAAACUUUGGAUUGUCAAGGCUUACUAAUAAUGACAAUACUAAGGUCAUCAUAUUUUUCAUAGAAAAAGUUGGUUACUUCAAUCUAGAAUAAAUAAUACUUUAUGAUCACAUAUUUUAGGUUUCAAUUCAUCUUUAUUCUAUAUGUGGUAAUAAUUAUUAAUCUUUAUUUUUACAUAUAAAAUACAAUGCACCAAAAAUUAGAUGUAAUAUUUUAUAAAUGUUACAAGAAUUGAAAUAAUAUCUAGAUUUGGCAAAAUACAACAUAAGCUUCUAUAUUCUUUUUCAAUAUGUAAAAAAAUUACAAGAUUUUGAAUUAGUACAUGUUGCUAAUAGAAUUUAACAAUGAUUUAAAAAAAAUACCAAUCACAUGUAGUUACAUUAAAAUUCCACAUUAAAGAAGAAAAUAGUGCAUAAUUACAAAAUAGUUAAAUCUUUAUUAAAGCUUUUUCUAUGUUUUGAUAGAAUUAGUUUUAUAAAAAAAACUAAAAUUAAUAAAAAGAUAUCUAUGAAAAAAUUUCUAUUUUCUAUAAUUGAAUAAUUUCUUCUACAUACAAGACUUAAGGAGGAUAGAUGAAAAGAAAAGUAGCUAAGGAUUUUUUUUUAUCAAACCGUUCUUAUAAAAUUUCUUUGAUAAUGUUAAUUUUAUAAUUUUAAAUAAAUAAUUAUGCAUAUUUUAUUUUUAUAUUAUUAAUAUUUUUAUCUUUUAUAAGAAUCAUAGUAGAAAUGUAAUAAAAUUAUAUAUAUAUAUAUAUAUAUAUAUAUAUAUAUAUAUAACCAUGUGCUUUUAUUUUACUUAGCUUUAUCAUUAUAAUAUAUUUUUUAAUUUUUUUGAAAUUAUAUAAUACUACUACUACUUUAAAAUAAUUUUUUUCUAAAUAAAUUAUAAUUUAAGCGUCACUAAAAAAAAUAAUUCAUAUAUUUAUUUUUUGAUUUCUAGAAUUUUUUCAAAUAUUCAAAAAAUAUUUUUUUUUAUUUAAAAUAUUUAAAAAAAUUCCUCCAAUAUUAUUUUUUUGAAAUUUCUGAAGUAUCUUUUAUAAACCAUGAAAUUCUUGUAAAACAAUCUAAAGAAUUUUAUUAAAAUUACUUAAUAUAAUAUUUCUUGGUUUUUUUGCAACUUCCAAAUAGACACAUUUUUCUUUUAUGAUGGUAUUGUCCUAUCAAGCAUUGUUGUGAAUAUUUUCUUUUGAAACAAAAUCAAAAGUGUGUUGAAUAUAUUUCAUAAAAAUUAUACUUAAGUGAAAAUUCUAAUAAAUCUUGAUAGUUAGAUUUUUCUAACUUCUUAAUUGUAUAUAAAAAAAUAUCAUAUUAUUUUUUAUUAGAAAAAAUCUAUGGCAUUAGACACUACAAUCUUUGUUAUAUUCAUCCAUUUCUUUCUUUAUACUUACUUCUUUAUUCUCAUGUUUUCUUCUCCUCAUGUUUCUUAAUUUUUAUAUUCCUUGGUUUUUAUGUUCUAUGGUUCUCUUAUUUGUAUAUUCUUUGAUUACCAUAUUCCAUGAUUUUUAUAUUUUCUUAUUCUUUGUUUCUAUUUUCUACUCAUAAAAUUUUUUCUUUGUCUUUUUGUGUUAUAUCCAUGAUUUUUUAUUAUGUAGAUAAUUUUUAAUUAUUUCAAUAUAAUAUAAAAUUUGUAAUGUCAUUUAAAUGAAAUUUUGAUAUUUAUAAUUCAAAAUAAUUAGUUUAUUUAUCUUUGUAUAUUUUAUCAUGCAAUCUUUUAAAGUCUUUUUUUUUCCUAUGAAUAUUAUUUUAUUUAAUAAUAUUUAUAAAUAUUUAUGAUAAAAAUAUGUUAUAUAUUUUUUAAAUAAAUUUUAAUUGGUGAUAAACUUGUUUUAUUUGAAAGACAUUUUAUAAUCAAAAUAUGUCAAAUUUUUAAUAUAUAUUUAUUAAAAUGAUUAUUUUAUAUAUAUACACACAUAUUAUAUAUAUAUAGAGAGAGAGAGAGAGAGAGAGAAGAAUUUUAAAGUGAUCUAAGGUUUUAUUAAAUUGUCUCAUUCAUCCUAACCAUCAUAAAAAUAGUGAUCUCUAGAUUUAUUUAUCUACUACUAGAUCAGCAAUCAAUAAAAAUCAAUCACAUUCAUUAUUACUUUAAUCUUCAUCAUUGAUACAAUCAUAGUGGCCGCAAGAUCUCUUUUCUUUUGCAAAGGAAAUCCUAGUUUUGUGUUUAAAAAGGAGCCCGAGGUAGAUCUAGAUUCAAUUUUCUUGUCUUGACUUUCAUCUCCUUCUUGCAUUGAGCUUUAUUUCUUGCUUUGCACUCCUAGCUCAUUAUUGAGGUAGUUUAUUACCAUUGUCAUGCUCUUCACUUGUUGUUGAGAUGGUUCAAAUUAAAUAUUAUUGUCGUUUGGAUGGUCCAUUAUUUUUUGUAAUCCUUACUCAAUAUGAAUAUUUUCAUUGCUCUAUAUUGUGAUGUCAAGUAUAGGUUGUAUUUCCAAAUAAGUGUUAUUUAUUUUUAAUUUAAACUCUAUAUUGUGAUAUUGAAUGUAUGUUAUGCUUCUAAAGAAGUAUUGUUUGUUUGUUUGUUUUUUUUUGUUUUUUUGUUUUUUUUAUUUUUUUUAAAUUUAAGCUUUACAUUGUGAUAUUGAAUGUAUAUUGUGCUUCUAAAUUUUUUUUAUUAUUAUUUAAACUAGAUUUUAUUCAAAAUUUGAAAUACAAAAAUAAUUAGUUGUAACAAUUGAUGAAAGAGUGCAUUAAGAUUGAAAUAUAUUUGCAUUGUAAAAAAUGAUGCCAAUAUUAUAAUAUUUCGUUGCAUUAUGAUUUAUUCAUAUUCAAAUUAUAUUUUAUUUUUAUCAUAGACUAUUUCAGAAUUACUUUGUAAAAAAUCUGCUAAUUAGUUCUACAACAUGCAAAAUCUUAAAGCAACUUUCACAUUUGUAUGUCAACAUUCAUUGCAAGUUGUUGAGAUAAUUGUAAUUUUUUAUUGACUUGUAUCUGGUAUGUGCAACAAAAAAAGUUGUAUCAUUGGUUGCUAUGAAAAUACCAAAGUCGUUCUACUAUGAGUACAUCAUAAGUUAUUUUAAUCUUCAAGUGUGUCAUUUUUCUCAUGGAUAUUUAUAUGAAGUUUCAAAAUCUAUAAUAUAAUUUUAGAUUUUUAGAAAUUAAACUUAUAAGUAUCAUAAACAUCUAAUAAGAAGAUUUUAGAAAUAUUCUUAUAAUAUUCUAUAAAAUUCUAAAAGAUUUUAAAAUAUUUUAAAAAGGUUUUAAUAAGAGGUUUUAAUAGACUUUUAGAAUAUCUUAUUAAAUUCUAAAAGAUUUUAGAAAGAUUUUAGAAAGAUUUUUAGAAUAUUCUAAAAUAUUUAAAAAAAUUAAAAAUAUUCUAAGAGAUUCUAAAAUAUUUUUAGAAUAUUUUAAUAGAUUCUAAAAAGUUCUAAAAAGAUUAAAGAAGUUGUUCAAGAAGCUUCUUAGGAUUACUUCAGCUUCAAGCAACAUAAAAACUUUUUAAGAAGCUUCUUAAUACCUAGUAUAUAUUAGAGUCAAGUUUGAGGGAGAUCUUAGUUUUGACAACACAUCUCUUAGAAUUUUAAUUCACUUUUUUUGAUAUUGAUCUUGUACUCAUUUGAUUUAAUAAAGUUCUUUUUAGCUUUUUUGUUGAAAUUCUUAUGUUCAAUUUCUUAUUUGGUCUUCCAUGUAUUAUAUUCAUGAAAGUUUAUUGAGAUUGCCUUCUUAUCAAUACUAGAGCUUGAUCCUUCUUAAUAGAAAGUGGAUUAUCCCUCUUCUUGAAGGCAUCAAAGUGCUUUAGAGGUUGUGGAGUAACCUCUUUUAAAUUGAUAUUGUUUAGAUUUUUUUUUUUUUUUUUUUUUUUUUUUUAAGAUGAUUCGAAGUAAAGAUAUUUGUAUGGUUGAGUCUCUUGAGUCCAAACCAGAUGUUAUUAUAAACAUUCUGAAUAUUAUCUUGUAUAAUUACUGAAAUUGAAGGAUUAUUUGCAAGAUUUUAUAGUAAUGUAAGAUCUGGAAUAAUUUAGUCUAUGAUGGAAUCACUUUCUAAAGCUUCUAUAUCUAAGGAGGUAGUAGCAUGUAUACCUUUAUAAAAAAAAUUAUCUAUUCAACAAUCUAAAGAACAUUGGAUUAGUCUUCUAAAAAAGUUUGAUGACACAUGCUUUGAGUUUCAAAGAUUUAUUAACUAAAUUUGAUUAGUAAUCUUUCUUUCAUUUGAGUGCUAUCUAUUAGAAGAGUUACAAGUUGAUUUAGUUGAAAUCUUAUUUAGAAGAUAAGCCUUAUUUUGAUUUGCUCAUUUAUUUGAAAAGAGAUCUCCAAUCUUUAGUAAAUUUGAAUUUUUUUUAAAAGCAUUUGAAGAGAAAUUUGGAGAACAUGACAAGGUUCAAUGGACUACAACAAAGAUUUUUCCAUUACGUCAAGGGUCAUGCUUUGCAUCUAUUUAUACAUUUAUUUUUAGGUAAUUGACUUAUGACAUCAAUUAAAAUGAAUAAGCUCUUAUAAAAUAAUUCUAUUGGAAAUUAAAGGAUUAUGUAAAAGACCUAUUAUUAUUAUCAUUAUUAUUUAAUCCUAAAAUAUUCAAUAAAAGUAUCAACCAAGUUGUAAAGUGUGAUAAUCAAUUACUUCAACAUUGUCAAGAUCAAUGCUCGUGAACUUUGACAAAGCAAUCAUUUUACUUUUUUGUUUCAAUAAAUAUAUUAUUUUUAUAUUGGUAAAUUAAAGAUAUAUAAAUUGAUGUAAUAUAAUUUAAAUUUCUUAAAUAGAAAAAAAGAAGCAUGGUUUUGAACAAAAUCCAUGCUUAUAUUGUGGUGAAGGAGGCUAUAAAUCUAGAAAUUUUUCAAAGAAACAACUUACAAGUAAGAUUAGAAGUACAAUUAUUCAAGAAAAUAAUGAGGUCUAACUACAAUAGAGACUAUGCAAUUAGACAUUUCAAUUCUUUAAAUUCAUUAAGGUCUUUUUCUCUCUACCAAAAUUACUUAUAGUUUUACUAUAUAUUUAUUUUUUAGCCCAAAAAAACUUCAAACAAAUGCCUUAUUAGAUUGAGGAACAUCUACUUAUUUUUUAGAUGAAGAAUUUUUCAAACUUCAUAAAAUUUUUCUAUUAUAGAAAUCAAAACCUCUACAUGCAAAAGUAAUAGAUAGUUGAAUUUUAUCUUCAAGAAAUUUUAUUCAUGAGACUAUAUAUCAAGGAUAUGAAUCUCAAAAAAAAAAAAACUUCAAUAUUUUUUUGUCAUUCAAAAGAAUUAAAAAAUCAUUCAAAGUUAAUAUAAUAUUAAAUUAAAAUGACUAUUGUCAAAGACAAGAAGUUUAGAAAGUCUUAAAAUAAGACUAAGAAUUGAAAAGGCAUUAAUAAAAGUGAAGAAGGCUUUAUUCUUACCUCCACAUAUGCUCUCUACUUAGGAGCUAUGUAGUAAUAUAAUAUAAGACCUCCAAUACGUGUUGACUUUGCUAGAUACAUAUUUUAAUUUAUAAAACAAGUUAUCUAUAUUUGGGCUAUAUAGUUAGCUUAUUCCACAAGCUAUUAAUAUAUGUGAUACAAGGCUAAUUUAUUGAUAAAGUUUCUAGCCUAUCAAUUUACUACAAACACAUAUAAUAUCAAAGUAGUAUAAAGCUUCUAAGAAGCUUUUUUAAAAGAUAUUAAUAAAUUAAUCUACUAUUAUCUACUUCUAUUUAAUUAUAUAGGUAAAUAUCAUAGUACAUAAAUUUUUUCGUGAUAUUAUCUUCCAUUCUAGACAUGAGUUCUAUGACCAACUGCCAUCAUAUGUUAAAAAAAUCAAAGAUGCAAUAAAUUGUAUUUGUCACAUACUCUCAUCUUUGUUCUUUUUGAAGAGAGUUGAUAGGUCUUCUUAGCCAUCAAUAGUGUCUUAUAUCAAGGUAGGAAGAUCACCCUAUUAUUUGAUUAUUGUUGAAGCCUUUGUAACUUUCUUCAAAUAAAAUAUUUGCAAUGCUGUUAAAAGUGGUUCUAAUUUCCAAUAAAAUCACCAAAUAUUGGGAGUUUCUUCUAAAGUCAUGAUAUCAAAUAUAUUAUAUCUCACCAUCUAUUCAAGAAAAGAUGCUAAGAGAGUAGAGAGAGUUUGCCUCAAGAAAGCAUUGGGCUCCUAGCUGCCACUAAUUACUCAAUUAAGCUUCAAAAUAAGAAAAAGUCCUAAGUUUAUAUAUAAAUUUUUCUUUUUUGGAGCAGUUAUAUCAAAUAUAUAAGCCUCAAGUAACCAACAACAUCCAAAGUAUGAUAAAAUCCUCUAAAACCUUAUAUAUCCUUAUGUGGAAAUUUUUUCAAAUUUUAAUACCUCAUAUCUUCUAAUCAGACUAUCUAAACACACUCAAAUUUUAUAUGAAGUACUAAUAUACUUCUAAAAACUACUACAACAAAUUUAAAUUGAGAAUUCGUUGUAGAUCUUAAGAUAUCACCAAAAUCCUAAGAGUAGCUUCAAAUCCUAGUUUUUAUACACUAGCAUGCAAAUUUCUUCAUAUCUCACAAAUUAAGCAUUUAAAUGCCACAAAAUUUAUAUAUAUAUAUAUAGCUUUUUAACAUAAUAAUCUACCUUUUUCAAAAGAGUUGAGCCAAAAAUUCGUCCAAAAACUCAAGAUUUGGCUCCAACCAUUACUAUGAAUAAAAUCACUUACUUACUACCUUUGAUUUAGAUGCACUGACUUCAAUCCUCUAUAACUUCUUUAUCCAAAUUCCAAAUUCAUCAAAUAUCAUAUGAAAAGUAUAGUAAAAAAAUUAUUUUUUUCUAAUCCCAAUCGCCAAUCUUUUGUUGCUCUGUGUAAACAUAUGUUAUGCCCCAAAGAAUGUUAGUAGGUAUGAAAUUGAUACCUUAACUUUGAACAUCAAUAAAUCCUUCAUAAAAACUCCAAAUCACACAAAAUUUGUACCCAAUUCAUAUCCAAAAUCCUAAACUUAAUGAUUCUAGCCUCUAAAGCUCAAAUGACUUUGAAAGUGAAAUCCUAAUUCCUAAUAAGGCCUCAGGCAGCCUCCUUGAAGCCCAUUGGGCAUGGCCUUUUAUCAAUAGGAAUGAAGAUUCCCAUUUCUUUCCUUCAUCCAACCAUGCCUUGCUUUUAUCCCUUCCAAUAAGUCUCCUAUUAGUUAAAAAUUUCUUCUUAAGGCUCUAAUUUCCUCUCAAGGCUUUAUAUUAAAUAUUUUGGUCUUAUAAUUUUUUUAAAAUGCCAUAAUCAAAAAAGAUAAAACUGAAUAUAAAGUUUCUUAAAUCCACUCUCUUUAAAUUAAUCUAUUAACCAUUCUUACAUACAUUUAGAUUUAUUAACAUAUAAUAUAUUUAACUAAUUUUUACAUACUAUAAGCUUUUACAAUACGACAAUGUAUUAUUCUUGAGGAUCUUCAUCUUGUUUAUGUUGUCUUGAAGAUUGUGACAAUUGUAAUGUUUUGUCCAAUAAGUCAGUAAGUGAUAGCUCUUGAGUUGAAUUUGUUGGUUGUCGGUUCUCCAUUCUUUUAGCAUGAUAAAUAUAUAAAAGUACCAAACAAAAUUAGAAGAUAAAAUGCUAUCUUUUCUAUAUCUUAUUUCUUUUAUAAAAAAAAUUUGCUAUUUUUUAUAUUGAUUUUGAUGGAUGUCAUCAAUAAAAAAUCUCUAUCUUCUUCAUUGUAUUUGCAAGAUUCUUUGUUGGCUUCCAUAUAUAUUCACUAAUAUCAUAUCCAUACCAUUGAACAAGAUAUUUUAAUCUAUUUUGGUACCGCCUUAAAUCUAAGAUUUUGUUUAUCUUAAAUUCUUCAUUAUUAUCCACUUCUAUAAGAAGAAGUGAUAAAUGUCUUCUUUUUGAGAUAUUCAAUGUUUUAUAUGGCUCAAAAAGAGAUACAUGAAAUAUAAGAUGGAUCUUCAUAGAUUCCAAUAGAUGUAUUCAAUAAAAAAUAAGAUUGACUAUUUUAUAAAUAAAAAAAGGUUUAAGCCUAUAAUAGUAUAUCUGAUCACAAAGAUGAGUAGACUUGAUAUUGCAAUGAAGUAGUCAUACCAUGUCAUCUCCAUUGAAUUGUGGUUGUUUCUUAUAAUAGAAAUAUGUAUUGAUUUUUUAUCAUUCUUGAGCUUCAUUUAACUAUGCCUUCAUUGUUGCAGGUAGUCUUGAUAAACAAUUUGCCAAAUCUUCUAUCGUAAGUUUAUCAACUUUUAAAAAAUAAAAAAUAUCAAGUUGUGGAUGACAACGAUAAUUAAUAAAAAAGAAAAAAAAAAGGUGUUUGUUUAGAAGAGAGUAUUGAAUUAUUAUAUGCAAACUCUGCAAAUGGUAAAAAAAUAAUCGAAUCAUCUUCAUAAUAAUUGAUGGUACACCUCAAAUAUUAUUCUAAAAUUUGAUUCAUUUAUUCCAUUUGUCCAUCAAUUUGAGGAUGAAAAGUCAAAGAAAGCUUUAUAUUCACCUUUAAUAACUUAAAAGAAUAAUUUUUAAAAUCUUAAUAUAAAUCUUAAUAUAAAUUGAGUUCCAAUAUAAUAUCUUUAGAUAAUCUAUAAUAGUGAUAAAUGUUGUUAAUAAAAAACUUAACUAUUCUUUUACAUAUGAUAGAUUUUGUACAUAAUACAAAAUAUGCCAUCUUGAUAAAAUGAUCUACUAUCACAUAUAUAAAAUCAUAUAAAUCUAUGUUUAGAAGAUCUAUGAUAAAAUCCAUAGAAACAAAAGAUCAUAAUUAUUCUAAAAUAGAUAAUAGCUAAAGAAGUCCAUAAGAUUAAUGAUCAAAAGUUUUGGAUCUUAAAAAAAUAUUACAUGAUUGUACAAAGUUUUUAACUGCCUUCUACAUUUAAGGCCACCAAAAAUCUUUAGAUACUAGCUCCAAAGACUUGUUGUAUCUAAAAUGUUUGGCUACUAGAAAGUCAUGAUAAGCUUGAAGAACACAUAAUUGUAUUUUAUCUUGUAGAAUAUAAAAUUAUCUUUUGAAGUAGAGUAGAUUAUUUUUAAACUCAAAUUUAAAAGUAUCAUGAAACUUCAAAGAAUUAUUCUUGAUAUCAUGAAUAAGAAGAGCAAAAGAUAUAUACUUAAUUGAAUUUGUUUAAUAAAGAUAGAAUCAAUAAUCAAUAUUGAUUUUUAAAUCUAUAAAUAAACUUCAAAUCAAAUCUUGAUAAAGACAUAUUGUUAUGAGCUUGUUGAUGAUUCAAAAUACAUGCCAACAUGAAGUAUUUAAGGUCCUUGUGAUCUGUAUAUAUAAUAACUAGAUUAGAAGUAUCUUCUAGAUAAUGAUGUCAUUUUUGAAAUGAAUCCACAAUUGCAAGAAGCUCUCUGUUGUAGAUCUCAUAGUUAAUUUAAAUUGCUGAAAAUUUCUUAGAAAAAAAAAAUAACUAGGUAGAUUUUAUCAUUUGCUCUCAUUUGUAAUAAAAUACUAUCUAUAGUAAAGUUUGAUAUAUAUAUAUAUAUAUAUAUAUAUAUUUUAUAAAGAAUGUCUUAAAAAAUUGACUUAAUAUAAAAUUGGUGCAAAAAUAAAUGUUAUUUUUAAGGCUUCAAAAGAUGUUUUAGCUUCUUUGAUCCAGUGAAGUUUGUCUUUAUAUGUUAGCCGUAUAAGAGGAGCUGCAACUUAAAAAAAGUUCUUGAUGAAGAUUCAAAAAUAAUUAAAAAAUCUCAAAAAAUAUUGUACAUCUUUGAUUGUUUUUAGGACCUUCUAAUCCAUGAUAGUGUGGAUUUUUUUUAGAUCCAUAAUUAAUCCUUUGUUGGAAAUGAUGUAUCCUAAAAAAUCAACUUGAGUAGUGUAGAAUAUAUAUUUUUUUAGCUUUGCAUAUAAUCUUGCAUCUUUAAGUUUUUGUAACAUAUAAUAAAUAUGAAGUUCAUAUUAUUUUGUAUUCUUAGAGUAUAUUAGAAUAUUGUUUAAAUAAUAGAUAAUAAAAUCAUGAAGCAAGUUACAAAAUAUAUCAUUCAUGAGAUGUUGAAAAGCAAUUGAUGCAUUUGUGAGUCCAAAAGGUAUGAUCUUAUAUUUAAAGUAUCCAUACCUAUUUUAAAAAAUAGUCUUUCACUCAUCUCCUUCUUUGAUGUAGAAUAUGUUGAAUGCUCCUCAUAUAUCUAUUUUUGUAUAGAUCUUUGUUUGAUUGAAUUGGUCAAAAAUUCUAAAAUCAAAGAUAAGGAAUAUUUAUUUUUGAUGGUAAUCUUGUUAAGUCAUCAAUAGUCUAGGCACAUCUGCAAAAAUCUACUUUUUUUUCUUCACAAGUAAGAUAGGAGCUCGUGCUAGAGAUUUCAAAUAGCAUAUGAAGUUUUUAGCCAAGUUCUUAUUAAUAUACUCCUUUUGUGCAAGACCUCAUUUUGUGAUAAGUUGUAGAUUGGUAUGAAUGGUGGUUGAGCUCCUUCUCAUGGAUCAAUUGAACAAUCAUAGGAUCAAUGCUUUAAAAGAAUAUUUAUAUUUUUUUUAAAAACAAUUUCUUAAAAAUCUUGAUAGGCUAAGAAUAUCACUUGAUAUCUUUUUUCCAUUAGAAAUGGGUGUGGUAUAUAUAGAAAAAGAUAAAUCUUCUUUUUUUACAUAUAUGAAAGCUCUUCUACAUAUCAAUAAAUAUUUGAAUGUAUUAGAAUUAUUCACUUUUACUUUAAUAUUGACAUUUUAAAUUAAAUCACAAGAAAAAUUAAGGUUAGAAGAAAUCCAAUCUAUCUAAAGGUUAUAUUUUUGUAACCACAAUUAUCCUAAAAUUACUAGAUUGGAAGAAGAUCUUAUCACAUUGAAUAUUACUACACUAUUAUGAUGUUUAAUUGUUACAUCUAAAAUAAAAAUCUCAUGAGUAUUGUCUCUAAAAGAUAACAAACAAUUAUUAAUGACUUCUAUUUGUAUGGAUUUAAUUUUUUUGACUAAAAGAUAUUUUUUGUUUUUUAACAAAGUCUUUAUCUAUAAAAUAAGCUAAGGCUCUUGAAUCUAAUAAUACAAAGACUUUGUGAUUUUUAGAUCAUAAAUACAUAUCUAUUAUAAAAUAAAAUAAGAAAUCUGAAUAGAAAAUAGGAAUUUUAUUAGGUAUUGCAUAUGAUUUUAAGUACGUGAUUCCUAUUUUAGGUGAAAAAACUUGAUUUUUGAUAGAUUGUCUUUUUUGGCAAUUGUGCUCCUUGUUUUGUAACUGCAUUGCUUCUUUGGACAAUGUUAAGCAAUGUGCUUAGUUUUUCCAUAAUAUAAGCAUAAAUCCUUAUAAUGACAUCAACUCUUUUAUUGUUCAAUGAGGGAGUUAAAAUGUAUCAUAUUAAUUUGUAUUGAUUCUAGCUUUAAUAUAUAAGUUUUUAAAAAUUUAGAAGUUGUCGUCAUUACUUGGCUUGUUCUUCUCCAAUCAAAUCUUUAGUCUUGAUGCCUUUUCAAAUAAUUGAUUGUUGCAUACAAUAGUUUGAGCAAUAAAUUUUUUACAAGUUUCUACUUUUGGCAUUGUCAAUAAUAAAUCUUUGAUGUUAUCCUUCAAUCUAUAUCAAAAUUUAUUGGUGAGAGCUUUGUAAUUCUACUUCAUAUCCUAAGUGAGGUUUUGGAAUUGAGUAGUAUAUAUGGUAGUUGAUUGUAAUCCUUAUUGUAAAGAUAAGAACUUCACCUCUACUAUUCUUUCUCAAUCACUAUCUCCAAAUCUAGCCGUAAAUACUUGUAGAAAUGAAUUCAAAUCAUAAAAGAGUCGUGAAUCUUUUUCAAUUAAUAGUGCAAAUCAAAAGAGAGCACUUUUAGAUAGAUGUUCACUUAUAAACCUAACUUAGAUAAAUCCAUUAGGAUAUUUAAAGGAAUGCAACCUUAGAUAGAGAUUUACUUAUUAUAAAAAUCCUCAAAAGUUUGAUCUUAUUCUAUUAAACUUAUUAGAUAUAGUAAUUUCUAUUCCUGUCAUACUUAUAGAAGCAAAACUUCUUAGAUUUAAUUGUGAAGUCAAACUACUUACUUCUUUCAAUUGUACAACUUUUUGACAUAGAUGUUCAACUUCUUUCAUGGAUAUGGGAUUAGUGUUUCUAUGGUUGAUAUUGAUGAUGUAUGAAAUUUUUAUUCCAAAAGUAUUGAAAAAUUUGUAAAGAUCUGUAAUAAAUACUAAUCUAUUCUCACUCCCAUCAAGUAUAGCAUUUAUAAUUUUUGCUUCAAUUUUAAAUAACUUAAUAAAUUUAAAAGCCAAAUUAGAGGAAGAUAAUCUACAAUCUCUAAUAUGAACUUAAAAUUUCUAUAAAUAAGGAUAUUCUUUUGUUUUUAAGAAAAAAAAUUGAUAUUAAAAAAUUCAACAGUUUGUUUAAAAGUAGAUAAUCCACAAUCUUCAAAAGAUAAAAUAGAAGUAGAGUAAUCUACUCACUUCUAAAAUAAGAUAAAAAUAAUAAAUUAACACUCUUUUUAAACUCUCAAAGACAUAAAUCUCAAAAAACUAAAAGUUCAAUCCACUCUUAUGUCACUCAAAAGAACUAAAAAAUCACUCAAAGAUGGUAUAAUAUUACUUUGGAAUGAUUAUUGCAAAAAAUAAAAAAUAAAAAAGUCUUGAAACAAGACUAAAAACUAGAAAGGCAUUGAUAAGAGUGAAGAAGGCUUCAUUCUUGCCUCUAUAUAUACUCUUAAUUAAGAACUAUCUGACAAUAUCCUAUAGAACUUCUAAAAUAUAUUAAUUUUAUUAGAUACAUAUCUUAACUUGUAAGUCAAUUUUUUUAUAUAUAUGCCACAUAGUUAGCUUGUUUUGUAAGCCAUCAAUAUGUGAUUAAUUUAUUGAUGAAAUUUCUAAUCUACUAAUUAACUACAAAUAAAUAUAAAGUCAAAGAAGCAUCUAUAAAGCUUUUAUGAAGCCUUUCUAGAAAAUAUUAUUAAAUAAAUUUACUUUUACUUAUUUCUAUUUAAUCAUAUAAGUAAAUAUUAUAGUUAAUAUAUAUGUUUGUAAAUAAUUCUACUUCAAAUUCUUAAUCAUUAUCCACUUCAAUAGAAAGAAGUGAUGUUUGUCUUCUUCUUAAGAUAUUCACUAUCUUAUUUGAUACAAGAAGAGACAUUUGGAACAUUGAUGGAUAUUCAUAAAUUCUAGUAGAUGUAAUUAAUAAACAACAUGAUUGACUUAUUCACAUAUAUGAAAAGAUCCAAGUCUAUGAUAAUCCAACUUAUCAAAAGGAUGAGUAGUCUUGAUAUUAUGACAAAGUAAUUAUACUUUGUCGUCCACGUUAAAUUAUAAUUGUUCCUUACAAUAGGUACCUACAAUAAUCUUUUAUCAUUUUUAUGCUUCCUUUAAUUGUGCUUUUAUUAUUACAUAUAGCUUUGAGAAACAAUUUGUCAAAUCUUUUAUUACAUGAUUAUCAAUUUUUGAAAAGUUAAAAGUAUAAAAUUGUAGGUGAUAACCAUAAUUGAUAAAAAAAGAUAUUUAUUGAAUAGAAGAAUAUAAUAAAUUAUUAUUUGUAAACUUUACUAAUAGCAAAAAAGUUGUCUAAUCAUUUUGAUGAUAGUUGAUGAUAUAUCUCAAAUAUUGCUCUAAAACUUAAUUCACAUAUGUUAUUUAUCUAUUAGUUUGAAGAUAAAAAGUCAAAAAAAGUUUUAUAUCCACCUUUAAAAUCUUAAAAAAGAUUUUCUAAAAUCUUAAUAUAAAUUGAAUCUCUAUUUAAUAUAAUAUCUUUGAACAAUCUAUGAUAGCAAUAGAUAUUGUUAAGAAAAAACUUAGCCAUUUUUUUACUUGUGGUAGAUUUUGUACAUAAUAAAAAAUAUGCCAUCUUAGUAAAAUGAUCUACUAUCAUGAAUAUAGAAUCAUAUAAACCUAAGAUUAGAAGUUUUGUGAUAAAAUCCAUAGAAACAAAAAACCAUAGUUGUUUCAAAAUAGGUAAUGGUUGAAAAAGUCUAUAAGAUCAAUGACAAGAAAUUUUUGAUCUUAAAUAACUAUUAUAUGAUUUUUCAAAAUCUUUUACUACCUUUCACAUUUGAAACCACCAAAAAUAUCUCAAUAUUAGCUCCAAAGUUUUAUUGUAUCCAAAAUAUCUAGCUAUUGAAAAGUCAUGACGAGUUUAAAGAAUAUAUAAUUAUGAUUCAACUUUUGGAAUAUAUAAUUAUUUUUUAAAAUAGAAUAGAUUAUUUUUAAACUUGAAUUUGAAAGUAUCAUAAUACUUAGAAGAAGUAUUCUUGAUAUCAUCAAAAACAAAAUUACAGGCCAUACUUCAUUGAAUUUAUUUAAAAAAAAGUUGAAUCAAUAGUCAAUGUUGAUUUUAUUGUUGAAAGAUGAAAAUGCUUUGAAUUUAUGAAAAUUAUUCUUUAUUAAUCAAAAGAUACAUCUCCUUCUUUUGGUAUAAGACAAAAACUCUUAAAAAAUGUAUUUGACAAAUCUUGUUAUUUUUUGGGUCACUUAGUGAUCUUGAAAUCAAAUCUUCAUAAAGACAUACUCUAAAGAGCUUGACAAUAAUUCAAAAUAUAUAUGAACAUGAAAUACUUGAGAUUCUUGUGAUAUAUAUAUAUAUAUAUAUAUAUAUAUAUAUAUAUAUAUAUAUGAUAACUAGAAUUAAGAAGCCUUCUAGAUAAUAACACCAUUCUUAAAAUGAAUCCAUAAUUGCAAGAAGCUCAUUGUCAUGGAUCUCAUAGUUAAAUUUAGUUAUUAAAUUUUUUUUUGAAAUAAAAAGCUACUAAGUAGAACUUGUCAUCUGCUUCCAUUUAUAACAAAAUGGUGCCUAUAGCAAAGUCUGAUGCAUUUGUUCUUAUAAAAAAUACCUUAAAAAAAUUGAUGCAAUACAAAAUUGGUGUAGAAAUAAAUACUAUCUUGAAGGUUUCAAAAGAUGCUUGCAUUUCUUUAUUCCACUUAAGUUUAUCUUUACAUGUUAAAUAUAUAAAAAAAACUAAAAUUUUAAAAAAAGUUUUGAUGAAGAUCUAAUAAUGAUUAAAAAAUCUCAAAAUACAUUGCACAUCGCUUGUUAUUUUUGAAAUCUUUUAGUCCAUGAUAGUUUAGACUUUUUUUGCAUUCAUUAUUAGUCUUUUGUUUGAAAGGAUAUAUCUUAAAAAAUCAACUUGAAUAGUAUAGAAUACAUAUUUUUCUAUCUUGACAUAUAACCCUACAUCUCUAAAUUUUUAUAAUACAUGACAAAUAUAAAGUUCAUAUUAUUUUUAUGUUCUUAAAGUAGAUUAGAAUUUUUUUUAAAUAACAAAUAAUAAAAUCAUCAAGAAAUUCACAAAAAAUAUCAUUCAUAAGAUGUUGAAAAAUAAUUGGUAUAUUUGUGAAUUCAAAAGGCAUGACAUUAUAUUCAAAAUUUCUAUAUCUAAUUCAAAAAGAAAUCUUCUAUUCAACUCUUUCUUUGAUACAAAUUAAGUUGUAUACUUUUAAAGAUCUAUUUUUAUAUAGAUAUUUUUUUAAAUGAAUUGGUCAAGAAGUUUCAAAAUCAGUGAUAAGAAAUAUCUAUUUUUUAUGGUGAUCUUGUUAAGUCUUCAAAAGUCUACACACAUCUAUAGAGAUCCAUCUUUUUUCUUUACAAAUAAGAUAGAAGUUCUUAUUAAAGAUUUUAAAUGGUAUAUGAAGUUUUUAGCUAAAUUAUUAUUAAUAUAUUUUUUUAGUACAACUAACUCAUUUUAUAAUAAACUAUAGAUCAGUCUAAAUGGUGGUUGAGCUCUUUCUUAUAAAUCAAUUGAAAAAUCAUAGGAAUAAUAUUCUAAACGAAUAUCUAGAUUUUGUUUUUCAAAAAUGUCUUAAAAAUCUUAAUAUUGGCAAAAAAUACCACUUGAAGUCUUUUCACUAUCAAAAAUAGACUUGGCAUAUAUUGCAAAAGAUGAUCAUUUUUUUACCGCAUGAGUGUAAAAUUCACUCCUCAACUCAAUUACAAGAUGGCCUCAAUUAAGAAUUGCUUUUAAUGAAUGGUGUCAAGUAAAAGUAAUAAGAAUAAAAAAAAAAUAAGCAAAACACAAAACAAGUGGAACAAGUGCAAUCAAGCAAUUGUAUACUACCAAACUAGUCACAGUUUGUUCAUUAAAUUUUUAUCCAAUAAAAAGUAAAAUUUUAAAAUAAAAAAUUAUAUUUUUAAAAUUAUAUAUUUUUUUAUCUUUCCAAUGAUAUAAAAAACAUGUGAAUCCGAGUUACUAUAAGUAAGUUAUGAAGAUUUAAAAAUAAUAAGUAAAUAAAUGAAAAAUUAAGUAAAUAAUUUUACCUCAAGAGUAACUUGCUUAAGAGAUCAGGAUUUCGAGGCUCUUCAAGGCUCACAAGUAAUAUAUAUGGAUUUUUUAGAGAGGCCACGAGGCCUUAGUCUUGUCUUCCUUACUACCUUCAAGGUGCUAUAAUCUAUAUCAGACUUCUGCACCUCUCUUCUUAUAAGGACUAUAUUAGCUAUUGGCCCUUCUAUUUUCUACCAAUUAAAUCAAUAAUUUUAUAUUUUUUACUUUACUAUGGUGUUUAAAAAUACCCAAUUAGCCUAAAAAUUUAACUUGGCCUUCAAAUCUUACUUUGUUUCUUCAUAAUAGAUCCCAAAGUGAUAAAACUCAUUUAACAUCUUCUAAGUACAUCUUCACCUAAAAAUUAUAAUUUUGGAACUUUACAUAUAUUUUUUUGUCUUAAAACGGCUAUAAAUCAAUUUGAUGAUUCACAUAUAGUAUUAAUAAAAGUUUUUGCACCUACCAAUAAAGAUUUGGAUGUAUUGAACUUAUGUAUUUCUAUUUAAUUUUAAAAAUUUUGGAUCAAACUACAAAAAAAAUAAGAUUACGAAAUAUUAAGUCUAUUUGAAGAUUAUAUUUUUUUAAUCACAAUAAUCCUAAAAUAAUAAAAUUUGAAGGAGGUCUUAUUAAUUUAAAUAUUAUUAUACUAUUAUGAUUUUUAAUUACUAUAUCUAAAAGAAUAAUCUUAUGGAUAACAUCUCCAAAAGAUAGCGGACUAUUUUAUAUGAUUUUUAUUCAUAUAAGUUUAGUUUUUUUGACAAAUGAUAUGUCUUAUUUUUUGACAAAGUUUUUAUCUAUAAAAAAAUCUCAAGUUGUUAGGGACCAUAUAUAAGAAAAGGACUUAAGAUUAAGAAAUAGAGUUAGCUUGACAUUAAAACAAUAAUUAGAUACAAGACAAGAAGGUCUUGAAUAGACCACAAGAGAUGAGUUAUUGAGACUGAGGAUCCCUUCAACCUCAAUUCCUAUAUAUAUUAGGUCCUAAAAAGCUUCUUGAAAAGUUUUUAUGAGGCUUGGAAACAAAGCAAGCCUAAGAUCCUUCUUUGGCAACUUCUUAAAUCAUCUAAAGCCUCUUAGAACCUUCUAGGAUUUCCUAUGAUCUUUUAGAACUUUCUUAGAAUCUAUUAAAACCUUUUGGAAUAUUUUUAGAGCCUAUUGGAAUUUUUUGGAACCUUUUAGAAACUUCUAGGAUCUACAAGAAUCUUCUUAGAACCUUGUAGAACCUUGUAGAACUUUCUUGACUCUUCUUUGGUUGUAUGUCCAUGAUAUCACCUCUGUCUCUAACUUUAAGGUCUUUGAGAAGCAAUGUUGUUGCAAGUUAGUAUAUCCACAAGAAGAUGAAGAUCUGUCACAUGGUGUCUACUAUAUAUUUCUAGUUUUUUUUGUAAGGCAAAUGAUUCACAAGCCCCUAUAGCCAUCAAUAGUGUCCCAAGCCUUUUACUUGUAAUUAAGCAUGAACUUUGAUAUCUUUGUCAUAGAAUUGUCUUGCAAACAUUCUUUCUAGAUGUCCUUUAUAGGCAAGUUCUACCUCAAACACAAUUAUCAACAACCUAUUAGUAGGUAUCUUUUGAUGUCUUUAUGGUUCAGGCGGCUCUUCAUCUUGGGAUCGUCUCGACAAGCUACUUAGUUGACAUGAUAUGAUUGGCAGAGCAUCUAUUUUUUGACUAUCCAUAUCAUAUAAAAUAGACAAGACUAAAAGAAUAUAAACAAGCUAUAGUCAUGAACUCAAACUAAUGUUCUAAACAUUUGAAAAAACUAUUUCUUCAAAGGUUUCCUCUUCCUCUUCUUCAUGAGACUAAGAACUAAGAAUCUUCAUAAUAAAGCCAUCUUACCAAGCUAUUGUACUUCAUUUUGCCACUUUUGGUUUGGAUGGAUGUUGUUGAUAGAACUUUUGAAUCUUUAUUUGUGCAUUUAUAAGGUUGCCAACUAGUUCUUAUGUACAAUUGUUGAUAUCAUAUCCAUGCCAAUAGACCAGAUAUUCAAGCCUUCCAUGUCUUAUUCUUAAAUCUAAUACCUCUUCUACCUCAAAUUCAAUAUGAUCAUUAACUUUAACCAUAGGAAUUGGUGGUUAUUUUUGACUUGAUAUGUUUAAUUCUUUAUUUUUUAAAAGUAAAAUAUGAAAGAUUGGAUGAAUCUUUAUAGAUGAAGGUAACUUUAAGCAAUGAGGUACAUCAUUAAUUUGUUUCUAAAUCACAAAUGGUCCCAAUCUUUGGUAGUCCAAAUUAUUACAUGGACUGUUGGUUUUUAUGUUGCACCAAAGAAGUCAUACUUUGUCACCAACUUGGAAUGGAGGAUGUUCCUUCCUCAAUUCAUCCACCAGUAGCUUAUAAUGUUGUUGAGCCGUUUUUAGGUGAGUCUUCAUGGUUGCUUGAAGUUCGGCUAUCUUUGUAGCAAACUCCUCUACUGCUGGAUUUGUCGACUAUGAAGGCUCUAUUAUAUCCAAUUUUGGAUAAUGACUGUAGUUUGAAUAGAAUGGUAUUUGUUGCAUAGAUAUAUGGAUUGUAUUGUUAUAUGCAAACUUUGCCAAAGACAAGUAGGAAGUUCAAUCAUCUUAUUGAUAGUUGAUGGUGCACCUCAAAUAUUGCUCAAGAAUUUGGUUGACCAGCUCUAUUUGGCCAUCAAAUUGAAGGUGGAAGGUAGAGAAAAGGUUGAUAUCAACCUUAAGAAUCUUAAAGAGUGCCUUUCAAAACCUUAAUAUAAAAUGUGGCCUAUAAUCUAAGAUAAUAUUGACUAGCAAUCCGUAGUAAUAAUAGACAUUAUCAAUAAAGAGUCUUACAAUUUCUUCAGUAAUAAUUGACUUCUUACAAGGUAUAAAAUAUAUUAUUUUGGUCAAUCAAUCAACAACUACAAAAAUAGUGUCAAAUGAGCUUGAUGGUGGAAUAUUUAUAAUGAAAUCUAUGGAGAUAGAUGACCAUGGUUAUCUUAAAAUAGGAAGGAGUUGAAGAAGUUUAUAUGGCCGAUGUCAAGGGUUCUUUGAUCUUGAACAAGUAUCAUAUAAUAGUACUAAUUCCUUAACAUCUUUUAAUAUUUUAGGUGCUAGAUACUUUUGUUUUCUUGUAAAGCUUUUGAUAAUGUGGCUCCACUCUUCGUUUGAUAUAUACACUGAUAUUUUUCUGAACAAUUAUUAAUCUUGUAGUCAAAGUUUUCAUAAUAUAAGCAUAGACCAAGUUUUCUUUGACACUUUUUUUUCUUGCUUAGAAAGAAGUUUGAAGCAAAUUGCAUCAAUGUGCAUAUCUUUUGUUUUUAAAUGCUAAUUAGAAUUGGACAAUGAAGAAGCCAUAGAAUAAUUGAUGUAUACAUAUGGCGUAAUUGAAGAAUGUUUAUCUUGUUGUUAUUGAAAUAAAUGGUUAUCGAUACUUCAGAAUUUGACAAAUGGCUUCAUUGAGUCUUUGAGGAUUUGGCAUAGAUAACAAUAAUUCCUUAACAUCAUCUCUUAAUUCCUUAUAAAAUUGGCUCAUUAAUGCAUCUUUUCUCCAAUUUAUAUUACAUACUAAUUUUCAAAAAUCUGAGGCACACGUUGAUGUAGAAUGCAUUCUUUGUCAAAGGCUUUGAAUUUUAGUUAUUGAAGAAUAAACCUUAUCAUGUUUACCAAAUGCUUCUACAAAUGCUACCAAAAAUGCUUCAAAAUUGUGCAAUAUAGGAGAAUUCUUUUUAAAUAAUGGAGCAAACUAAUAUAAAGCUUGAUUUGAUAAUAAGUUUUCAACCAAACUUAUAUAAGAUGCUUUAGUAGAAUAUUAUUGAGGUUGAAGCAAAGUGAUUAGUCAUACUUGUUUUACAAAGCCACAUAAUUUUGAGCGAGUACCAUCAAACUUUUUUGGAAGACUGAUCUUUGGUUCUUUUAUUAUUAUUGUUGUCAGAUUGAUGCCUUGAGUGGAUGCACCUCUCAUGUUUGUUGAAGCAAAUAUAGUUGUUUGAGAAUUUGGAACCUCUAUUGCCAUUUGAUGUAGUGAUUGAGGCACUCCGGCUCUUUGACUAUUAUUUAUGGUCAUAUAUAGUUCUUCAUUCUACUUCAAGAAAGUCUCUGUCUUCAUUGUCAAUGAUUUGAGAGUAUUAAAAAUAAAAUCUAACUUGAUUUCUUUGAAGUCUAUCAUAUUAAAUUUUUCCACCUUUUGCCAUAGAAAAUUAGAAAAAUACAUGCAUUUCAAAAAAAAAAAAAAAAAAAAAAAAAAAAAUUGAUCUAUGAUACAAAGAAAAAAAACCAAAAGAGUAUUAAGAAAAGAACAAUACUAGUCUAGAUGAGGAUAAUUUGCAACUUCUAGAAUGCUAUAGUACUUCCAAGAAGAGACAUAAUCUACUCUUUGUCAAGAAAGAUCAAGAUUCUAAUAUUAUUUUAUGGCAGUCUUGACAAAUUGUUAGAGACCAUAUACAAGUCAAGGAUUCAAGGCUAAGAAAUGGAGUUAGUUUGACAUUAGAACAAUAAUUGGAUACAAGAAAAAAAGGUCCUAGCUAAACCACAAGAAGUGAAUUGUCAAGAUUGAAGAUUCUCUCAACCUCAACUCCUAUAUAUACUAGGUCCUAAAAAACUUAGGAAUUUUUUAUUAAUCUUGGGAAUAAAACAAGCAUAAGAUUCUUUUUUGGCAACUUCUUAAAUCAUCUAAAGCCUCCUAGAACCUUCUAGGGUCUCUUAUAUCUUUUUAGAACUUUCUUAGAAUCUAUUGAAACCUUUUGAAAUCUUCUUAGAGCCUAUUGGAACCUUUUAGAACCUUCUAGGAUCUACAAGAACCUUCUUACAACCUUUUAGAACCUCCUAGAAUCUUCUUGAUUCUUCUUCGAUUGUAUGUCCGUGACAUAGGUUCUUAAAUCUAAGAAGACUAAGAUUUUGUGAUUUUUUAGUCCUAAAUAAACUUCUCUUGUAAAAUAAGAUAAGAAAUUUGAAGAAAAAAUACGACCUUACUAGUUAUUACAUAAGAUUCUAAUUGUAGGGUUCCUAUUGUAGCUGAAAAAACUUGUUUUUAAAUACAUUGUCUUCUUUGGCCAUCAUAUUCCUCAUUUUGUGAUUGCAUUAUUUUUUUGAACAAUGUUGAGUAGUAUACUUGGAUUUUCUAUAAUAUAAACACAAAUCAUCUUAAUGAUAAUGAAUCUUUUCUUGUUCAAUAAGAGAUUUAAAAUAUAUUAUAUCAACUUAUAUAGGCUCUAACUUGAAUAAAUAAGCUUCCAAAAACUUAGAAGAUUUUUCUAUGGCUUGACUUAUACUUCUUCAAUCAAAUCUCUGACAUUAUCUUUUAAUUCAUAUCAAAAUUGAUUUAUAAAAGAUUUUUUAUUCCAAUCCUUAUCGCAAGCAAGUUUUUGGGAUUCAGCAGCAUAUGUCGUUAUUGAAUGUAAUCUUUAUUAUAGCAAUAUAAGCUUAGUUUUUAAUGUUCUUUUUCAAUCAUUUUUUUAAAAUAUAGCUAUAAAUAUUUUUAAGAAUGAAUUCAAAUGAUAGAAUAAUUAUGAAUCUUGUUUUAUAAAAGGUACAAAUCAAGAGAGAAUAUUUUUUGAUAGAAGUGUGCCUAUAAAUCCAACUUGAGUAAAUCCAUUGGAAUAUUGGAAAGAAUGCAAUCUUAAAUAGAACUUAACUUAUUACAAAAAUCUUAAAAAUUUUGAUCUUAUUCUAUCAAACUUCUUAAGAAUAUUAAUCCUUACUUCUUUUGUACUUGUAGAAGCAAGACUUCUUGGAUUUAGUUGUAAGGCUAAUUUAUUUGCUUCUUUCAGCUACAAAACUUCUUGAUAUAGACUCUAGACUUCUUUCAUAUAUAAAAGAAUAAUACCUCUAUGAAUCAUGUUAAAAAUAUGUAAAAUUUUUAUUCAUUGAAUAUUGAUAAGCUUAUAAAGGUCUAAAAUAGUUAAAAAUCUAUUUUUACUUCUAAUAAAAGUAGCAUCCAUAAUCUUUUUUUUCUAUAGAAAAUUCAAAUAAAUUUAAAAAAUUAAAUUAAAAGAAAAUAAUUUACAAUCUCUAAUAUUAAAUAAAUAUUUUUAUAAAGAAAGAUAAUUCAAUUUUUUUAAAAAAAAAAUCAAUAUUAAAAAAAUAAAUUAUUAUUUAAAGGUGGAUAGUUUGUAAUAUUUAGAAUAAAACAAUAGAAGUAGAGUAAUCCACUCACUUUUAAAACAAGACAAGAAUAAUAACUUAAGAUUCUUGUUAAAUUAUCAAAGGAAUGAUGUAAAAAAUAUAGUAUUAAAUUAAAAUAGCUAUUACCAAAGAUAACUAUAGUUAUAAAAUAAUAUGUAAUUUUAUUGAAACCUCAUUAAAUGUUAUCAUUUUAGGAAUUUUGUAGUUGAAAAUAUAUAAUCCAUCUAUAAAUUGGUGAUUUUAUGAGAUUGAAUUUCCUAUCGAAUCUCUUUGGGCAAAAUCAAUCAAGAAGUCAUUAACAAUAAUGUUUUUAUUUUUUGGAGCUAAGAAAGCUAAGAAAGAAAUACUAAUUUUUAUUUAUGUAACUUUAGCUUGAAAAGAAGAAAGCUUAUUAGUAGCUAUUCUAAAGUAGUAUAAGAAGUUUUAAGAUGUCUUCAAAAAGAAAAAUAUUGACAUAUUGCCGAAGCAUCUAUUGUAUGAUUUUACCAUCAAUCUUUAAGAAUGAGCUUAAUCACCAUUUGGCCUAAUCUAUAAUCUACCAAAAAUUCAAGCUUUUGGUAUUGAAAUAUUACAUUGACAAAAAUCUUGCAAAGAACUUUAUUUGACAUUCUAAAUUCCCAACAAGUGUAAUGAUAUUUUUUUGUGAAGAAAAAAGAUGAAUCUUUACAAAUGUGUUUUAAUUAUUAUAACCUCAAUAAAAUAAUGGUAAAAAAUUAUUAUCUAUUAUUGUUGAUAUCAAGGCUUUAAAAGUGACUUGAUCAAGGUAAGAUCUACAUCAAAAUAGAUCUUCAUAGAGCAUAUAAUUUGAUGUAGAUUAAAGAAAGAAAUAAAUAGAAGACAAUAUUUUAGAUAAGGUACGGAUAUUUUGAAAAUAAUAUCAUGCCUUUUGGAUUAAUAAAUAUUAUAACUAUAUUCUAACAUUUGAUGAAUGAUAUUUUUAAAGAAUUCUUAGUCAAGUUUAUUAAUUGUUAUCUUAAUGAUAUCUUAAUCUACUCCAAGAUUCUUAAAGAGUAUGAAGAACAUGUUAGAUUAAUCUUAUAAAAGUUAUAAGAUGCAAGAUUAUAUGUCAAAUUUAAAAAAUAUAUAUUCUAUUAUCUAGAAGUGUAGUCUUUUGGAUAUAUUAUAUCCCAUGAGGGCUUGUUUAUGGAUCCAAAGAAAGUUCAAGCUAUAAAAAAAUAGACAAAUUCAAAGAUAGUAUAUGAUGUACAAUAUUUCUUUGGAUUUGUUAAUUUUUAUCAAAUAUUUAUUAAGAAUUAUUUUGAAGUUUUUUUUCCUUUUAAUUAAUUAAUAUCUAAAGAUAAAUUAGAAUUAAGGCCUCAAAGACAAAGAAUUUUUUAAGACUUGAAGGUAGUUUUUAUUACAAGUCCAAUCUUAAUACAUCUAGAUUUUUUUAAAAGCCUUCCAUUUGGAAAUUGAUGAUUUCAACUUUAUAUUAAGAGUUUUAGUAUCACAAAUGGGAAAUAAUACAAAGCUCCACCUAAUUAGAUUCUAUUCUAAAAAGUUUUUAGCUAAAAAAAUUAAUUAUUUAAUUUACAAUAAUGAGCUUCUUGUAAUUGUAGAUUAUUUCAAAGAAUGGCAUUACUUAUUAAAAGAUGCUAUACAUCUCAUGAUUAUAUAUAUAAAUCAUAAAAAUUUAGAAUAUUUCAUGUCAGUUUAGAUUUUGGAUCACCACUAAAUUUGUUAGAAUAUGUCACUAUUUUGUUUUAAUUUUGUGAUUACAUAUCAACUAAAAAAGUACCAAGGACUAUUAGAUGCUUUAUUAAGGAGAUCAUAUCUUGCUCCAAAGGCUAGAGAAGCAUCAUUUGAUGAGUAAUAUACCACUUUCUUGAAGCCGAAAUAAUUUUAUAUUUGUGCUACUUCUAUAAAUAUAUUUGUUGAUUCAAAUUUCUUUAAAAACAUUUGUACAGAAUUAGCUAAGAACUUAUUAAUUCAUAAUAUUAAGCAGUAUCCUAAGAAAAACAAGUUUAAGUUUGUGGAAGAUUUUUGUAUUUUGAAGAUUAUUUAUAUAUUUGAGAAGGACCAAUCUCACUUUGUGUUCUUUAAUCUUGUCAUAAUUUUCUUGCUAAAAGAUAUUUUGGAUUUAAUAAAAUAUUGGAGCUUAUCUCUUGAGAUUUUUGGUAGCAUCAAAUAUAAAGAUUAUAAACAACUUUGUCUUCUUCUAUGACAUUUGUUUAAGAUUUAAGAAUUUUUUACAUCUUUCUAAUGGACUUCUAUAGCUACUAUCAACUUUGAAGCAACCAUAGUCUUUAGUAUCAAUAGAUUUUAUCAUUAAUUUGAUGCUAUUUUUGAGUGAUUUUUCUCUCCUCAUUUAAGUCUAAUUUAAUUAAAUUAUAACUUAAAUUAGAGUCCAAUAAUAAUUAGUAUAAAAAUGUAAAACAAAGAUAAGAUAAAUAAAAAAACCACAAUGAUACGAUAAUCAUAAUUUAUUUAAUAAAACACAACCAAAUAAAUUAUAUAUUUUUAUUAUUUAUUUUUUUGCAAUUGUAGUUUAUUUAGGUAAAUACCUUCCAAGACUUACCCGAUUAAGCUUAAACUUUGAAACUUAUGAAUUAAUACAAAAAUAAAAUAAAUUGAUACCAUACUAGAGUACUAGUCUAGGGCUUUCCAAAAUAGUAUCAACCAUACAAAUUAAAAUUACACCCAAGUAGUUAUCUAUGGAUGAAGUUCUAAUGGCAAAACUUCAUCCAAUGUUGGAAAUUCUUUAAUAAUUAGCUUCAAAUAUUAAAAAUCAGUAUUAAUAUGGAGUUAAAUUUUUUAAUAUGAAAGAUAAAAAAUAAAAGAUAAAAAAUAAAAUAAAUAAAAAAGUUAAAAGUUGGAUGUAAAAAAUAAAAGUUAUAAAUUAAGAUUAAAAGUCAAUAACAAAUGAAAUAAUCUAAAGGUUAAAAGUGGAAGAUAACAAGUAAAGUCAAAGUUAAGAAUCAAAUAAAAAUAAAAUAACAUAAAGAUCAAGGGUUGAAGAUAAAAAGAUAAAUUUGAAGUAAAAAGUUAAAUAAAGAUUGAAAUAACAUAAGGUUAAAAAUUGAAGGUCGAAAGAUAAUUGGAAGUUAAAAAUUAUCAAUUAAUUACCAAGAUGAGGUAAAAGGUUUACUAAAGUAGUAUAAAUUAGAGGUAAUAAGAUGAGUGAAGAGUGAAUCCAAUAAUCCAUGCACUAACAAGUGUAAUUAGGAGGUGAUUAGGUAAGAAAGGUUACCUUCAUCAUGCCGUAUUAAGGUAGCAAACCCUAACCAAUUGGAAAUCCAUCAAAAAUCCUCUUUAGCUCCUAUACAUGUGAAUUUUUUUAUAUUGAACCUUCACUUAAAUGAGCUCCUAUCUAUCAAUUUUUGUAAUAUUCUAAUAUGUGAUAAUUGAGAUGUGAUUUCUUAAAAUUGGCCUCCCGAACUACUAAGGCAGCAGACCUCCUUACACUUAAAAAUUCACUAGAGAUUCAUAAAAGUUUUAAGUUUUUCAACUUAAAUUUUCCUUGAAAUAAGACUUUAAGGCACCUUUGUUGCAAUAAUUUUUUUUAAAAAAUCUUCAACAAGCACUAUGCCACAAAAUUCCAAAGCUCACUCUAAUGCACUACAUUUGUACCAGUUGGCAGUACAUCCCCUCUUACUUAAGAAUUCACUAAAAAUUUAUAAUAGCUUCAAACAUUCUAAUCAAAAAAAUUCUAAAAAUUAGACUUUUGCAUGAAAUAAGUAUCAAAAAUCAAUUAGGAAGCAAGAUAGAGAUCAUUGAGAAAUGAUUUUUUGAAGUUGGCAGUUCUUUGAGACCAUGGCAAUGCACCCUUCUUCACUUGAAAUUCUGCCAACAAUUCAUUGAAGUUCUAAGUUAUGUGUGCUUGAUGUCUAUUGUUCUCGUUGCAUUCAAGCUUCAGUAUACCAAAGCAAUUGAACUAAUAGAGGUGGGUUCGAACAUGGGAAAAGACUGAUUAUAUGAAUUAGAUCUAUUAAUGUCACAAUUGACUAUACUCUAGCAAUCUGAAAUCAAUUAUCAAACUACAAAAUAUCAAGGCUUACUACUUCCGUCUUGAUUCAACACAUAAUCUAUUCCACGACUAUCAAUUCAACAAUACUUCUCUCAAUUACAAUUCUUCAUAAGCAAAUAAUAAAAGUAAAGAAAACAAAGAAGUAGCACCAAGCUUAUUCCAACUUAUGACUCUCACAGUCUAGCUCUCGGCUUAAGACUCUCACAGUCUGGCUCCAAUCUCUCUUUCCUCAACCUAUUUAUCCUACCAAAAAGAUGAUCUAUCAACUAGCAGAUUCCAAAGAUUAUGAUCCUUUGAAUUCUUAACCAUUUGUUCCACUAACAUCCUAUUGUUACCAACUAAACUGCCUAACCAUAAGUCUAAUUUUCAAGGUUUUCAAUAAUCAACCAAUAACUUACCACAAAAUUUAUUUAUCUAUUCUACAUAGUCCCACUCUUAAUUAUACAACAUCCUCGCAAACAUUAUUUAGCCCCAACUUAUAAAGACAUAGCAGCAUAUAUCUCUGAAGGUGUUGUUGCUGAAACUGGCAUAUUGGUCCGCACUAAAUUAUUGGCCUCCUUUGCUAAUGCGGCUAGUUUAGUCUGCAACAUUGCAACUUCUACCUACAUCCAUUCUUGCCAUUCCUUCCAAUUGGUCUCCAUCCUUACAUUCUCAAACACUAUGUUUACCAUCUUCUCUUUAACCACAAAAGAAAAUAUGAUGCUUGUCAAGAGCCCCCCUCCUACUUCUUAUUAUGCUCCAAUCAAUUGGAUCGACUCCCCUUUUUGUAACAAAAAACCCGUCCCGGAUUUAUGUAUAAUAAAGUUUAAGCUAAUUGCCAUUGAUCCAUGUCAUAAAUUUAGUAUCCAUAAAAUCUUCCAAUUGUACUGAACCAUUUUGAAAUCCAUCAAUAACUCGAUAUGGCCCAUGCCAUCGAACUUGAAAUUUUCUUGAAAAUUUUUUAAAUCGACUAUCAUAAAGAAGUACCAAAUCAUUUGGCAUAAAAACCUUUGGUCUAAGCUUACUAUCAUAAUAAGUCUUCCUUCGUUUUUAUGUAGUUUCCAUGAUCAUUAAUGCAUUGGCUAUAGUUUCAUCCAAUUUUUUCAAUUAUUCUAAAUGGUGCCGUAAUAAAUCCUGAUCUCCCAAUCUAUUAUCUGUAGCAAUUUGUAAACUUUAGACUUUUAAUUCAAUAGGUAAUAUUGCUUCUUGGCCAUAAACCAAUUGAAAAGGGGUAGCAUUGGUAGUAACUUUAUAUGCAGUAUGGUAUGCUCAUAAAGCUGCGAACAACUUAGUGUCCCAAUCUAUUCCCGCUCUUGAAACUAUUUUUUGUUAAGAUUUUACAUAAAAUGCCAUUAGUCUUUUUCGUUUAUCUAUUAGCUCUAGGAUGAUAAGGUGUAAUCUUAGGAUAUUUUAUCUCACAUUUAGCCAUAAGUACUUUGAUUGUACUAUUUAUAAAAUAAAUUCCUUGAUCACUAACUAAUUCUCGUAGACAACCAAACCGUGUAAUAAUAUUUUCAUACAAAAAGGUUGCUACUGUACUUGCACUAUCAAUUUUCGUAACUACUGCUUUAGUCCAUUUUGUUACGUAAUCCGUUGCUAUUAGUAUAUAUCAUUUUUGUCCAGUUUUCAAGGCUGGUGCAAUUGGUCCCACAAAAUCAAUUCUCCAUUUUUUAAAAGGCACUUGAGCCAGAAUUGGUACCAAUGGUAUUACUGAAGUUCUAGUAGGUCAACCCAUUCUCUGACAUGGGUCACAAUGAUGGACGAAUUGGUAGGCAUCUGUAAAAAUUGUUGGCCACUAAUAACCAGCUUGUAAAGCUUUACAAGCCGUGUUAUUCUUUACAAAAUUUCCACCACAAUUGUCCAAGUGACAACCUUCCAAUAUAGUACUCACUUUAGUCUAAUAAAUACAAUGUCGCAAAACUCCAUCCUUGUCUUAUUUAUAUAAAGCUUCACUAAUUAUCAUAUAAGGUGCACAUUUUAAUAUUAAGCGUCAUUUAAGCUUUUUAUUGAAAUUACGUGGAAAGGUUUGAAAUAUCAAGUAUUGAAUUAUUUCACUAUACUCCGGAGUAAUUACAUGUAUCGCAAACAGUUUCGCAUCGGAUAGUGCAUCAUUAAUGAAUUCAUUACCUAAUAUAUUGGAUAACCGAGAUAAAUGGUCCGCAUUUGAAUGUGAUUUUUCUGGUCUAACUUGAAUAGUAAAGUCAAAUUCUUGCAAGAAUAAAAUCCAUUGUAUAAUAUGACCACUCAAUUGAGGCUUAUUAAUUAUAUAUUUUAAAGCAUCAUGGUCGACAUGGAAAACAAAUUUAUAACCAAGAAGAUAAUGUCAAAACUUUUAUACAGAAUAAAUCAUCUCCAAUGCUUUUCGUUCAGUUUUUGUAUAAUUUCUUUCAUCUACUACCAAUUCACAACUUGCAUAAUAAAUAGGGUGAUCAAAACCCCAGUCAUCUUUCUGGCUUAGCCCAGAACCAAUCGCAACAUUAGAUGCAUCCACAUAAAAUUGGAAUCGUUUUGUCUAACAAGGUGCCACCAAUAUUGGUGCUGAAACUAAUUUUUGUUUCAAUGUUUCGAAUGCAAUUGUACAUUCUUUUGUCCAAAAUGGACUGGUUCCAUAGGUUGGUGGUUUCUUUAAGAGAUUUGUCAAGAGAAGGCAUAUAAUUACAAAUAGAUAGAUAAAUCACUGAUAAUAACUGAUAUGGUUGACGAAUGCUCAAACACCUGUAACAAUGUCUGGUUACUUUAAUUCUAUUAUAAUCUUUAUUUUAUCUGGAUCUGUAGCAAUGCCUGCCAUCGAAACUAUAUGACCCAACAGUUUACCAAAAAGUACACCAAAUUGGUACUUUUCUUAAUUUAAAGACAUUCCAUAUUUGGCACAUUGAUUCAAACAUUGACUGAUCAUUCUAAAUACCUAGCUCACAUACUAAAUGUACAAAAAUCAUCUAGAAAUAUUUCCAUUGAAAUUCGUAGAUAAUCUUGGAACGCUUACAUCAUUACCCUUUGAAAUGUAGCUGAUGCAUUACAAAGCCCAAAUGGCAUAACCUUAUAGGCAAAGGUCCCCCAAUCCAUAGUAAAAGUAGUUUUUAACUAGUCUUCUUUUGUAAUUUUAACUUGACUAUAAUCGAAGAAUCCAUCAAGAAAUGAAUAACAUUCAUGAAUGUUAUUCAUCCAAUAUAAUAUCCGUAAAUGGUAAAGAAAAAUAGUCCUUUUUGAUAGCCGCAUUUAAUUUACAAAAAUCUUGACAGAUACGAACUUUUCCAUUUUUUUUUUAUACCAUAACAAUUGAUGAAACCCAUUCAUUGAAAGGAAUCAGAUAGAUAAAUCCAACCUCCAAGAGUUUAUCCAAUUCUUCUUUUACCAUAAGUAAGUAUUUUGGAUUCAGUCGAUGUUGUCUUUGGUAUACUGGUGUAGUAUUCUCCUCCAAUAUAAUUCAAUGCUCACAAACUUUAAUUGGAAUUCCUUUCAAAUCUACAUAUGAUCAUGCAAAAGUAGUUUUAUGCGUUAAAAAGUAAUCCACCAAAAUUUCUUUUUCCUUGUCUUUUAUACCAUCGUAAAUUUGAAUGAUUUGAAGAGCCUCCCUUAUACCUAAAUUAAUUGAUUGACAUCGUAGAAUUUUAGGAGUCUUUGGAAUAAUGUUCUGCUUAAUUCCAAAAUCUUUCAUAAAAUCAGACAAAUUAGAACUUUCCAACUCCAGUUCCAUAGUACUAACGUGAUUAACAUCCUGUCUAUUCAUCCAAUAUACAAACAUAUGAUCAAAAUCGUCAAUAACAUCAGGAGGAGCUAAGUACUCUCCUGGUCCCCUACACUGGUAUUUUAUUCUAGUGUGCUUGACAACUUGCCUUGUAUCAACAUAAAUUGGGUUAGGUGCACCAAUUUCUUCUUUUGUAAACUCAUCUUCAUAAUCCGACGUGAAUUCUGAACUAACAACUUGAGUUUUUCCGUAAUAUUGGACAGGGUAUAUUUGAAGUACAAUUUUAUCAUUACCUUUCUCAAUUGUCAAUGUACCACGGCUCGAGUCAUUUCGAGCUUUAGCUUGAUACAAUGACGGUCACCUUAAUAAAAUUAGAUAUGACAAUAUAGAGCUUCGUAAUCAGAAAAUAAUUUAAUUAAUUUUGUAGAUAAUCUCCACAAUUACUGUAUCAAUACUUCGUAAAAUAUCUGUAGAUUUAACUUGACUGGAGUCAGCAAUUCUCAAAACUAUUAUAGUAGGCAAUAAGUGAUCCAAACCCAGCUCCUCCAUUGUAGCAAUAUUUAUAAGAUUUACACUAGAUCCUCCAUCUACUUGCACUCCCGAUAAUAACACUCCAUCAAUUGAGACAUCAAUCGUUGGUGCACCCGCAUCAAGAUUCAAACUUACUUCUCGGAUUUCUUUAUUUCGAGAUCUGCGACGAAUUAAUGAAGAAUUCAAGAUAAUUUGGCACUCAUGUGUUACCGCCAAUAGUUGCUUCAUUGAGAUUGUGGGCUGUAUGGUGCCCAAAUCUUUUAGAAUAUCAUAUGGUUUUGUAUUAGUGGUAAUUCUCAAUGUCCGUUUCUUCUUCCCAGUCUUAGACACCGACAUAAGUAAAUUGGUUUUUUUAUAUUGAAAUUCGGUAAAGCUACUGAAAUUAAAUUUGACGGAGCUUGUAAAACUGGUUCUUUCACCGGAUAAGAUUGUUCUCCUAAUUAGGCUGAUAUUGGUUCCUUAGAAUUCAUGCCUCUCAGAAGAUCUUUCAACGGAAAGGACGUUUUCUAAAAAUGUGUAGAAAACUGAACAGCUUGACAUAGAACCGAAGCCUCCAUAAUCGGUACCUCAUUGGAUUGCACAACUGAUUUAGGUCUUAUACUAAGUAAGGGACCUAUGUCAGGACCUGGAUUGGAUGGCCCCAUAAUUGGGUCUAAUUGGCCCUUUGCUUCAAGAUCACCCAAAUAUUUAAUUGAUCCUUUUUCUUUUUGCUGACUUCUUAUAAGGACAGCUUGGACUACUUCUAUCCAAUGAAUUGAUGAAUCUUGAGGACCUUGAUUUAUCUCCUCCAUUUUUUCUUGGCUUUGGAUCUACUGAUCUCGAUUAUUAAAAUUGAAUGGAGCAUUAUAUUGCUCAUAAGUAUGUCUCGACUGCUUAUAAUUUGUAUACAUUGGCACAUAAUCAUGACUAGCUCUGGGAUUGGAACAUUCACUAGCAAAAUGAUCAAUUUAUCUGCAACAAAAAUAACAAAGUGGUCUUCUUACACCUCCAUCUAACAUAUUGGGUGCCUCCAUCAGUAUAUACCUACUAGGCUUGUUCCAUGUAGGAUUAGAAAAUGAUCCUGGUUGUCCCGUUGGUAUGGAGGGUACUUAAUUUGAUGACACCGGUGUUGUAUUGUAACACGUCUAUAUGAUGAAAAUAUAAAUGAAGAAGACUUAUUAAUAUUUAGUCACCUUGGGUGUUAGAAGUAGUGGCCAAUUCGAGUGCAAAUACUGAGAGGCCAGGUUCAGUCACCCCGUUACAUUCAGCCGGGGCAUACUCACUAAUAACAAAAUGCUCCGUUCGAUUCCAAUAACGGGAGUCAGCAAAAAGAGAAAGGACCAAUUCAACGAUGUCGUGUUGUAACACGAGUAUACUAUGAAAAUAUAAAAAAAAAGGGACUUUUAUUAAUAUUCAAUUACCUCGAAUAUUGGGAGCAACGACCAAUUCCAGUGCAAAUAUUGAGUGGCCAGGUUCAGUCACCCCGUUACAGUCAGCCGGGGCAUACUGAAAUGCUCCUUUCGAUUCCAAUAACGGAGUUAGCAGGAAGGGAAAGGACCAAUUCACACGACGGAUGAGCCUAAUUCGAAGAGCCAAUUGGAUCCAAUUUCAAGACAUCCAAUCCAGGUCCUCUUACCCAAUAUGAGACCUGAAUUGGUCGGGCAACCCAAUGCAGUCUAAUUACGGGAAAAUCCAGGUCUUACUACGGGCCUCAGCCAAUCUGAUGCGAAGGACCAAUUUGAUCCAAUUACGAGAACAUCCGGGUCUUACUACUAGACUCUUAUCUAAUAUGAGACCUGAAUUGGUCGGGCGACUCAAUGUGGUCCCGAUUAUGAGGCUCCGAUUCCGUUUCAGGGUGUUCCGUCCUUUGUGCCGUUCCGGGAACGUCCUUUCGAUAAAAGGAUCUCUUAAAGGUAAAAAUAGAGGAGAAAGCUCUCGCGGCGAGAGCCAAUUUUGGAUCCAAGCUCUGACGACGGGAGCCAAUUUCGGAUCCAAGAUGGAAGAUUGAAGAAAUUCAGAAUUAAGGUUAAGAAAUGAAGGGGAGAGAAUAAGUUUUUUUGGGGGGGUUUUGAAGGGUCGGAGAGCUAGCUUCAUGCUUCGGGUCGGGGAAGAAAAGAUAGAGAAUUGGAUUUUUCUUCUUCAUAGGGUUUUGGGAAGACUGAGGCAAUCGUUGCUGAAGUCAGUAUUGUAAUGGUGAAUCGAGAUUUUUAAUGAAGUGGGUUUGAUUACUCUUGACUGUUUUGUGAAAUCGAGUUACGUCUGUGAUGAAGAAUUAAAAGGGUGUCUAUAGGAUUGAGUAUGCGGAGUGAAUGAAAUUUAUUGGGUUAAUCUAACGAGACAGUUAGUGGAUACAAGAUCAUGAGUAUAAAGCGGUAUCAAAGAUUAGCAGUUUGGAUUGUUCAGGGUUCUCUGUAACAUCUAGAGACCUAUCGGUUGGGACAAAAAGGACUUUGGUGAGCAGUCGAAGGGCAUCCGUAUAGAUUUACGGUGUAUUUUUGCAGUCGUUUAUAUUUCAACAGUCAAAAAUCGAUAGACUGUUUGAAUAUUAGCGAAUCUCCAUACUACCUUUUAUAGCUAGACACCCGAUGUGUUCUCGAGCAGGAAAGCACGUAAUACGACACAAGUGGUGAACCUGACGUGAAAGCUUGAGAUGAAAGGUAUUGGAUUUUGUUUGAUUUUAUUUUUAUUUUUAUUUUAUGGAAAACGAAAAAUAAAAAUUUUGAAGGAUUUUUGGAAGAAGUUUCUGGUGGGGGUUCUUCUAAAGGACAAGGUAUGCACAUGGAUCCGUCUAUUGCUAGUAUGUUUCAAGCCUUCUCAUUAUCAAUGCAGCAACACCAAAGCAAUGAUCGAAAGGAAGCUUUGACAACCAAAGCAUUAUCAAAAUUGGUUUGAAGAAGAUCCUCUCUAUUUUUUAAUGCUAUCUUCCCAUCUUUCCAGCAAAUAAUUCCCUGCCGUAUCAUAUUAUUAAAUUCAUUGCAAUCUUUUCUAGUGUGUGAAGCAUCAUCACACCAAAUGCAUCUUUGUAUAUAUCCUUGUUUUGAAACAUUCUUCGAAUUUUUUGUAGAAGUAUUCUCUUCAAGUCUUGCCAAUUUGAUUUGAAGAUCUCGCAUUCCUCGUAUAAUUUCUUCCAUCUCCAUAUCUGCUUUCUUUGAUAAGGAUGUCGAAGGUUGAACUGUAGGCAUUGUUGGUGGUGUUGUACAUACUGGAGCUUUGGGUGCUUGUACUAUUUUCGGAAUAUUGCUUCUAUCCUUCGUCUUUUCUCUUUUUGUAAGCAACUCCACCGUAUCUUCAACGUUCUUCCACUUUGUUGUCAAUCCUUCAUCUUCUUCUUUGUCUUCAAGAAAGAUUUCUAAUUUCUCUUGCAAUUCUCCAUCAGCAGCUUGAAAAAAUAGAUCAACUUUGUUCGGCUCCAAUGUCAAUUUUUCUACCUUCGAUAAUUGAGAACUCUGCCUCUCAAAUUCCCUUAGUAGCUCUGUUGCUUACAAAUUCUUAUUGGGCCGUUCAAUCCAUUCCAGAAACAGCUUCUAUGUAACGCGAUCAGCAUCUUCCAAGAAAUAUUUGUCUUUCAAUGCAUGUGAAAAAACCUCCCAUGAAUUCCCAUAACGAUCCGUAAUCGAUGUAAAAUGGACUUUUAUCUCUGGUAUCGUGGCAAGUCCAAAUAGUGCAACCAUUUUCUUCUCAGAAAUCCGAUUUAAUUCCAUUUCACGAACAUAACAUCUUAAAUACCUUGAAAUAUUCUUCCCAUCAAAUUGAUCAAUUUUAUUGACCACUGCUUGCAAUACUUUGGUUGUCAAAGCUUCCUUUCGAUCAUUGCUUUGCUGUUGAUGCAUUGACAAUGAGAAGGCUUGAAAUAUACUAGCAAUAGAUGGAUCCAUGUGCAUACCUUGUCCUUUAGAAGAAUCUCCACCAGAAACUCCUCUCAAAAAUCCUUCAAAAUUUUUAUUUUUGUUUUCCAUAAAAUAAAGAUAAAAUCAACCGAAAUCCAAUACCUUCCACCUCAAGCUUUCACGUUGGGUUCACCACUUAUGUCGUAUAACGUGCUUUUCUGCUCGAGAACGGGCCGGGCGUCUGGCUGUAGAAGGUAUUAUUGAGAUUCGUCAAUAUUCAAGCAGUUUAUCGGUUAUUGACUGCUGGAAUACAAACAACUGCAAGAAUACACCGUAAAUCUAUACGGAUGCCCUUCGACUGCUCGCCAAAGUCCCUUUUACCCCUGCCGAUAGGUCUCUAGACAUUACAGAGAACCCCAAACAACCCAACUUGCUAACCUCUGAUACAACUUUGUACUUACAAUCUUGUAUCCACUGACUGUCUUGUUAGAUUAACCCAAUAAAUUUCAUUUACUCCACAUACUCAAUCCUAUAGACACCCUUUUAAUCCUUCAAUCAUAGACGUAACUCGAUUUCACAAAACAAUCAAGAGUAAUCAAACCCACUUCAUUAAAAAUCCCGAUUCACCAUUACAACACUGAUUUCAGCAACGAUUGCCUCAGUCUUCCCAAAAUCCUAUGAAGAAGAAAAACCCAAUUCUCUGUCUUUUCUUCCCUGACCCCGAAGCAUGAAGCUCCUCUCCAAUCUCCUUGAUCUUCAAAAACCUCCAAUGAAACCGAACUAGUAACCUUGAAAAGAGCUUGAAGCUAGCUCUCGAUCCAAAAAAAAACCCCUACCCUGAUCUGAAAAAAAACCUCCCCUAAAAACUUAUUCUCCCCCUAACCUUAUCCUCUGAAUUUCUUCAAUCUUCCAUCUUGGAUCCGGAAUUGGCUCCCGUCGUCAGAGCUUAGAUCCGAAAUUGGCUCUCGCCAUCAAAGCUUUCUCCUCCGUUUUUACCUUUAAGAGAUCCAUUUACCGAAAACAACGUUCCUUGAAACAGAGAAUUAGACAGCCUGAAACAGAAUCAAAAUCCCGUACUCGGGUCCACAUUGAGUCGCCCGACCAAUUCAGGUCUCAUAUUGGAUAAGAGUCCAGUAGUAAGACCCGGAUUUUCCCGUAAUUAGACUGCAUUGGAUUGUCCGACCAAUGCAGGUCUCAUAUUGGGUAAGAUGCCUGUAGUAACUUGGAUAUUCCCGUAAUGAGACUGCAUUGGGUUGCCCGACCAAUGCAGGUCUCAUAUUGGGUAAGAGGACCCGGAUUGGAUUCUCGAAAUUGGAUCCAAUUGGCUCUUCAAACCAGGCUCAUCCGUCGCAUGAAUUGGUCCUUUUCCUUCCUGCAGACUCCCGUUAUUGGAAUCGAAUGGAGCAUUUCAGUAUGCCCCGGCUGACUGUAACGGGGUGACUGAACCUGACCACUCACUAUUUGCACUGGAGUUGGUCGUUGCUCCCAAUAUUCGAGGUAACUGAACAUUAAUAAAAGUCCCCUUUCUUUAUAUUUUCACGGUAUACUCGUGUUACAAUACGACAACGGUACCUAAGAAGAAUGGAUCACUACGGUUUAUUCAAGAUAUGCAACUGGUGAAUGCAGUAACUGUCAGGAAUGCAGGAAUUGGACCUAUUGUGAAUGAAUUUGCUGAGGCAUUUGUAAGAAGGGCGAUCUAUUCAAUGGAUGACUUAUAUUCAGGUUAUGAUCAAUUUCAACUUGCCGAAGGAAGUAGAGAUAUGACAACGAUGAGGACACCACUUGGAUUGGUUAGAAUGUGCACUCUUCCUCAAGGCGCGACCAACUCAGUUGCGCAUAUGAUGAAUGGGAUGAACAAGGUAUUGAGAGAUUUUAUUCUAGAGAAGACUAUGCCUUUUCUGGAUGAUGUUCCUAUAAAAAGGUACAGAGAAGGAGACAAGGAUGAAACUUUAGAUAUGAGGGGAUGUCGCAAAUAUGUUGUUGAUCAUAUACAAGAUUGUGAAAAGAUUUUAACUCAGCUUGGAGAAGUUCAUCUUACAUUAUCGGAUAUGAAGUCUAUAUUUGGAAUAGAAGAGGUUGUGAUUGUUGGAAAUUUAUGUAGAUCUUAUGAAAGAAAACCAGAUCCGACUAAAGUUGAUGCAAUUGGAAGGAUGAAAGAGGAUUGUGAUUCUUUAACAGAGGUUCGCAGGUUUUUAGGUGCAUAUAUAUUUUAUCGAAUCUGGAUCCCUCAUUAUGCUCACAUAGCGGAUCCAUUAUAUGAACUGUUACGCAAGGGCUACCAAUUUAAAUGGGAAGAAAGGCAUAUUCAGGCAAUGCAAAGAUUGAAGAAAUUAUUGAUGUCACCUCUAAUAUUGAGGAAGGUUGAUUAUAAGUGCAAUAGAUCAGUGAUUCUUACUGUGGAUACUAGUCCAAUUGCCAUUGGAUGGGCUGUGGGUCAAGAUGAUUGAAAUGGGAAUAGAUUUGCAGUUCGAUUUGGAGCUAAAGUUUUAAGUAUUCGUCAGCGUGCAUAUUUGCAAGUCAAAAGAGAACUUUGGGGAGUCGUUUUGGCUAUGAAAGCUGAAAAGGACUAUUUGAUUGGGGCAGUAGUAGUAAUUGAAACAGAUUGCUUGCCAUUGCUUGGAAUGAUUACUAACUGUUCAACGCCAGAUAUUGCAAUGUUGAGAUGGAUUGCUUAUAUUAAGUCACUAAAUCCAGAAUUUAUAUUAAGUCACUAAAUCCAGAAUUUAAGCAUAUAACUAGGAAGGACAAUUUAGUAGCAGACAUGCUAUCUCGAGCAAGAUACGAGAGGGAGGACGAAAUGGUUGAAGACAUUGAUGACGUUGGCUCGAAAUUCUAUUCAAUCUCAAAUCUCAACAGAGAAGACAAGAUAUUUCUUGAAGAAUCUUAUGAAGGAGAAUUAUUGGAUAUUGUUCAUUACUUGGAUACCUUGACUAAGCAGGAGAAUUGGUCUACAGAAAAAUUCAAACAAAUAAGAAAGAAAGCAUAUGGAUUUUUACUUCGAGAUGGAUUCUUAUGGAAGAGAUCGAGGAAAGGAAUUGGGAUGCCACAACAAGUGAUAGGCAAAAAAGAAGAAAAACUAAAAUUAUUAAAGGAGUUUCAUGAUAGUUUAUGGGCAGGGCAUAGAAGAAUCUGGGCUACUUUUGCUAAACUCAAGGAACGAUAUUGGUGGAAAAAUAUGUAUCGAGAUGUGCUCUCAUUUGUAAAGUCAUGUGAAAUUUGUCAAUCGUAUUCUAAUAUCCGACAUCGAGAUGGUCUUCAUCAUAUGUAUCCUCUGGCUAUUCAUUUUAAAUGGAUUGUUGAUUUGAUUAUUAUACCAGUUGGGUUAUGGCAGAUGAGAUAUUUGGUUUUAGCUCGUGAAGAUUUAUCAAAUCAAGUAGAAGGAAGAGCAUUGAGGACAAAAUCUACAGAGGGGAUUUGUAAAUUUUUGCUUGAAGAUGUCAUUUACCGCUACGGAUGCGUAGAAAAGAUCACUACAGAUCCUGGAGAAUUAAAUACACAAGAAGCUCGUAAGUUCUUUAAAAGAUGUGGAGUUAAACUAUCACUGACUACUGCUUAUAAUUUGGAAGGGAAUGCAGAAAGCAAACGCGGUCACCCACCAAUUGUAAAAGCAUUAGUUAAAGCUUGUAAUGGAAAAGUUAGAGAGUGGCCACGACUUUUGUCAUUUGCAUUAUGGGUUGAUCAAACAAUACAUAGUUUGGUGACAAGAUAUAUGCCAGUAGAACUUAUGACAGGUCGAAAACCAAUUAUGCCGAUUGAAGAAAGGGUACUUACUUGGAGUAUGCUACCUUAGGAAGAUGGAUUGACAAGAGAAGAACUUCUGGCUAUUAGGAUUCGACAAUUGGAGCAAAGAUCGGAAGAUGUGCAAAUAGCAUUGGAAAGAUUAAAAAGAGCAAGGUUACAAAAUAAGGUGCGAUUCGAUAAGCAACAUCGAUUGAGACCUAAAGCAAUCGAGGAAGGUGACUGGAUACUUGUUUAUGACAAUAGUCUGGAUAAUCAACAUAGUACUUUGCGAAAAUUUUCAAAACGUUGGUUUGGACCAUAUGUAGUAACAACUGUUCAUGAUAAUGCGACUUAUUCAUUACGGGAAUUAGAUGGUACAAAAUUAAAAAUACCAAUUGCACGGAAGCGAGUAAAAAUAUUUAAACGAAGAGACGCGGAGAUGAAUAUGGAAGACCUUAAUGAAGGUAUAGAGAUUCCGCAGCAAGAAGAUGAAAGUGAUUUGGAUAAUGAAGGUGACAAAGACGAACUGAACAAAGAUGUUGAGGAUAUAUUCUAAAUCAAACAACAAUAGGAUAAAUUGGUGCAUACCGGAGGAUGCACAGGUUCAGAGGGGGUGGAUGUCAUGUUGUAACACGAGUAUACCGUAAAAAUAUAAAGAAAGGGGACUUUUAUUAAUAUUCAAUUACCUUGAAUAUUGGGAGCAACAACCAAUUUUAGUGCAAAUACUGAGUGGCCAAGUUCAGUCACCCCGUUACAGUCAGCCGGGGCAUACUGAAAUGCUCCAUUCGAUUCCAAUAACAAGAGUCAGCAGGAAGGGAAAGGACCAAUUCACACGACGGAUGAGCCUGGUUCGAAGAGCCAAUUGGAUCCAAUUUCAAGACAUCCAAUCCAGGUCUUCUUAUCCAAUAUGAGACCUGAAUUGGUCGGGCAACCCAAUGCAGUCUAAUAACAGGAAAAUCCAGAUCUUACUACGGGCCUCAGCCAAUCUGAUGCGAAGGACCAAUUUGAUCCAAUUAUGAGAAUAUCCAGGUCUUACUACUGGACUCUUAUCCAAUAUGAGACUUGGAUUGGUCGGGCGACUCAAUGUGGUCCCGAUUACGGGGCUCCGAUUCCGUUUCAGGGUGUUCCGUCCUUUGUGCCGUUCCAAGAACGUCCUAUCGAUAAAAGGAUUUCUUAAAGGUAAAAAUGGAGGAGAAAGCUCUCACGGCGAGAGCCACUUUUGGAUCCAAGCUCUAAUAGCGGGAGCCAAUUUCAGAUCCAAGACGGAAGAUUGAAGAAAUUUAGAAUUAAGGUUAAGAAAUAAAGGGGAGAGAAUAAGUUUUUUGGGGGGGGGUUUGAAGGGUCGGAGAGCUAGCUUCAUGCUUCGGGUCGGGGAAGAAAAGAUAGAGAAUUGGAUUUUUCUUCUUCAUAGGGUUUUGGGAAGACUGAGACAAUCGUUGCUGAAGUCAGUAUUGUAAUGGUGAAUCGAGAUUUUUAAUGAAGUGGGUUUGAUUACUCUUGACUGUUUUGUGAAAUCGAGUUACGUCUGUGAUGAAGAAUUAAAAGGGUGUCUAUAGGAUUGAGUAUGCAGAGUGAAUGAAAUUUAUUGGGUUAAUCUAACAAGAUAAUUAGUAGAUACAAGAUCAUGAGUAUAAAGCGGUAUCGAAGAUUAGCAGUUUGGAUUGUUCGGGGUUCUCUGUAACGUCUAGAGACCUAUCAGUUGGGACAGAAAGGACUUUGGUGAGCAAUCGAAGGGCAUCCAUAUAGAUUUACGGUGUAUUUUUGCAGUCGUUUAUAUUCCAACAGUCAAAAACUGAUAGACUAUUUGAAUAUUAGCGAAUCUCCAUACUACCUUCUAUAGCCAGACGCCCGAUGCGUUCUCGAGCAGGAAAGCACGUAAUACGACAACGAUGGAUGAAUCUAGUUCGAAUAGCCAAUUGAAUCCAAUUUUAGAAGACCUCGAAUUCAGGUCCUAUUAUGGACCUCUUACCCAAUAUGAGACCUGACUUGGUCGAGCAACCCAAUGUGGUUCGAUUACGAGCUUUGAUUUCAUUUCAGGUUGUUCCGAUUCUUUGUACUGUUUUGGAAACAUCCUUUUGGUAGAAGGAUCUCUUAAAGGCAAAAAUGGGGGGGAGAAAGCUCCGUCGGCUGUUUCAAUUCAAGAAAUCCAAGGCGAAAGAAUAGGAUCUUCUCAGGGUUAAAGGGGAAGAUAGGUUAAGAAAUGGAGAGGAGAGAAUCAGGGUUUUAAGGAUCGGAGAGCUAUCUUCAUGCUUCAGGGAAAGAUAGAGAAUUAGGAUUUUUUUUUUUCUUCAUAGGUUUUUGGGUAGACUGAGGCAAUCAUUGCUGAAAGUCAGUGUUGUAUUGGUGUACUAGAUUUUUUUCUGUAAGAGAAAAAAGGUUGGUACUCUUGAUUGUUGAUGGAAUGGAAGAUACUUCUGUGGUUGAAAUUCAGAGUUGUCUAGAAGGUUGAGUAUACUGAAUGUAUGCAUGGUUGUAUUAAUCUGACUGUACAGAUAGAAAAUAUCUGCCAACAGUUUAAAGAAGUUUUGGGAGUUGGCAAAUUGGGAUUUGUUUAGGAUUUUUAUGAUAACUAGGGACCUAUCGACAUGGAUAAGAGGAAUAUCGACAAGCGGCCAAGGGACAUCAGUGCGGAUUGCAGUAUAGCCUCACAAUCUGUAAGCAAGGUUGAACUGGAACUUCUUGAGCAUUCAAAAGGGCUUGCAGAGACACUAGCGAUAGAUUUUUCACAAUAAGUCGGAAGGGCAGAUUGAAGAUCACAGCUUGCCGAAGUUCACGGUCUAGGAUUAAGGUAAUUAACGAUAAAGAUAAAAUAAAAAAACAUAAAAUAAAUAAAAUAAAAUAAAAAUAACAAAAGAGAUUGAAGUUAUAUAAGGUCUUUAGGCAUUUUAUAUUGGAAUUAAGCUUUGACAUUGCAAUCUGAUAUAGAUUGUAUUUGGAUAGUCAAGAAUCUGAUAGAUUGCUUGUGUAGUAGCGAAACACCAUACUACUUGUUACAGCUAGACGUCCGACACGUUUUCAAGCAAGAUAGCACGUAAUACGACACAAGUGGUGAAUCCGAUGUAAAAGCUUGAGGUGGAAGCUAUUGGAUUUCGUUUGAUUUUAUUUUUAUUUUUAUGGAGAACAAAAAUAAAAAUUUUGAAGGGUCUUUGGGAGGAGUUUCUAGUGGGGGUUCUUCUAAAGGACAAGGUAUGCACAUGGAUCCGUCUAUUGCUAGUAUGUUUCAAGCCUUCUCAUUAUCAAUGCAACAAUAGUAAAGCAAUGAUUGAAAGAAGCUUUGGCAACCAAAGAAUUGCAAGCGGUAGUCUAUAAAAUUGAUCAAUUUGAUGGAAGGAAUAUUUCAAGGUAUUUAUGAUGUUACGUUCGUGAAAUGGAAUUAAAUCGGGUUUCUGAGAAGAAAACGGUUGAAUUACUUCCACUUGCCAUGAUACUGGAGAUAAAAGACCAUUUUACAUCAAUUACGGAUUGUUAUGGGAAUUCAUAGGGGGUUUUUUUACAUGCAUUGAAAGACAAAUAUUUCUUGGAAGAUGCAAAUCGCGUUACUAAGAAGUUGUUUCUGGAUUGGAUUGAACGGCCUAAUAAGAAUUUGCAAGCAACAGAGCUACUAAGGGAAUUUGAGAGGCAGUACUCUCAAUUAUCGAAAGUAGAAAAAUUGACAUUAGAGUCGAACAUAGUUGAUCUAUUUCUUCAAGUUGCUCAUGGAGAAUUGCAAGGGAAAUUGGAACUCCUUCUUGAAGACAAAGAAGAAGAUGAAGGAUUGACAACAAAGUGGAAGAACGUUGAAGAUGCAGUGGGGUUGAUUGCAAAAAGAGAAAGGAAGAAGGAUAGGAGUAAUAUUUCGAAAACAAUACAAGCACCCAAAGCUCUAGUACGUACAACACCACCAACAAUGCCUACAGUUCAACCUUCGACAUCCUUAUCAAAGAAAGCAGAUAUGGAAAUGGAAGAAAUUAUAUGAGGAAUGCGAGAUCUUCAAAUCAAAUUAGCAAGACUUGAAGAGAAUAUUUCUACAAAUAAUUUGAAGAAUGUUUCAAAACAAGGAUAUGUACAAAGAUGCAUUUGGUGUGAUGAUGCUUCACACACUAGAAAAGAUUGCAAUGAAUUUAAUAAUAUGAUACAACAAAGAAUUAUUUGCUCGAAAGAUGAGAAGAUAGCAUUAAAAGAUAGGGAGGAUCUUCUUCAAACCAAUUUUGGCAAGGGAGGAAUGAGAACAUUGGUUCAAGAUUACUUAAAAGUGCAUGAAACAGCAGCAUGAGAAAGUGCAAGUUAUGGUGCUAGAGUAGAUGAUGACCUUCGUGGAAGAACGAAAACUAGUGAGUUUUGGGCUUCUGCCAUUUCUACAAUGCAAGAAGGGAAAUUACCUCGAGAAGAGUUAUUGAGGACUGCAGCUACAAUACGAGGAGCAACAGGUUGGGAGGAUCCUGUUGAGUCUCUUUCAGUUCAUGCAUAUAUUGCUAAGAGCCAACAUGAAGCUUUGAUAGAAGAAAAGAGACGAGGAAAUUUUGAUGAUACGAGAGAAGGAAAUUCUUCUAAGAGACAAACUCGAGGAGACAAGGCUCGAAAGGCAGCUUCACAAAAAUUGCCUGUAAAAGAUACCUUAGCAUUAUUGGGAGAAAAAACAAAGGAGACAAAAGAUAAGGGCAAAUCAAUUACUUAUAAGCUACUUUCUGACAUUGAAGCGGCAACAAAUUUGAAAGGGGUGUUGGAAGAACGUAUAUUAAAUGCUAAGGUGGAAUUCACAUUGAAAGAAAUCUUGGGAAUUGCAAAGAAGGAGUUUCAUGAUGUUAUCAUUGACAACAUUAAAUAAAAGAGGCAAUUAAUGGGCGAAACUGGAAUGAGUCAUGCUAUUGAUGGAAGAAUAUAUAAAGAUAAAGAAGAGGUUGAUAUUGGUUAUAAGCAACCAACAAAUGAAAAGAAUGGGUAUAAUCAACGAGUACGUUUCAAAGAUUAUAGUGAUAAGGAAAUGGAAACUUUGAGCCAUUAUACUCGAAAGCAUUGGGUAAAGGCAAUUACUGAGGUAUUGGUGAAAGUAGGAGAUAUAGAAGAACCAAUUGUUGCUUUAGUCGACCAUGGUUUUGAAAUAAAUCUCAUGUCUAAAGAUCUUUACAAGAAGCAAAAAUGGUCAAUUGAUAUGUAACAUGGAUGGAUAAUACGAGCAGCUAAUAAUACAUGGGGCGAAUUAUAUGGAGCUUAUCCAGAUAUCAAAAUCCAGAUUGGGGAUGUUGUGACGGAGCAACAUUUCUUUGUUCAAGAUACAACAUCUUAUCUGUUGAUUUUAGGACAACCUUAUAUUAUGGCAACACGGAUGGAAACAAAAGUACUUGACGAUGGUUUUGCUUAAGCAAGGAUACAUAGCGAAGAUGAGAGGAAGGCUGUACAAUUUCUAACAGUACCUCCUAACCAUGAACGGAAUCGAGAUAGGUUGAGGGAGAAACCAUUGUCAAAGAUUGUUGAAGGAUUUAAGGAUUUUGGGGAGGUACCACUGUAAAGCAAGAUUAUGGAGGUACAAAAGAGGAGGUACUCUCGUGAGAUGAAGGUGCCUUUGAUGCAAGUUUUAUUGGUAUUUUGGAUAAUGGAAAUAUUAUGUAUAAGAAAGUUGAUGAUUUUAAAAGAAAAGAAAGAAAAAGAUUAUAUAAUAUUGAAGGAGAAUUAUACAAGUUAGGUACAUUGCAAGAUGAUGAGAAGAUUUUAGGUGUUUAUGAAGAAAAUGGACUGGAAGAUUCAUUGGAAUUGAUUACAUCUAUUAGGUUAGGGGAUAAUAAUAAGAUUGUUGAGAUUCAUUCAAGAGAGGUUUAUACCAUGCUUGAAUCUUUUCAAGCAUCAGAAGUCACUAUAGAGACAAGAUAUAAAACAGCAGAUAAGAAGGUAAAGUCCGUUGUCGUGUUGUAACACGAGUAUACUGUGAAAAUAUAAAGAAAGAAGACUUUUAUUAAUGUUCAGUUACCUCAAAUAUUGGGAGCAACGACCAAUUCCAAUGCAAAUACUGAGUGGCUAGGUUUAGUCACCCCGUUACAGUCAGCUGGGGCAUACUGAAAUGCUCCAUUCGAUUCCAAUAACUGGAGUCAGCAGGAAUGGAAAGGACCAAUUCACACGACGGGUGAGCCUUGUUCGAAGAGCUAAUUGGAUCCAAUUUCAAGAAUCCAAUUCGGGUCUUCUUACCCAAUAUGAGACCUAAAUUGGUCGGACAAUCCAAUGUAGUCCAAUUACGGGAAUAUUUGGAUCUUACUAUUGGACUCUUAUCCAAUAUGAGACCUGAAUUGGUCGGGCGACUCAAUGUGGUCCCGAUUACGGGGUUUCGAUUCUGUUUCAGGCUGUCUUGUUCUCUGUGCCAUUUCAGGGAACGUUAUUUUUGGUAAAAGGUUCUGUUAAAGGUAAAAACGGAGGAGAAAGCUCUGACGGCGAGAGCCAAUUCUAGAUCCAAGACGGAAGGAGCCAAUUCCGGAUCUAAGACAGGGAGAUCCAAUUCUGGAUCCAAGACGAAGGAUUAAAGAAAUUCUGAGGCUAGGGUUUUAAAGAGGGGAGAAUUAGGGUUAAAGGGGAGGAAGGUUAAGAGAUGGUGGGGUUUUUUUCAAUGGGGUUUUUUCAGUGGGAUUUUUUUCAGUGGAGGUUUUUUUAGAGGGUUUUUUUUUUUCAGAUCGGGUUUUUGGAUCAAAGAGCUAGCUUCAAGCUCUUUUCAAGGUCACUAGGUUGGUUUCAUUAGGAGUUUUUGGAUCCAAGAGCUAGCUUCAAGCUCUUUUUAAGGUCACUAGUUUGGUUUCAUUAGGGUUUGUAAGGAGAGAGCAAUCGUUGCUCAAAGUCAGUGUUUAUUAUGGUGUUUUAGAUUUUAUAUAAAACAUUGAUGGUUUGCAUUCUCAAUCGGUUUGUGCAAGUCGUGUAGCAUCUAUAGAUUAAAAUUUGGUAUUGUGUGGAUAGUUGGAUGUGCUAAGUGUAUACAAAAAUUUGUGUUAAUCUAACGAUGCAAUCAAGAGAUAUCUCGGUUUUAGUACAAAGGGUUGUCAGAAGUUGGCAGUCUAGGGUUGGAUAGGAUUUCUGUGAUAUCUGAAGAUCUACUAGUUGGAUCGACGUAAUUUUUGGCUUAGUAAUAAAAGAUUUAGAGAUCAAGCAACUAUUCAAUUUUGAGUUGGAGUUAACAAUUGACAAAGGAGAAAUCACUUCUGGAGUUUCUACAUCAAAUUUCAAGGUUGCGGCCGAGUGUCAUCAGUGUGGUUUUUGGGCGUUUUCUUGCAAUCUGUAAGUUGGGUUGGGCUGAAAUUUUCUGAGCAUAUAGAAGGCUUAUACUGGUAUUUGGGUGCAAAAUUUCACACUAAGUGGACGGUUGGAUCAAAAGUUACAGCUUGUCAAAGCUCACUGGCUAGGGUUAGGGCUUGUUAAAAAAAACAAAAAUAACUUAAUUAUAAAAGAAAUAAAGCAAUUGGAAUAUUGUAUGGUUAAAAUGACUAUGAGGAGUGUUUUUAAAUAUUUAGAAAUUGAUAUUUCAAUUAUAUUCUUCAUACAUGGAUAAAAUCUAUUAGGGUUUCUUUGUUAUUUGCAAAAACAACUAUACCUUCCACAGCCAGAUAUCCAGUGUAUUCCCGAACAAGACAACACGUAAUAUGACAUAAGUGGUGAACCCAACGUGAACGUUUAGGGUGGAAGGUAUUGGAUUUUGUAUGUAGUUAUUUGGAUUGAUGGUGCAAGAUGACAAGGUUGAUUUUAGAGUUUUUGGAAGACUUGGAGCUUUGGAGGAUAUUUUGAAAAGCAAUGGUGAUAUUUGGAUUAUUAUAGAGUAUAUUAUGGCUUUAUAGACAUCUUGGGGCAUUUUGAGGUAUCAUAAGUUAUUUAUUGGAGCAUUUCAAGGGAUAGUUUUUUUAACAUUGUGGAAGAAAAUGGAAGAUAUUUCAAUGAAGUCUUUCGAUAGGUUGAAUACUUUGGAUGGACCAAAUGUUAAAGGGUUUUUUGAGGCUUUUGUAUAUUUAUGGAAGAACAACAAAAGAUACAAGCAAUUAAAAGGGAUAUCACAAAAGCAUUACAAGGAAUUUUUAACAAAUUUGGGAGGUUUAACGGAUGCAACAUCACUAAGUUUUUACAAGUAUAUACAUGUGAAAUGGAGACAUGCCAAAUCCCUGAGGCAAAGAUGAUUUCAAGCUUUUAUUUGGCUAUUGAACCUGGAAUUUAUAGAAAAGUGAAGAGAUUACUUGAAAGGGGUGUAGAAACAUGAUCAAAAUUUCAAGAACUUUUGAAGAAAGAAUUUAUUGAUGCAAAUGAGGAUAAGAUUACCAAGCGACAGUUUUUGGAUUGGAUAGAAUUACAACCAGGCACGCAUAUAGAUCUUUAUGAAUUCUUGAAAGAAUUUGAAAAGAGGUUUUAUCAACUGUCAUCCUCAAAGAGACAGUCAUUGGAUGCUAUAAAAAUAGAAUUAUUUUUAAAUGGUCUUGAUGAUGCCAUUGGAGACAAACUUUUAAUACUUCUUGCAGAUGAGUCUAUGGAGAGUGGUUGUACUAACAAUUGGAAAGAGUUGAAAGAAGUAAAAAUUCUUUUAGCAAAACAACAAAGAGCAAAAACUAAAGGAGUUGGAGUAUGGUCUAAGAAAUCUUCUACUUUGGCUUCUAUAUCAUCUUUAUCAAUACAAGGAAUUAAUCUUGAAAAAAGAGAAAUGGAACAGCAACUGGAGGACUUCGAAGGAGGAGCCAAUUUUUUGCAAAUGAAAGAAAGUGGAUCUUUUAUCAAGGAUGGUGAAGGAAAGAACAAAGACUUUGAUCAAAUUAUUACUAUGGAAGGUCAGAAUAUCAAAAAAAUUGAAGGCAAUAUGGAACUCAAGGAUUUAGAAAUUAAUGACAAUAAGGAUGAAAAUUAUAGCUAUUCUACAUUGAAUAUGUUUAUGCAAGUGGAUGAUGGCAAUUUGGAUGGAACAUCUCAUGGUGGUAAAAAAGAUUAUGGUGAAAGUUGCAAGAUUUUUCAAGAACAUGAGCUUUCACAAGGCUAUGAAAUUUUUCAAUAUUAUGAAGUAAUACAACAUAUUGAGAUAACACAAGGUUAUGAUGUUUCACAAGGAUGCAUUCAAGAAGAAAUGAAGGAUGUUUUACAAGGAUAUAUUCAAGAAGAAAUGAUAGAUAUUUCACAAGAUAAUGUAGCAAAAGAAGAUUGUGGAAUCAAAGGUAAAGGUACUAAAUCAAUAGCUUUAAUCAAGUUAAUUGUGAGUACUAAUCUUUUGGACCAAGAUCAAGGUUACAUGGAUAAUGCACAUGUAUUGGGGGCACAAUUGGAUUUUGAUAAGAAAAAGAUUCAUCAUGAAGUGUGGAAUUCAAAGGUUGAAAAUCUAAAAAUCUUCAAAUAUAAAGACAUGGGUAAUGGAUUUAAGGAUUAUAUGGACGUCUUAAAUCAAGCAUGGAAUCAAAGGAACAAGAAAAAAGAUGCAAGCAAGAUGUAUGUGGCCAUAUGGAAGAAGUUUCAAUUAAAUCUUUCCAUUUCAAAAUUUGUACCUCGCCAAUGAUUUGGUCAUGUACAAAUUUGAAUGUUUCCAAUUUACUUGUACAAGAUGGAUACAUGGAUUUUGGUAUUGGAUAAAGAAUAAUGGUGUACUGAAUUUGGCACAUACCGCAGGAUGUGCAGGUUCAGAGGGGGUGGAUAUCGUGUUGUAACACGAGUAUAAUGUGAAAAUAUAAAGAAAGAGGACUUUUAUUAAUGUUCAGUUACCUCAAAUAUUGGGAGCAACGACCAAUUCCAGUGCAAAUACUGAGUGGCUAGGUUCAGUCACCCCGUUACAGUCAGCCGAGGCAUACUGAAAUGCUCCGUUCGAUUCCAAUAAUGGGAGUCAGCAGGAAGGGAAAGGACCAAUUCACACGACGGGUGAGCCUGGUUCGAAGAGCCAAUUGGAUCCAAUUUCAAGAAUCCAAUUCGGGUCUUCUUACCCAAUAUGAGACCUAAAUUGGUCAGACAAUCCAAUGUAGUCCAAUUACGGGAAUAUUCGGGUCUUACUAUUGGACUCUUAUCCAAUAUGAGACCUGAAUUGGUCGGGCGACUCAAUGUGGUCCCGAUUACGGGGUUUUGAUUCUGUUUCAGGCUGUCUUGUUCUCUGUGCCAUUUCAGGGAACGUUGUUUUCGGUAAAAGGAUCUCUUAAAGGUAAAAACGGAGGAGAAAGCUCUGACGGCGAGAGCCAAUUCUAGAUCCAAGACGAAAGGAGCCAAUUCCGGAUCCAAGAUGGGGAGAGCCAAUUUCGGAUCCAAGACGGAAGAUUAAAGAAAUUCAAAGGCUAGGGUUUGAAAGAGGGGAGAAUUAGGGUUAAAGGGGAGGAAGGUUAAGAGAUGGUGGGGUUUUUUUCAGUGGGGUUUUUUCAGUGGGAUUUUUUUCAGUGGGGUUUUUUUCUGUGGGGUUUUUUCAGUGGGGGUUUUUUCAGUGGGGGUUUUUUCAGUGGAGGUUUUUUUAGAGGGGUUUUUUUUUCAGAUCGGAUUUUUGGAUCAAAGAGCUAGCUUCAAGCUCUUUUCAAGGUCACUAGGUUGGUUUCAUUAGGAGUUUUUGGAUCCAAGAGCUAGCUUCAAGCUCUUUUCAAGGUCACUAGUUUGGUUUCAUUAGGGUUUGUGAGGGAAGAGCAAUCGUUGCUCAAAGUCAGUGUUUAUUUUGGUAUUUCAGAUUUUAUAUAAAACAUUGAUGGUUCGCAUUUUCAAUCGGUUUGUGCAAGUCGUGUAGCAUCUAUGGAUCAAAAUUUGGUAUUGUUUGGAUAGUUGGGUGUGCUAAGUGUAUACAAAAAUUUGUGUUAAUCUAACGAUGCAAUCAAGAGAUAUCUGGGUUUUAGUACAAAGGGUUGUCAGAAGUUAGCAGUCUAAGGUUGGAUAGGGUUCUGUGAUAUCUGAAGAUCUACUAGUUGGAUGGACGUAAUUUUUGGCUUGAUAAUAGAAGAUUUAGAGAUCAAGCGGCUAUUCAAUUUUGAGCUGGAGUUAAUAGUUGACAAAGGAGAAAUCACUUCUGGAGUUUCUACAUCAAAUUUCAAGGUUGCGGCCGAGUGUCAUCAGUGCGGUUUUUGGGCGUUUUCUUGCAAUCUGUAAGUUGGGUUGGGCUGAAAUUUUCUGAGCAUAUAGAAGGCUUAUACUGGUAUUUGGGUGCAAAAUUUCACACUAAGUGGAUGGUUGGAUUAAAAGUUACAGCUUGUCAAAGCUCACUGGCUAGGGUUAGGGCUUGUUAAAAAAAACAAAAAUAACUUAAUUAUAAAAGAAAUAAAACAAUUGGAAUAUUGUAUGGUUAAAAUGACUAUGAGGAGUGUUUUUAAAUAUUUAGAAAUUGAUAUUUCAAUUAUAUUCUUCAUACAUGGAUAAAAUCUAUUAGGGUUUCUUUGUUAUUUGCAAAAACAACUAUACCUUCCACAGCCAGAUACCCAGUGUAUUCCCGAACAAGACAACAUGUAAUACAACACCGUUGCCGGACCAUUACCAGAAGAUUCUAAGGAACAAAUGGGAGAAGCAUCAAAAGAAGCAAGUUUAAGAGAUCCAAUGAGUAUUGGACAUCAGUUUACUAAAGAGACUUUUGAAGAAUUGAAGAUUGGUUCUGAUGGUUCUUUAUUGCCAGAGGAAAUUACUUGCUUCAAAAAGAUGUUGGCUAAAUAAGGUAGAUCAUUUGCCUUCGAAUCUUACGAAAUUGGGUGUGUGGAUCCGAAUAUUAUAACACCUAUGGUUAUCUUCACUGUACCGUAUGUACCUCGAAAUCUAAGAAUGAUUUCAGUAUCGAGGGCACAUUUACCUAAAUUGGUGGAACUAUUAAAAGAAAAGAUAAAGAUGAAAAUAUUAGAACCCUCAUUUGCGCCGUAUUCUAGUCGAUGGUUUACGGUACCUAAGAAGAAUGGAUCACUACGGUUUAUUCAAGAUAUGCAACCGGUGAAUGCAAUAACUGUCAGGAAUGCAAGAAUUGGACCUAUUAUGAAUGAAUUUGCUGAGGCAUUUGUAGGAAGGGCGAUCUAUUCAAUGAAUGACUUAUAUUCAGGUUAUGAUCAAUUUCAACUUGCCGAAGGAAGUAGAGAUAUGACAACGAUGAGGACACCACUUGGAUUGGUUAGAAUGUGCACUCUUCCUCAAGGCACGACCAACUCAGUUGCGCAUAUGAUGAAUGGGAUGAAUAAGGUAUUGAGAGAUUUUAUUCAAGAGAAGACUAUGCUUUUUCUGGAUGAUGUUCCUAUAAAAAGGUACAGAGAAGGAGACAAGGAUGAAACUUUAGAUACGAGGGGGUGUCGCAAAUAUGUUGUUGAUCAUAUACAAGAUUGUGAAAAGAUUUUAACUCAGCUUGGAGAAGUUCAUCUUACAUUAUCGGAUAUGAAGUCUAUAUUUGGAAUAGAAGAGGUUGUGAUUGUUGGACAUUUAUGUAGAUCUUACGAAAGAAAACCAGAUCCGACUAAAGUUGAUGCAAUUGGAAGGAUGAAAGAGGAUUGUGAUUCUUUAACAGAGGUUCGCAGGUUUUUAGGUGCAUAUGUAUUUUAUCAAAUCUGGAUCCCUCAUUAUGCUCACAUAGCAGAUCCAUUAUAUGAAUUGUUAUGCAAGGGCUACUGAUUUAAAUGGGAAGAAAGGCAUAUUCAAGCAAUGCAAAGUUUGAAGAAAUUAUUGAUGUCACCUCCAAUAUUGAGGAAGAUUGAUUAUAAGUGCAAUAGAUUAGUGAUUCUUACUGUGGAUACUAGUCCAAUUGCCAUUGGAUGGGUUGUGGGUCAAGAUGAUUGAAAUGGGAAUAGAUUUGCAGUUUGAUUUGGAGCUAAAGUUUUAAGUAUUCGUCAGCGUGCAUAUUUGCAAGUCAAAAGAAAACUUUGGAGAUUUGUUUCGGCUAUGAAAGCUGAAAAGGACUAUUUGAUUGGGGCAGUAGUAGUAAUUGAAACAGAUUGCUUGCCAUUGCUUGGAAUGAUUACUAACUGUUCAACGCCAGAUAUUGCAAUGUUGAGAUGGAUUGCUUAUAUUAAGUCACUAAAUCUAGAAUUUAAGCAUAUAACUGGGAAGGAUAAUUUAAUAGCAGACAUGCUAUCUCGAGCAAGAUACGAGAGGGAGGAUGAAAUGGUUGAAGACAUAGAUGACGUUGGAUCGAAAUUCUAUUCAAUCUCAAAUCUCAACAGAGAAGACAAGCUAUUUCUUGAAGAAUCUUAUGAAGGAGAAUUAUUGAAUAUUGGUCAUUACUCGAAUACCUUGACUAAGCAGGGGAAUUGGUCUACAGAAAAAUUCAAACAAAUAAGAAAACAAGCAUAUGGAUUUUUGCUUCGAGAUGGAUUCUUAUGGAAGAGACCGAAGAAAGGAAUUGGGAUGCCACAACGAGUGAUAUGCAAAAAGGAAGAAAAACUAAAAUUAUUAAAGGAGUUUCAUGAUAGUUUAUAGGCAGGGCAUAGAAGAAUCUGGGCUACUUUUGCUAAACUCAAGGAACGAUAUUGGUGGAAAAAUAUGUGUCGAGAUGUGCUCUCAUUUGUAAAGUCAUGUGAAAUUUGUCAAUCGUAUUCUAAUAUCCGACAUCGAGAUGGUCUUCAUCAUACGUAUCCUGUGGCUAUUCAUUUUAAAUGGGUUGUUGAUUUGAUUACUAUGCCAGUUGGGUUAUGGCAGAUGAGAUAUUUGGUCUUAGCUCGUGAAGAUUUAUCAAAUCAAGUAGAAGGAAGAGCAUUGAGGACAAAAUCUACAGAGGAAAUUUGUAGGUUUUUGCUUGAGGAUGUCAUUUGCCGCUACGGAUGCAUAAGAAAAAUCACUGCAGAUCGUGGAGAAUUAAAUGCACAAGAAGCUCGUAAGUUCUUUAAAAGAUGUGGAGUUAAACUAUCACUGACUAUUGCUUUUAAUCCGGAAGGGAAUGCAAAAAGCGAACGUGGUCAUCUACUGAUUAUGAAAGCAUUAGUUAAAGCUUGUAAUAGAAAAUUUAGAGAGUGGCCACGGCUUUUGUCAUUUGCAUUAUGGGCUGAUCGAACAACACAUAGUUCAGUGACGGGAUAUAUGCCAGUAGAACUUAUGACAGGUCGAAAACCAAUUAUGCCGAUUGAAGAAAGGAUACUUACUUAGAGUAUGCUACCUUGGGAAGAUGGAUUGACAAGAGAAGAACUUCUGGCUAUUAGGAUUCGACAAUUGGAGCAAAGAUCGGAAGAUGUGCAAAUAGCAUUGGAAAGGUUAAAAAGAGCAAGGUUACAAAAAAGGUGUGAUUCGAUAAGCAACAUCGAUUGAGACCUAAAGCAAUUGAAGAAGGUGAUUGGGUACUUGUUUAUGAUAGUAGUCUGGACAACCAAUAUAGCACUUUACGGAAGUUUUCAAAAUGUUGGUUUCGACCAUAUGUGGUAAUAACUAUUCAUGAUAAUGCGACUUAUUCAUUGCGGGAGUUCGAUGGCACAAGGUUAAAAAUACCAAUAACAGGGAAGAGAGUGAUUCAAUUGUUUAAACAAAGAUAUGC